rnacentral:lncRNA from 1 species
GAUGAAACACGAGUCAAAACAAGCAUAACAUGACAUGGAAUAUGCAUCAGUGCCUUCCCAAAUUGCACAAGUUUCUGGGACAGCUUUCCAUUGAGGCCGCAGCUUGCAUGCUUAUAUUAAACAAGAUGAGAUCAGCCAGGGAAGCAAGGUUGGGCACAGACCGUCGAGGGGAGAACAGAGAAUAGUUAGAGUAAGUAACAAGAAAACUUGAGUAUAAUGAAAGUAGCAACCACAAUAACGCCAAAGCCAAGAAAGCGUGCAUCCUCUAGGAUCUCCAAUGCGUAUUUCCUUUGACUCCAAGUAGCAUAGUUUUAACCAUUAAAAAUUUGAACAAUCCAAUGUGAUUUCCGUGGAAUGUGUAGUGUGGUCCAACAUAUCAGAGUGCCUUCCAGUCUGCUCUCCAGGCUGAUAUUUCUUCCUUUAAAAAAAAAAACAGAAGGAAGAGGAAAAUAACACACAAACAUGCAAUCGCACACAAUCGGAAAACCUUAACACGCCAGGCAAAAGAUGAGGAUUCCUUUUUGGCAGAGUCUUGCAAUUGUAACAUCUACAUUUGAAUCCGUGAUCACCAGCUGCUCCUGUAGAAAUAUAUAUUUAGUGGACAAUUAUAAAUAAACACAUAAACUAUUCAGUAUGAAUUCUGACUGAACAACUAUGAAUAAGAUGAAUAAAUCAAACUUUAAAAUUUGACUUCAAGGUUCGGAAAAAGCUGAAAAAUUGGAGAGUGAAAUUAACAGAUGCUUAAUUAGUGAAUGAAGAACUUACGGUUUGAUCACGUUCAUUCUCCUUUGAAUCACUUAGCUUUUGUACAUCAUCAGUUUCCUCUGCUAUUUGUAGUCUUUCUGGUCUUGGAUCACUUUGGAGUAACCCAUCAAGAGAAAUCGUUAACUCAAUCAACGGGCACUUCUCGACAAUCAAAUUGUUGGACGGUAAGGAUGGGACCUUGAAAAUGUAAUUUCCAGUGCAAAAUCCUUGCAGACUUGGUAGAUCAAAAAGUUUCAAAUGUUGCAAGCAACUGAAAGUAAUCUCAUUUUCUGGAUCAUCUCUGUUGCUCACUACUAUUUCAACCAUUCUUUCACAGGACUCAACUUCGAACUCCUUGAGUUGCUGCAAAUUCUUAGCCACAGAAUAAGGUAUUAAGUAUUGCAGUCCAUGACAAUACCGUAUGGUCAAACUGGUUAGAUUCCGAAAGGAUAUCAAAGUUGAAGCUAGAUUCUCUAAUCUGCCACAUUUUUGCAGACAUAGAAUUUCCAAGUUUGGAAAAACAGGACAGGGACCCCUGGUUCGGAGUUUUUCCAUUCCUAGAUGUAUCAGCUCCGGCAUAUCGAUGAGCCACAAAGUCUUUACACGUGGGAAGGUCUCAGCUUCAUGUAUUUCCCCGCUACUACUUCCUUGGUGGUUGUGGACAAUUAAUUCUUUCCAAGGAGCAGAGAGAACACCGAGGUUUUCAAUAUUCUGUAAAUUCUCAAAGAAAACAUCUGACUUGGGAUGUGAAGUAGCAAAAUAAAUCGAUUUUAUUUUGCUUAACAACUCUGCCGGAAGUGGACCAUACGGCUCAUACCAAAUCUCUGUGUUCUCGUCCAACAUCAAGUAUUCCAAGUUGAUGAAUGACUUACCCUAAAAUAUAAUCAACAGUAAUGACAUGCUUUAAAAUAUUUUGAAAAAUUGGACACCACAUAAUAACUUUAAUAUUAAAAACUUAAUAAAUAUAUUUACUUGAUGUGUUUGUUUAACUAGUAUGUAAAAAUCACACAAAAUUCGAAUAUCAAAAGAAUUGUGUUGGUUACCUUCUCAAUUAAAAAGAAAGGCUGUUUCAUUGGUGUCGGAUGGCCCAACUCAAGUUUGUCUUGAUAUGUUGAAGAUUCAGAAGCAAAAAUCUCCACAUUAGCACAUUUCUUGAAAUUUAAUGUAUUGAGUAAUGGCCAAUUAUAAACAUGCAGCCCUGGAUAGAAACUCCGUAGUUGAGGUAGAUCUUCAAACAUCAUACAUGUUACUUUAGAGAAUUCAAAACAGUUCAACUGAGUGGUAGAUGAUGUGUCAUAUACCACUUGUAGUGACUGGCACUGCUUUAUUUGUAAUGUCUCUAGAGCAUUUAAUCUUCCCAUGAUACUUGGCCCAAAGAUAUUAAUCAGACUGUGGCAUCUACGAACAUCCAUAAUUCUGAGCUUGCUAAAAGAAUCUGAAUGAAGUUGGUUGUGGAAUAUUGUCUUCAACUUAGGUAAGUCCCAUAUGUACAACGUAUCCAAGCUAGGAAAUCCUACCUGUCACAUAUUCAUUUAGAAUUUGUGAACAAACCUUUUUUCACAAGAGUGGGACACAUGCAUAAGUUGGAAACAAAAGCUUAAAGAAACAAGUGAAGGUAUAAUUCACCUUUUCAUCAAAGAGCUCAAUAUCUCUUUCUUCUUUGUUGGUUGUAAUAUUUUCACUCUUAGCAUCAAAGAUGAAAGUCUCCAGUUUAGUACAAUCGUCUAGAUCCAAAUACGCCAAAGAUGGAAAUUUAAUGUAACUUCCUGAGCUAAAUCUAGUGAGAUUUGGAAGAUGUUGUAACUCUAGACGGUUUAGCUUAUCAAACAUAUCAUCUGUAUUCUCCUCAUUUCUCACUAUCUCUUCCAUGAUUUGACAAUUGGAUAUCUUGAGAUUUUUGAAUUGUCUGAGACAUUUAGCCAUGGAACUCGAAAACAAGAAUCUUAAACUAUCACAUUGAUGCACAAUCAAGGUUGUUAAGUUGGGCAUCAUAACCUGCAUAGCACAUAACAGAAUUCAUGUUUGUAUUAGGAAAUUACAAUUUAUAUUAUUGUUAGCCGUAUACAUUCCAAAAUGUGUAGAUAUAAAGUAAAUAUCAUAUAUUUAAAAAGUAAGCUACUAGGCUACUGAACAAAUAUAUGUCCUUGUACCUUCAUUAAUUCGCAAAGAACAAAUUGGAGUAAAAAUUAUCUGGAAAAAUAAAUAUAGGGCCAAAAUUAUGUCAAUUUAAUUUCAAAUUUAAACUAUUUUAUUUUUUACAAAAAAAAACCUAUCUUAUUUAAAUUAAUACCAAAAACACAUUAUUGUGAACGGUCUUUAGUGGCAAGUUGUGAAUUAUCCUGAUAGUUAGAGCGGGUUUCAAAUUUUUUACAGUUAAAAUAAGUAGCCUCUUUAUGACACAUCUCAAUACUUGACACCUGUGCACAAACUUAAACCUAACAUAACCCUAUCAACUCCCAAUAAAAUUAAAUACAAAUAAAAGCAAAAGUUAAGAAAAGAGUAAAUUGUAGCAAUGGUCCCUGAACUUUACUCAAAUUGGAGCAAUGGUCCCUCAACUAAAAAUCCAUUACUAUUGGUCCCUCAACUUAUCAAAAUGUGUAGCUAUAGUCCUUUUCAUUAAUUUCUUCAAAAUUUUGUCAAAAUAUGUUAUGUUGGAAUAACCAUUUACUUAAUUAGGGUCCCUCAACUCAUCAAAGUGUGUAAUUAUGGUCAUUUUCGUCAACUACGUAAAAAAAUUUGUCAAAACGAGUUAUGUUUGAAGGACCAUAGCUACAAUUGGGAUAAAGUUAAGGGACCAUUUCUCCAGUUGAAUUAAAAUUGAGGGACCAAAGGUAAUGGAUUUUUAGUUGAGGGACCAUAGCUGCACGUUUUAAUGAGUUGAAGGACCAAUGGUAAUGAAUUUUUAGUUGAAGGACCAUUGCUCCAAUUUGAGUAAAGUUCAGGGACCAUAGCUACAAUUUACUCGUUAAGAAAAAGAAGCCUUUCAUCCUCCUCUCUCUCACUUCCCCAAACACAAUAGCAGCAAUAUCAAUUGCAUCUCCUUCACACUUUCAAAUUCAAAAACCCAAAAAGCCUAGCCCUUCAAUUUGAUUGCUCCUUCAAAGAAUAUGGGACGACCAAUUUGGGAAGAUUGAAGAAUAAAUCCCUUUUGGCCUGUCAGAUUUGUGAAAAUAAGCGUCUCCCCUGAAAUUUCCUUUGUUGCAAAAUUCGUUGAAUUUAACAUAAAAAUACUAUAGUAAAAGGAUUUUAGUAUUUUUCAUGUCAAAUUUUGGUUAGCAUUAUAAAAAUUUAUAAUAGUUGGUUAUAAUUUAAUUUAUGGUCAAAAUUUUGGCUACUUUUCCAAAUUUCCCAAAUUACUUCCCCCACACCUUUUUAAUUUUUUAAUAUUUUUCUAUCAAGUGUUAGUGGUGUGUCAAAAAUGUUAAAAAGAAAAAAAAUGUGGGACAAGUAAUUUGAGGUGUGAAUAUAAUCUCUCUUGGCGUAUUGAAAAAAUAAAUCUUAAUAUAUCAAGAAUUGGUGGUUUUAAUGAGAAACGCAUCAUAUUCAAGGAUGACAAUCUAAUUAUACUUAAAAAAAUUGUGUACAAGUAUGCUUACCUUGUCAAUUAAAAAGAAAGGCUGUUUCAUUGGUGUUGGGUGUCUCAACUCAAGUUUGUCGUGAUAUGUUGAAAAUUCAGAAGAAAAAAUCUCCACACUACCACAUUCAAUGAAGCUCAAUUCGUUGAGUAAUGGCCAAUUAGAGACAUGCAGUCCAUGAUAGAAACUCCGAAGCCGGGGUAGAUUUUCAAAUAUCACUAUUUCUACUUUAGGGAACCUGAACUCCUCAUGUGUCCUUUUUGGUCCUUCUUCCAUCGUGACAAUUUCCUCCAUUAAACCACAAUUCUCGACCUUGAACUUGCUUAGCUGCUUAAGAUUUUUGGCUACUGAGACGGGAAAUAAAUUCUUCAAACUCUCACAUGAGGAUAUCUCAACUAAAUUUAGAUUCGGGCAAUCAAAAUUGUUCAACUGAGCGGUAGAUGAUGAGUCAUAUACUACUUGUAGUGACUGGCAUUGCUUUAUAUAUAAGGACUCUAGAGCAUUCAAUCUUCCCAUGAUACUUGGCCCAAAGAUAUUAAUCAAAUUGUGGCACCUAUUAACAUCCAUAAUUCUGAGCUUAGCAAAAGAAUCUGAAUGUAGUUGGUUGUGGAAUAUUGUCUUCAAUUUAGGUAAGUCCUGUAUCCACAAUAUCUCCAAGCUAGGAAAUUCUACCUGUCACAUAUUCAUUUUAGAAAGAGUGGGACGCAUGCAUAAGUUGGAAAUGAAAGCAUAAAGAAAAGAAGUUAAGUUAUAAUUCACCUUUUCAUCAAAGAGCUCAAUAUCUCUUUCUUCUUUGUUGGUUGUAAUAUUUUCACUCUUGGCAUCAAAGAUGAAUGUCUCCAGUUUAGUACAAUCGUCUAGAUCCAAAAACACCAAAGAUGGAAAUUUAAUGUAACUUCCUGAGCUGAAUCUAGCAAGGCUUGGAAGAUGUUGUAACUCUAGACGGCUUAGCUUAUCAAACAUAUCAUAUGUAUUCUCCUCAUUUCCGACUAUCUCUUCCAUAAUUUGACAAUUCGAUCUUGAGAUUUUUGAGUUGUCUGAGACAUUUAGCCAUGGAACUCGAAAACAAGAAUCUUAAACUAUCACAUUGAUGCACAGUCAAGGUUGUUAAGUUGGGCAUCAUAACCUGCAUAGCACAUAACAAAAUUCAUGUUUAUUUUAGAAAAUUACAAUUUACAUUGUUGUUACUUGUUAGCCAUAUAUAUUCCAGAUGUGUAGAUAUAAGGUAAAUGUCAUAUAUUUAAAAAGUAAGCUACUAGGCUACUAGACAGAUGUAUGUCCUUGUACUUUCAUUAAUUAGCAAAGAACAAAUUGGAGUAAAAACUAUCUAAAAAAAAAAAAAAAAAAUAUAUAUAUAUAUAUAUAUAUAUAGGGCCAAAAUUAUGUCAAUUUAAUUUUAAAUUUAAACUUACUUAAAAAUUUUUUAUUUUUUAAAAUUGAUACAAAAAACAAGAGAUCUUUAAUGAUAAGUGAUGAAUUAACCUAAUAGUUAGAGUUGGGUUCAAAUUUUCUAAACCCAAAAUAAGUGUGGCCUUUUGACAAAAAUUAAUAAAUAAAUAAAUAAUAAGUGUGAUCUCUUUACGACACGUCUCAAUACCUGACACUUGUCCACAAAUUAACCUUAACUUAACUCUAUCAAGUCCCAAUAAAAUUAAAUAAAAAGUAGAAAAAGAAGCCGCUCAUCCACCUCCUCUUUUCACUUCCCCAAACACAACAGCAGCAAUAUCAAUUGCAUCUCCUUCACACAUUAAAUCCUUAAAUCAAACCCAAAAACCUCGCCCUUCAAUUUAAUUGCUCCUCCAAACUAUAGGGGACGGCCAAAUUUGGAAAGAUUGAAGAAUAAAUCCUUUUUGGUGCAAAAUUCGUUGAAUUUACACCCUGUCGAUCGAGAGUGAUCUCGACGUCACCAUCGACGAUCUCCUAUUGCAAAUCCUUGGGGUCCUUGCCGUUGACUGUGUAGCCCACCGAGAUGCAGGUUCCAAGAAUCUCCUUCACUGUUCCCGCGAGCUCCUUCGGCCAUGGAUCUGUUCCUCAUAACCUUGCCGAUCUCGAUGACGUCAUCAAGGGAGAUGCCGCCGCUGUGCUUGAAGAGGUGAAGGUCCGUGAGGAGGGGGCGGUGAUUGGUGGCGUUGGGAAGGAAGGAAAGGGAAUGGGAGAGAUACCCAGUACGCUGGGCUACGCUCAGAUUUUUUUAUUUUAUUGGGAGUUAACGCCGUUAGGUUUGGUUGAGUGAAUGGACAGAUGUCAAAAAAUGUAAGAAAAUCAGAGAGGUCACAAGUAUAAAUGAGUGCAGAAGAUUUGACUUGUUAGUUGAAUACCAAUAGUUGUCAUUUGAAAUCUGAAAAAGGAAUCUUAAAAAAAUCGUGGGUUAUAAAAAUAAAUCUUAAAAAGAAAUUAAAAAUUCGAAGAAGAAAACUACUUGGAGAAAGAAUCAUGCAACCCUUUUGCUAGAAAAAUAACAGAAAAAGUACCUCUCCAUUACUGAAAAGUCUCGGUGGUCCACCAACUUCAUCCUCCAAAACGAUUUCGUCGGCUUCUGUAUCAAUCGUUAGCUUGCCUUUGGAAGAGAAACCAAUAAGCUUUGGUAGAUUCCGCAAUGUCAAAGAUUUUAACUUUUGGAAAGGUUCGCCUACGAGUUGCCCAUAACACACACUUUCCAAGCUCACAAGGUCUUCAAAAAAUAGAGAUUCCAGGUUGGGGAAGGCAUUACGAGAAUAAUGCCAACUGAUGGAGUUAAUGAGAUAUGUAACUUGGUCGUUGUUUUGGAACAUGGAGAUGCUUCAGUUGUUUAACAGCUUCACUGUGAAAUAGAAAGGAAAUAAUACUCACAAUCUCCAUCCCGUCCAAGUACAAUUGCUCACAUCUCUUUACCAGCAACUUUAUACCUCGGUCGAAUUGAUUAGUCCUGGUGAGCUUGAGUUUUAGCAUGUUAUAGCAGGUUGCAUAGAUGUCAGGAUAUUUCCAACAAUCACCGAUAAGUAUGGUGUAUCUUUCUAAAUUAUCGGAGAACAAGUUGGUUGGAAGAAGGUUAGCAUCUGGAACAUGUAUGUCCAAUGCGGAUAGAUGAGAUAAGUUCUUCAGCUCUGAAACCCUAGCAUUACUUCUUCUGCCAUCGACCAAACCUUCACCUUCCCACUGUUUGAAGCUUUUUAUUCCCAUCCUCAAAUCUUCUAGUCUUGUCAAACUUGAUAUAACAUCAGGUGAGACCAAAAUCAGUUCAGAGCAGCCAGUCAACUCCAAUAAUUGUAGCCUAGUCAAUUGCCCUAUUUCUUUGGGCAACUCUUUAACCUUGGAGUGUAGCAGGCUAAGGAUCUUCAAGUUUGUUAACUGCCCAACAAGUGUUAUGUCUACCAACUCGCAGUAACCGAAACACAAUGUGUGGAGAUGCUUUAGGGAUUGAAGAGACGGAGGUAGUGACGGAAUAUGGAAUUUGGUUAAAUCCAACACUUUGAGUUCUUUCAUCCCUUCAAAAAAUUUGCUUGGGAUUUCCUGGGAGUCGCCAAUAUUAUGCACAUCCAACGUCAACAAUUUUAAUUCUGGGCAUUCCCAAGGUGCUUCAGGAAGUCUGGGGAUGUUGCCACCUUCUACGAAGAUCCAUGUGCAUUUUUUAAGGAAAUCCUCAGUUGGCCAUUCUUUCAACCCAUCUCCAUAUUUUCUUGAAAAGGCCUUUUGAUCAUCAGAUGCAAUCCGGACAGCAACAUCUAGUACAAGCUCAUGCAUUCUAACAGUCUCAUCGUCAUAACCGUCCAGUAAUAGGCAAGAAUUUUUUAGUUUUUUAACCAUUGAAUUCAAUGAAAUCCGUGCCUCUUCCACUGUCUCAACGCUUCUAACCAAACCCAAGCCCAUAGCACAUUGAAACAAGUAAAAGACAUAAAUCUUGCCAUUCCCAAAUGCAAGAAUUCCGCAAAGCAAGAACAAUUGCUUAAGCUCUUGAUCCUCCAAUUGUUCGUAACUCCACUUUAGAGCCAAGAAUUCUUUUUCAUUCAAUUCUUUCUUGUCAAAUCUUUUGAAACUUCUCAGCGCAACUUUCCAUUCAUCCAAACUACUAUCCCUUAAAGCACUUGCAACUGCAACAACCAAAACCGGCAAACCUCCACAUUUCUUUGCUAGUUGGGUUGCUUCUUUCAGUAUACGGUUGUCUUUAACGACAUUACCUGCCAUCUUCUCAAACAAACUCCAACUUUCUUUUUCUCUUAAAAAUCCAAGUUGAAAAUCUUUUUGCGUACGCAUAUCAGAGCAUAAAACUUUUUUUUCUCUAGAUGUCAAUAAUAGCUUACAGUUCGGCACACCGACGAGUCCCACAGCUUCAAAGUCAAUUCUUUCCAAAACAUCGUCUAAAAUGACAAGAGUCUUCCCCUCUUUUAUCCUGGCCCGUAGGAGAUUCCCCCUUGUUCCCCUAUCCUCAGAUUCAUCAACGUACAUCAUCAACUUUUUGGUAAUUUCUUUUUGAAUUUUUUCGUUGUCUCUUUUUUCUUUGACAUUUAGUACCAGAACCACAUCAUCAAAUAACUUCUCUUUCACAGCUUCUCUGUAAACCUCUUUGGCAAGUGUUGUCUUCCCAACGCCCCCUAAUCCGUACACCCCAAUCCUGUUGAUAUCAGGUUUUUUCAAUUCCGUAAUGAUAUCCUUCACCAUUGAAAUCCUUGAUUCAAAGGCCAUGUACUCGUCGGAGGCUAUGGCAGAUAUGUCUUCUAAGGCAGCAUUGUAAGAAAUUGUGGGAAACUCUUUUUUAUUUUCAUGUUCUUCAAUCUUUCUCACCAAUUUAGUUGAUUUUCUGCUGAGCUGAUGAUAGGAUAUCAGGUUAGGACAUAUAUACAAACAUUUUGUCUUUGCACGGCCUUCAUCAUCCAAUAUUGCUUCUGCCUCUCGAGAGAUCUCAUCUGCUUCUGUCUGCCAGUUCCGGACAUCAACUUCCACUUUUUCAUUAACUUUUCUUUCGACUUCUUCAACUGCAUGGUUCAUCCUUUGUUUCACAGCAUCAAAAUUCUUCAAUGUACUCCUUAGAUCUUUAAGGUUGCUGUUGUAGAAAAUGAAAAUGACAUAACUCACUUGCCGUCCAAGUGGUCUAACUGUGUAGUCAAUUAUUGUAGGAAUAAUUGCAGUGAGUAUCUCCAUCGCCAUGGCACCUUCAGCUUACCAAUUCGUCUGCUUCUCCGAUCUGUUGAAUAUAUACGAAUCCAAAAUAAAUAAAUAAAUUCAAGAUACGAGAAAGGAAUCCUUUAUAUUUUCAAAGCAGAUGAAAUUAAAAAAAAUAAAAAAUCAAACAAUAGGUCAUACCUUAGCUUAUGAUCAAGGCUACGCUUGAAGAAAAACAGAGCAGUAUGCAAAUUUUUUGGUUUUCUUUUGCUUUUGGAGAAAUCUGCAUAGUAAAAGCAAAAAGAAGGUUAUACCACACUUGCAAAGUAGAAGUCGAGACCAUGAACAAGUUUUCACAUACAAUUAUUAUACUAAAAAAACUUGCUUGGUACGGAAUUUAGGUAACUGUUUCCAAAUCUUAAAAACUAUGAAAAACAUAUAUAAUCUGCUUUGAAUUUCACUGAGGCAUUUGAACAAACAGAACAAAAUGUAGAACGAUUUGCUCGUUGAAGACCACUAAUUGAAGUUUGUACCACAGAGCUACUGAUCUAGAUGGUACGAUGGAGUUGACCCCCGAUUCUCAGGAGCUGACCGAGUUAACUCUGCCAAGGCUCGACGAGUUCCAGAGGCUCAUGACGAGCUCUAGUUUACGAAAGAAAUCUGAGGCCAUCAACUGCGAAAUCCAGGCAGUCAUGAGCUCGGGCAACGCGAGGUUAGGAACAGAGACAACCUCGCUCUGAAAGGUCGAGCAGAGCUAGGAGGUUGCCGAGUGCCUGAUUUUGUUCAUCUUGAAGAGAAUUCAAUUUUUUAUUUAUUUACAAGCAGCGGCGUAACCAGGAAUUUCAAAUAAUCAUGUCAUAAUAUCAACAAAAAAGCUUCAUUGGGUCAUUUCGUCGAACACCUAGUAGGCACCUGUGAAUUCCUGCCAACAUAUGCUGAAAUUUUAUGUCAACAUAUAUCGACGACUACUAUUACUUGUACAAGCUUGUCGAUGGUGGAUGUAGGGUACUGUGGAGUAAUGUUGAAGAUUUUCAAGGCUUUUCAACUAAAACAUUUCAUUUAAGAAGAGAGAAAAUGAAAACAAAUAUGAUAGAAGAAAAUAGAAGAAGUAGGACGAGAAGGUCGUAAUUUAAUUUGCCUUAGUUGUUUGUUAGAGUCAAAUACAAUAUAGAAGCAAAUAUACAUAGGGUUUUUAAAGUUAUUAGGGUCAAAGACAACCAAUAACUCCAUGCUGGCUCCAUCACUGUUUACAAUGGCAGCCAUGGUGAUUGGUCCUAGACAAAGGGAGAUGGAGGAAAACGGGUGAAAAAGUUGCAGGGAGGAAGAAAGGAGGUGUUUGGUUGUGUGUUUAAAAGUUCCUAAGGCUUAUGAAGGAAAUUUCACCUAAGAGAAAAAUCACGAAGGAGGUUGAAAUUAUUUGGGGGAAAUUUGGGCUUCUAUAUUGCCGUGAAUUCCAUGACUGAGAAGUCCUACAAUGAAGACGAAUUGCUACCAUGGCUUCCACAAUAAAGAAUAGGAGGAUUUUGAGGUGGGGUCGUCGACAAAGAAAUGUUAGAGGAGAAGUGGGUGGCACCGAUGGAGGAGACGAGGUUACCGGAAGCUUUGAAGAGGAGAAAUUUUUGGGGUGACGGGAACACACACACCUCAGAAAGGCAGGUGGUGCUCCUAACCUAUUAAAUUUUGACAGCUAGCUUUUGGCAUCCUUUUGUUUUUUACUUUUUAGCUUCUCCAAGUAAUGCUAUUCAUAUUAUGUUUUUAUAUCACAUUUUUAUACCAUCUUAGGUGGCAUUGGACAGCUACAUCAUUUGAAAAAUUUGCAAACCUCAAGGAAAGGAAGAAGAAAGACUCAUCGUAUACCACAAUCAUCAUUUAAUUAACUAGUUUUUCUUAAUUAUUAGUUUAUUAAAUAAUGAACUAAUUUAAAAAUCUGAUUAAUUCAAAUGAUGUGGCUGUCCACAUCAAAUGCCACCUAAAAUGGUAUGAAAAUGUGAUACAAAAAUAUGGUAUGAAUAUCAUUACUCAUGAUUAAGUGAGCAAAUGACAAAAUCCAGCUGUCAAAAUUUAAUAGGUUAGGAACACCACCUGCUUUGCUGAGGUGUGUGUUCUCGUCACUCCCAAAAAUUUCUCGUUGGAGAGGACAAGGUUUCACGUUUAUAAAUUAAAAUUGUAACAAAUGUUUUGUUCUCAUUGGGCCACUUCAUGUGGUUAAUAAUUUGGGUACUGUCUAUUCAGUACCCAAGUAUUAUCCUAGAAUGAGGGCAGCGGAUAAUUGAAGAAGGGAACAUUGCGAUAAUUAGGAGUGGAAAAUUUUGCCAUAAACCGAUUUACCGACCGACCGAACCAUACUAGUCGGCUCAUAAUGGUAUGGUAUAGUUUUGGCAUUUUUUUUUCAUAAUCGGUUGGCAUUUUACCGAACCGACAAUUAAUGGCAUGGCUUUGGUAAUUGAUUUUGUAUGCCGACGGUAUACCAUACCUACCAAUAUAUAUAUAUAUAUAUAUAUAUAUAUAUAUAUAUAUUUUUUUUUUUUUUUUCUAUUUAGAUAUUUUAGGUAUUUUUUACAUGCUUGACUGUUGACUCCUUAGUUUUAGGGUUUAAAAAUAUAUAUGUAUAUGUAUAUGAUUCAUGCCAUAAUAAAUAUAGAAAAUAUUGUUAACAAAAUUGAUAGCAUGAUGAUUACUGAUACUAUAUAUACAGGUACAUAUAUAUGAUUUUGAAUGUAUAUGUGUUGCUUAUGUUUAGGAUAAUGGAGUCUAGCCAAUCAACCGUUACAACAUGGAUUAGCCAAAAAUGAACCACACAAUGCAACCGAACAAGCAACCCAAUCUGAAAAUCAAAAUGAACCCCUAGAACUGGAAGAUAGCGAGGAAGAAGUGGAAACCACUGAUUGUGCCAUUUACCAACCGAACAACCAAUAAUUUUGGCUGAACCGAUUUUUGGCAACCGCAAGAAGACGGUUGGUUAGCAGUAAUUGAUUUUUGGUAAUUAUGUAUAUGUGGUUGGUAGGUGGCACAAGAAAUUUGGCACGAUUUGCCAACCGAACCCAGCCCUAGCGAUAAUCAGCCUCAAGUAGACAAAAGGUACAAGAGAAGCCAUUGUCAAAUGAAAAAAUUAAUCAAGAUGUGUUUAAUGUAUAAAGUGGCAGGUAGAUAAUUGAAGAGUUUUUAUGUUUUUCUCUUCUAAUGUUGUCAAUAAAUGAAAUUUAAGCCAUUGUCGGUUAGGGAGAAGAAAAUGGAAACAUAACAAGGAAAAGAAGAAGACAACUGAUCAUCAUUCAAGAGACGACAAGUUCGACGAAUAGAGGUGCGGAAGAGCAACAAAGGCUCAAGUUUUCUCAACUUGGUUUUCUUCAUUUUAUUAUGCAUUUAGUGACAACUUCAAUUAUGUUUUGAAAUUAAUUUCUUUUCCCUAGAGCUACGAGGUAACCUAAUCAUGAUUGCUUCAUUCCUUAGUAUCGUUAUUUAUGAAUUUCAAUCUGAUUGAGUUUAUUUUGUUGUGGAUUAUACGCUUGAUUUUUAUCUUGUUGAUUAGCUACAAACUUGGUUUGUCAAGUUCAUCUAAUGCAAAUUUAAGUAUGUGGAAAUUCAAAGCUUCUUGCAGUUAAAGUUAUGAAAGCCUUGAUAUACAGGUUAUGACUAUGUUUCAUGCAGUCUCUUAGUUAGUGUCCAAAUUGAUAAUAAUUUUUUUUUUUUUUUUUUUUUUUUGUGUUUAGUAAUCUACAUGUCAUUGAAUCUUAGUACAUAAGAGUAUACCUAGUAAUCUAGAUGUCAUGAACACUAUAUGAUUUAGAGGAAUUAGAUCGUCGACAAUUAUUCAUUAAUAAUUUAUUGCUAGAAAUGGAAAAUUUGGAAAAAUAACCAAAAUUUGAAUCCUAUAUAGAACUAUAGCCAUCCUUUUAAGUUUAUGAUAAUUAUAACCAAAAGUUGAUAUGAAAAUACUAAUAUAUCCUUAAAAUAGGAAUUGAGAGGUAAGGAGAGUUUGAAAACAAAUCUAAAAAACCCAAAUCAAAUCUGAGAUUAUCCCAAUGUCUUACCGGGUUUUUUUUUUUUUUUUUUUUUUUUUGUUCCAAAAAAAAUUAAAAAAUGUGAACCCAAGGAUUUUCUCGGUUUGAUUUGUGUGUGACAAGAAAAAUUUAUUUAUUAUUCAUCAUUUUAUUGUGAAAUUGUUGUAGGGUUUUCAUUGUCAUUCAAAAAUGGUCUGGAAAGUUGUUGAAUACAGUCCCGAAGAAAAUGGUCUGGGAAGCUAUGAACACUCAUGGCUGAGACAACUUGGAGAACAUGUCAGUUUAUAUAUUUAUUGCCCCACACCACACCCAUUGAUUCAUUUACAUUUAGCAAUUUUCUUACAAGUUUGGGGCAUCUAGCUAGUAUGAAAAAGAAGAUCAUUAUCUACCAGCUGCUUCGUCGAUUGCAAAUUUUGUAUCAUUUUUCAUUUGGCAUUUCUCUUCUGCAUUAUAUGAUUUCGAUAUGUUUUCUGUCUCUAAACUUGUAGUAGAAAGGGGAUUUAAUUGUUCAAUUUUUUUAUUUUUUAUUUUGAUACAAAAUUAUAAAGGUGUACAUAAGGGUAUAUUAGUACUUUUAUAUCAAUUUUGGGCUAUAAUUAUCAUAAAUCUAAAAAAGUGGCUACAAUUCUACAUAGAGUCUUAAAUUUGGUUAUUUUCCAAAUUUCCUGCUAGAAAUAGGUUGGACUGGUUGUCACAUCCCGGCCAUGGCCCCCACCACAUAUCCUAUUACGACGGAGUCGAGCUCAAGAUGUGGUGGGGGCCGGAUUGUGACAUCCCAUAUUGUCCAGGAGAAUGGAUCAUGUAAGCCCUAUAUGUAUAUUCUCAUCUCUACCUAGCACAAGACAUUUUGGGAGCUUACUGGCUUCGAGUUCCAUCGAAACUCCGAAGUUCAGCGAGUUCGUGCGAGAGCAAUCCCAUGGUCAGGAUGUGACACUGGUUAUGGUGGAGUCAAACCCGGGAUGUGGUGAGGGCCCGGGCCGGGAUGUGACAUUGGUUAUAAUGAAAUCGAAUGCUCUAGUAACUCACUCAUCUCGUUCACAAUUUGUUUCUAUUUGCAUCUCUAUUCCUUUAGUCUUAUUUGUCUUGUUAUUUUUCAGUGUUUUUAAAUCAAGAACUCAAUCCUUGCAAUUCUUUCUUAUAAUCAAUAUUUUGAAUUCAAGUGCUAUUCAACUUAAGCUAGGCAAUUAGAAUUGACUCGAUCUCAGUUGGAACGAGGUUGUGUUUGCCUAUUAUAUUAUACUACAAUUCGUACAUUUGCGAGCAUGAAAAUUUGGACUGAAUUGGGUUGAUUUCGACAAAUCUAAUUUCGGCAACAAAGAUCAAUUUUUUUUUUUGUCUUAAAAUGGUUAAGAUCAUCAAUUAAAUUCUAAUUGCAAAGUUUCUAAAAAAUUUCAAAAGGUUUAGUGGGAUCUGUCAAAGCUUAGAAGUGUACUAUCUGAGAAUAUGGUGAAGAAAGAAAAUCAUUAGUUGGCCUGCUGGUAACCUUGGUGUGAGAAGGGACAAACUUUAACUUAUUUGAAAUGGCAUUUCGAAUGGUGUUUUCUUUGUGAAGACUUCUUAUGGUCUCUUAUUUCAAAGAGAGUCUUGGAUGAUUGGUCCCUAAUGAACAGCGGGCUAGGAAGUGUUUGACCUCUAAUCCUUCAUGCACUUUUUGUUCUUGGCAUGUUGAAUCUAUUCUCCAUAUUCUCAGGAAUUGUUAUAAGACUGAAUAUGUUUGGCUGCUUCUUAGUGUUCCUUGUUAUGUGAUAAACUCUUUUGAUUUGAACAUUCAAGCUUGGUUGCUUGCUAAUCUUAAGGUGCAUAUAAGGUUAUCAAUCAAAGUUUUUUGUGCAUUUUAUUCCUCUUUAGUUGUUGGCAUAUUUUGAAAUGGAGAAAUCAACAAAAAAAUUUAUACUAAUUAUGUUAUGCCAAGGGAUCCUUAAGCUAUUUUAGUAAGGGAUGCUGCUGAAUGGGUGAAGGUGUCUUCAAAAAAGCCAACUAGGAUGGUGCAAGAUUAAUAUUGAUGGUUAAGAAGAAUGACUUCUAGGCAAAUUGGGGAUGGUUGAGUUCUUAGAGAUCAUUGUGGUGAUUGGUUAGGGAGAUUUUCUGCCAAUUUGGGGCAGGGACAAGUUAUGGAGGUAGAGGUGUAGAGUUUUUAUUUUGACCUUAAGCUUGCUUUAACAAAGGCGUAUAUAGGCUUAUUAUUAAGAUGAAUUCAGUGGGUGGUGUCAACUUGAUUAAGCAAAAUAUGGCAAAUGAUUUUCAUCCUCAUUUUACAAUUUUGAGUAGCUACUGAAAUAUGAAGGAUCAGCUGGAGCGUCAUCAGUUGGUUCAUACUUUUUGACAAAAUAAUUUUGUUGCUGUUCAUUUAGCUAGCUCGAGCUACAAUACGGACCUGGAGGUUUGUGCUUUUCAUGAUCCUCCUAUGUGGAUUGAGAUGUUGUCGAUGGAUGAUUGCUUAGGUUCUUCAAGGCUUGUUUUGUCUGUUCGAAUGUUGUUUCUUAUUUCUUACAUUUAUAAGGUUAGGUAUUCCAUAUGAUCGAACCUCUUCGAGUUCAUUAUUGAUGUGUUUUCUCUCUAUAACAAGGUGUUGCCGCAGGCGCAGCACCGGUUGAAGUUUUUGUUAGGGAUCCAUUAAAUAGUUAAUUCUGAAGAGAUUGAAUUAAAAGUCAAUUAAUCUUCCGGACAUUGAGAAUUCAUUUGGAUUUGAAAUUAGCCACGGACUUCAAGGUUCAUUGACCAAGACCUAAAUGUGAGAAAUUUUUCAUUGUGUCUGGAACACGGAUGGUACACCACGACUUGUUAUAUAAGUGGUGAGAAAUGUUAUUUUUUAAGUUGUUAAUUUUUUAACACAGGUAUCUUACUAUUUAUAUAAUGACACAUAGUGUAUUACCCCGUAUUUCAGGUACACUGAAAAAUCUCUCUUAAAUGGCGAGAAUUUAAGUUGUGAGACAACUUAAGUUCAUUAAGUCCAAAAGAGGCUCAUUGAAUUCUCUUAGCCAAUUAUAGAGGGAAAAGAGAUUGUUAAGUGUGUCGCUAGAUCAUCUCAAAUAGGCUCUUUAAAUAAGCUUUUAACAACCACUUAGUAUUACGGUCUAGUGUUAUUUUUCUUCACUUAUAAGUAAGAAGUCUUAGGUUCGAUUCUUUCCAAAAGAGAAAUUGAGUCACAUUAUUGAUAGUCUAUUGUGAGGUUUAACCCGUUUUCCAUCUCUCUUGGACACCCACUUUGCUUUUUUUGCACACCCGUAUUUCUUAUUAUUUUAUUUCAUGUAUUUAAACCCGAAUUCUAUAACAUUUUUUUUUGUACAUCGAUAUUUUUACACUAGGAGGAGUGGGAGUUCGACUAAGCCACACAAUAGGUAGCCUAAUUUGUUAUCAAAUUCGUUAUCCACGAAAUUCGAGCCUAAGAUCUCUUAUUUCCAUGUGAAGAAGAAUACCACCAGACCGUAGUAUUGAAUGGUUAAUCCCAACAAUAAUUAGCAAUAACUUUUUGCACCUAAUUCGCUCCCAGCUCGUAACAUGUGUUUACAUCUCUCUGUCUAUUGUUUUAAUUCCUUUUUUAAGUUAGCUUCAAUAGGUUUUUAAAACUAAAAGUUGAAAUCAACGUUGAAGAGAUAGACAAGGAUUUAGAUCCUCUCCUGAGCUCAGCAUCCUGAGCCUGCUGAGCAAAUCACAUGGGCCAUUGGAGUUUGAUUCAACGGCUACAAAUAGAAGGCCCCUCUAAAAGUUAUAAUAAUUGUAGUUGUUGGAUCAAAAUAUAACGGUUCAUAUGAUUUGUUCAACAGGCUCAGGAUGCUGGGCUUAGGAGAGGAUCCAAAUCCAAUAUACAAAAGGUGAGUGAAGUUGAACUCAACGUUGUACUUGAUGAACACAUUUCUUUGUAUAAAAAUCCUAGUGGCUGUUCAAUUUGGCUAUAUAGGAAUUAAGUUGGGUGUAGUCAAAUUAGGAUUUCAAUUGAUUUUUAAGUUAUUGGAUUUCAUAUGAUUAUGGACUUCUAUCAAAUAUAUAUGGAUUUUGAAAGGUUUGAGAAGAUUCGUAUAACAAAUUUUUAAUAAUUUAAUAGACUUAUGCAGCGUUAAAUCUUGGCCAUCUAAUAGAUCAAAUGAUGAUAAAUGUGUCUAGGUCAUAAAUCUAACCAAAUGGAGCUGCAAUUGGUUCAUGCUCAAGAGUUGCGUCCCCUUCUCCAGAUGGAACAACUUGGUGAAGCAAGAGUCAGCUUGAGUGAGGCGUGGUGGAGAUGAGAUUCUUUUUAACCUUUUUUAUACAUGAAAUUCACUCUCAAAUCCUACUAAAUCUGUUACUCAAUGAAGCCAAGCGCAACUCAUUGCAAAGGCUAUUGCUUUAAAGGAAGGGCUUUUGUUUGCCAAGUGCAAAUGUGUGAAGAUGCUAAUGGUGAAAGGGGAUUCUAAGCAAGUCGUCCAGAUGGUGCAAGAUGUUUGGAUGCCUCCUUAGCAUCUUAAACCUAUCAUAGAGGAUAUAAAAUAGUUGGCUUCUAAGUUUCAACACAUCAGUUGGAAGCAUAUUUAUAGGGAGUCUAAUUUUGUGAUGGACACAUUAGCUCAUUUGGGCCUCAGUGUUGACAACCUUUAUUUUUGGGAUUAUUGUCUUCCGUUUUUGGCUAUAGAGGCCUUUAAUUUUUUUUGUAUUGAAAACGGUUGUAUUAAAGGUUUUAAGCUUUAAUAAAUUUCUUCUUUAUCAAAAAUUAAAAAAUUAAAAAAAUGAAACCUUACAAAAUCUAUGACAUUGUGAACACCUGCAGAUUUGCAUGGACUCUUUUUAAUCCUAAUUGACUACAUUUUGAUUUAGAUGAUUUUUUUUAAAAUCCUGUUAAAUCCUACUUUGACUACAGCAUGAUUUCAAAGUCUUUUAACACUCUAUUGACUACACCCUGAUUAGAAACUUAAUUGACUACACCUCCUAAGAUUAUAUUAAAAAGUCUAGUAAGUCUUUUAUAGUAAUUGUACAUAUGAGUGUAUGUAUUAUUUUUCAUUAAAUGAAACUGAAGGGUGUCCAUAGUAAAAGGUUGGUGUAUACAUAAUUAAUUAAAAAUUUAAUCAUCACGAAGUGAUUCAGUGGUUAGAGACGAAUUUCACGUUUGUAAUCCACACAACACGUCAUGGGUUCGAUUCCUAGUACUGGUGAAUAACAUGAUGAUGGUCAGGAAAUUGUUGAAAUGCCUCUGUGAGUCUUUCUGACCCCGAAAGAAUGAAAUGCCAUGACGAAGCCAUUAUCCGACCCCUUUUUAAAAAAAUAGAAAAGCUACCUUCUCCUUUUAGCUUUCCCAACUUGCCUUCCCCAUUCAUUAGUUGACAUGUGAACUCUACCACUAGUUAAAGCUCAAUAAUUAAUGUGUUAAAAUAUUAAUUAUUUAGUUCCCAUAUGCCUUUCAUUAUAUACCAAUUUUUAACUUGCACUCAAUACUUUCUUUAAAUUAUAUAAUUUUCACCGGAGCCAUCCUCCUUCCUAGGGAUGACAAUUAUAAUCGUUAAAACCAAUAACCAUGGAUAACCGCCCGAAUGUAUUAGAUUUGGGUAUGAAAAUUCGGGUAUAUUUUGGUUAUGGGAAAAAACCGUAAAUAAUAUUUGGUUAUGGUUUUGGAUAUGGUUAUAGCCGUCCUCAUCUUAAAGCUUACUACCAAGGCCGGACUUACAAGUGAAUUAGCUAGCAACCAAUUCAGUUGUAAAUAAUUCUAUUCUUCACAUCAACCUUACGGUGUUGAAACUUAGAGGUUUUGUAUUUUUGUAACAUAUGGAGAACUUGCUCAACCAUCAAAGGGGAUCAAGGGAAGGAGUUUUCAAGGUGCCAUUCAAGGAGAAGAUCAAGCCCUUCCUCUAGGGUGAUACACUUUUUCAAAACGAAAGUAGUAGUGCUUCAAGAUAUUGAAUCCAAAUCUCUAUGUUUUGUCUUUAGGGUGAACCCGCGAGCUUAGCCAUCAACCGGCCUUUUCUUGGCGAAGCCCACUGUCGUCACCACCACCAAAGUGAAGCAUGCGGUCCCCAAAAAAAAAAACCUUAUGAAGCACAGAUAUGGGAACGAGAGCAAGACUUUGGGAGAGGGGCGAAGCAUUUCGUGAACCCUAAUUUGGAAAUGUCAGGGAUUCCCCCCGAUCGUCAAACCACUGCAAGUCGCGAGGCGUGGACUAAUAAUUGUAGCAUGUUCCAAUGUCAAUGAGCGGCCCUCUAUUAUGAACUUACUUCUAUGAUUGUUUUUCCAAAUUCAAAUGUUUGAUCGAAAAAAUUGUAAUUGACCGUCGUUCCAUUUUGUGAACAAUGGCAACACAAUGGUUGGAUUGUCAUAAAGUUUAAAUAGAGGUAUUUGAACUUUAAUACUUGGAAAAAAAAAGAUUUAAUUAAAAUUUGGUAUUAGAUUACAUAUUUAUUUAGUUUUUUUUUAGUACGUACAACGAUAUAUUUUACACUAAGGGGAGGGGGGAGUUCGGCUAAGCCACACAAUUAACAACCUAAUUUGGUAUCGAAUUCGCCAUCCACGAGAUUCGAACCUAAGACUUCUCACUUACAAGUGAAGAAGUACCACCAGACCGUAGUACUGAGUGACAUACUUAUUUAGUUAUUAGAUGUGUGCUUUUAAUUCAAAUUCCAAUUCAUAUUCUAUUUUUGUUAUAAUGUUUAAUGUGUAUAAUAUUCAAUAUCUCCCAUUAAAUAUUUGAAUUUGUUAAUAUACAUAUUUGAAUUUAUUAAUUUUGUUUAACUUCCUCCAAUUAUAUCCUUAUAAAUGUACAUAAAUGAGAAAACAUUGAAAAAAUAAAAUAAUGACACAUAAGAAACAUGUAAAUGUAUAAGUGUACCGAAAAUAUACUAAAAGGAAUUGAUGUACCUAAAUGUUUGUAUUGAAAUAUAAGAUGUACCUAAAUGUCUGUACCGAAAUGUAACAUAUUAAAUUAAGGUACUUAAAUGUCUGUAUGGAAAUGACUAUACUAAAAUAUAUUAAAUGAAUUAGUAUACCUUGGUUAUGUCACUUUCUAGGUUAAGCUGUAGGCCAGGCUCGAAUAAAGGGCCUCCACAUCCUCAAGUAAUUUGUUGGUUAAGCUGCAUACUGCAAUUAUAUAUAUCCAUGUGUUAUCUUUAAAGAAAAUAUAUGUGCCUAAUAUCAAGCAUAUAUACCAUACUACUUCUACUAUAUAUCAAAUAUAAUAUGAGCAAAAGUGCUUUUGUUCUGUCAUUCAAACAGAAAAAACCCCUCAUCCGCUUGUCAUGUAUUAAUAUUUUUCUCAUCAAUUUGCCACUUUCAACUACUACUAAUUUUUUUGUAACAUUGCAAUUGCGAUACAUUGUCAUAUGAAAUCAUCUCCAAUAUCAUAUUUGGUAUAAGCCAUACUAUAAUAAGGUCUUCUUAGUUGUUUUUCAGGUUGCCCCCACUAGAAGAAAUCUAGUUUCGUCCCUGACCUAAAUGUUUGUACCGAAACAUAUUAUAAUGAAUUAAUGUACCUAAAUGUUUGUACGAAAAUGUUUGUGCUAAAUGAUAUUAUAUUGAAUUAAUGUACUUAAAUGCCUCCAUCGAAAAGGACAUACCAAAAUGUAUUAAUAUACCUAAAUGAAUAACAUGAAGUGUAUUGGGAUAUUAUAUACAUGAAAUUACUGUAACAAAAUAAAAUAUCAGAAUAUUAUUUGUGGAACCCCCAGAUGUUAUUGGGAUAUUAUUCCUCAUUCUUAUAAUGGAGUGGCACUCGGCCUCGCCAAGUUAAGUUUGCAUAAUUGUUCUGAUGUAGUUUUGUUUGAGGAACCCCCAUAUGUUGUUUGGCAAGUUCUCAACCAAGAUAUGUUACUCCCUUGAGUUUAUGAAUAAAAGCAAUCGUAUUCUAUUCAAAAAAGAAUAUAAUUAAAUGUAGUUAAUAUUAACAUUAGGAAAAAAAAAACAUGAAAAAUAUAAUUAUGAGGUUAUUAAAUGUGUUAAGGAACUAAAUUAGAUUUUAAUCUUAAGCUAGAAUUUAGUUUAAAAGUCAUAUUUUUUAAGAACUAAAACUCAGUUUUCUAUUUUAAAUAUGUUAUUGUUGGUGCUUUAUGUGACUUGCAUAAACUUUAAAACUUACAUUUGUGAACGUGAAGUUUGUCGACUUCAGAUCAAAGAUUUUAGGGUUCCAAAGGGUUGACUUUCCCAUCAAUGUUCACCAUAGCACGCUAUCAAUAUCAUAGCCAAUGUAUACGACUUAGACUUGACAGUUGUUCGACUUGAAUCUCAACUUGACUGGUAAAGCAAUAAUUUGGGUUAAACAAAACGGGCAAAUCUGCACACACAGCUAAAAACCCGAUAAAGAGCAGAGGAAGAGAAUAAAAACAAGGAAAAAUCAAAAGACGUACCAUAUACCUUAUCUCUCUAUAUUCCAUUGCUUACAUAACGCCGAAGCACAAUCGGUUGGUAUAUGAAGCUGAACAAAAUAUGUUUGCCUUUUUUUUUUCUUUUCAAAUAAAACCGAGCGACAAGAAGUUGAAAUUGGCAGAAAAUGAAAUCAGGAAACACAGGAAAGCAACGAAAUUGAUUUUUCACUUUUGGAAGUAAAGCAAAGUAGAUUAAGCUAAAGAAGGUUGCUGUGAUGAAGAAACCAAAACGAGACAAGUGUAUGUAAUAAGAAGAUCGGAGCAAAUAAUGAGAAAUGGAUGGGAAGAAAAGCUCUUUCAGCAGAAGAAGAUGAGAUAAUGAAUGCAUGAGAGAGAGAACGUGGUAGCAUAGAGAAGUCCAACGUUGUAUGCAAUUAAAAAAGACCAAGGUAAGAAAAUGGCUGUAUUAGUUGACGUAUCGAGAAAUGUGACAAAGAACGUGGUACGAUAGAGAAGCCCAAUGUAGUCUGCAAUUGAAAAAGACUAAAUGAGGACUUAUUCUGGCAGGCAUUUCCUAUUUCCUAGGUAAGAAAAUGGCUGUAUUAGUUGGCAUAUUGAGAAAUGUGAGAGAGAACGUGGAACCAUAGAGAAGACAACGUUGGGAGAGAUUUUUCAAACCAUGAAACCUGGAAAUCUGUACAAAAGUUCUCAUUCCAUCUCUCAAAUUAUGGAGAAAUUUUUAAUUGUGAUGAGAAUAUGGUACAUCACGUGUUUUUAUGUAAGUGGAAAAAUUUUAAUUUUUAUGUUAUUAACUUUUUAAUACACAUAACCCACUAUUUAUACAAAAACACGUGGCGUAUCACCUCGUGUAAUGGUUACAUUGAAAAAUCUUUCCAAAUCAUGAAAGGGUCGUGGCUCCAAAGUUACAAAAACUCCAUUAAAAACUCAUCAACCAAACUCACUAAUUCAUAAUCCACAAAAUAUAUAUACAAUUAUUCACAAAUUUCCGAUGGAAAAAUUUUGAGGAAAAAAAGGUGUAGGGAGAAACCCACAAAAAAAUUAAUAAUUUUGGAAAAGAGAGAGAGACAAAUUCAAAUUGUAGAUUUACCCCGGACUUUUUUCAAUUUCAAAAUUCAAAUCUUGGGUUGUUUCUUUUGUUUACAGAUUCAAAUCCUGGGUUUGCCCAGUAUAGUUUGAUGGAUAUUUGAAAAUAGACAACCAUGGUUACCAAUUCUUAGGGCUGGUUUGGUAUUGCUGUGCUUUGAAAAAAAAGCUGUUGUGAGAAUAAGCGGCUAUGAAAUAAAUCAGUAGAGUGUUUGGUAAACUUUUUUGUAAAAGUGCUUUUGGAAAAAAAAAAAAAAAGCAAUCUGAUAGUGGGUCUUUUCAUUAAAGGAGCACUGUAGCUCCAUGUGCUUUGAAAAAAAACCAGUUUUCCAAAGCUGCAAAUAGUAGCUUCAGCUUUUUCCUUUGAUUUCAGCUUAUUCUCACAGCAGCUUCCAAAAUAAGCCAUUUUUUUAGUUUACCAAACACCUAAAACCCUCACAGCUUUUUUUCAUGGAUGCUUUUUUUUAAGCACCUCACUCCUAAACCACCCCUUAGUGUGAGAGAGUAGAGCUGUAAAUUUUGGAGAGAAGAGAGUAAGGCUUUUACAAUGCUUUUGGCUUCAUCGGGAAUAUGAAAGGGUGAAGAACAGCAAGUGGAGAGAAAUAUAAUUUUAAAUCACUAUUUUCUUAAGUUAUAUUAACAGUGGGACUCAAGGCGUGCUGGGCAAGUCCGACUGGACUCUCUUUUGGUGCGAGUCCCACUAGCAUUUGGGGUGAGUCCGGCUAACAUUCUCCUUGAUCUAAAGUCUACGCACUUCAACUUCACAAACUUAAGUAAUAUGGUAUAAGUUACGUUAAUCAACACUUAAUAAUUCAAUCAUCAACAAUCACAUAAUAUAGUUUAUAAAAUAUGAUUUAAAUAGAUAAUUUCCCUAACAAUAUGGUACCUUAACACAAGGUGAAUGUUCUUCAUGAAGAAAACCUCACAAUAAGACCAAAGCCUCCAAAAUGGUUCUUUUUCCCAACUUUGCAGUACUAAAAUUUAGAACCUCUAUUUUACUAUAUCUCCAAAAAUUGUUUACCAACAACAACAACAAAGCAUUUUCCCAUUAAGUGGGAUCGGCUGCAUGAAUUUUAGAACGUCAUUCCGCUCGGUUCUGUACCACGUCUUCCGUUAGAUCCAAGUACUCUUCAGUCUUUUCUUAGAGUCUUUUCCAAAGUCUUCCUUUAUCCCUUUGGCCCUGAACCUCUGUCCCGUAAUCGCAUAUUAUAACUGGAGCGUCAAUAGGCUUUCGUUUCACAUGUUUAAACCACCAUAACUGAUUUUCUCUCAUCUUUCCUUCAAUUUCGGCUACUCCUACUUUACCUCUAAUAUCCUCAUUCCUAAUCUUAUCCUUUCUUAUGUGCCCAUAUAUCCAACUAAACAUUCUCAUCUCGGCUACACCUAUUUUAUGUACAUGUUAAUGCUUCACUGCCCAACAUUCCAUGCCAUAAAGCAUUGUUGACCUUAUUGUUGUCCUAUAAAAUUGUUUACCAAAAAGAAAAAAGAUGUUCGACAUAGGCUCAAACGCAUUAGACUCUUAAAAGGAUAUUGUCGAUGGACUUAGAUUCUUUAAUUGGCCACAAUAGUACACGCUUAACUCAUUCAAGUACGGAAAAACUGGAUCAUCGGCUAGAAAGGAGUUCUCAUUCCCUAGAUGCAUCAGCUCCGGCAUUUCACGGAGCCACAAAGUCUUUACAUGUGGAAGGGUCCCAACUGCUUGUAUUUCCCAACUAGUAUUUCCUUCCUGGGCAAAUAUUUAUUUCCAAGGUGCAGAACACAAAAAGAGUGUUUUAAGCUUUUGUAAUUUUUGAAGGAAAAUAAAUAUCUGGGGUGUGCUGCCGGAGAAAAAGUUAAAGAUGGUAGUUUGCUAAAGAAGUCCACUGGCAAUGGACCAUACAGUUUGUUGAUGCACAAAACCGGAAGGUCUUGGAAUAACGUAAAUUCGACCGUGAAUCUGUAAGAAAGUAAAGAACACAAGAUGUAUCGUGGUUUACCCAAUGUUUGGGCUACGUCCACACUGAUGUUGAUCGUAUUUCUCUGUAACUGUAUGUAUGGAUUACAAGUGUGAGGGGGAGUCCCACAGAGAAAGAGAGAGUUUGAGAGAGUUUCUCUGAUUUGUGAGCCUUAUGGCUUCUGUAUGUGAGGAUGAGACCUCUUCAUUGUGAGGGUGAGGAGACCCUUUUAUAGACUAAAGACUCCUCCCCUUUUACAUGAAUCAUGGGUUCAAUGUCUGGAAGCCCAAGUAACGAGGCCCAAUAUAAUAUGAUACCAACAGUAGUCCCCCAAGUCAUCAGUCAAGAGAGUCUUUUGGCUGGAGACUUUGAAAUUCAGUCUAUGUGUGGGCCGAAGUAACCAGUUGUCGUCUAGAAUUGAUACUUGAUAUGGGGCGGUGCUCAAUGUGAAAUGAUGCUCAACUAGAAGUAGCACAUGUUGCGAGGCCGCUCAGCUUGUGGCUUAUGUUGCCUUGGUUGGCUUGGCUUGUGGCGUUGAAGGUGAGGGAGUCCCUUUUUAGAAUAAGGGCUUGCUCCUCAAUACAUAAAUGAUGGGCUAGAGUUGAUGUUCACGGAGAGGCGGUUGCUCAGCAAGCGACGAUGCUCUCUAAUGAUGGUGAUGGAGUCCCUUUUAUAGAAUAAGAGCUCGUUCAUCAAUACAUAAGUGAUGGGUUAGGAGUGAUGCUCGCGGUGAGGCGGUUGCUCAGCUGGCGGCGAUGCUAUCUAAUGAAGGUAAGGAAGUACCUUUUAUAAAAUAAGGGUUCGCUCUUCAAUACAUGAAUAAUGGAUGCUCUCUAAUGAAAAUGAGGGAGUCCAUUUUAUAGAAUAAGGGUUCGCUCAUCAAUACAUAAAUGAUGGGCUAAGUCCCCCAAGAGUAUUUUUCAUGAGGCCCAGUUGCGGAAGCCUAAUAUUUGGUACAUAGUGUAGUCCUCCAAGUCUUCAGUCAAUAGAGUCUGUUGGCUGGAGAUUUCAAAUUCAAUCCAUGUAUGGGCCGAAGUGGAGGUUGUUCGGGGGCAGUCUUUGUAUACCGUGCACUGAAGCUUGUAGGUGAAGCUUUGAAGCUGGAGCUUUUGUAAAUAAAGUUUUUGAAGUCAGAGCUUUGUAAAUGAAGCUUUCGAAGCUGGAGCUUUGUACAUGAAGCUUUCGAAGCUGAUUGACAUGAUUGAUGCUCAUGAAUGUUUAUGUUGAUUGACAUGAGUGAUGCUCAUGGAUGUUGACAUGAGUGAUGCUCAUGAAUGUUUAUUUAUGAUUGACAUGAGUGAUGCUCAUGAAUGUUUAUGUAUGAUUGACAUGAGUGAUGCUCAUGUAUAAUUUUGGAGUAUUGGAUGUACUUUUGAUCACCUGGUUGGUGAUAAUAGCGGCAUGCUGUCGAAUAAUUUUGAAGUACUGGACGUACUUUUGAUCACCUGGUUGGUGAUAAUAGAGGAUGAACCUUAAGUGGAGGGAUGGAGGUUGGAGUUUGAAGUCAUAGGGCUUGGCUCUUUUGGGCAUAUGGGUCUUCGCCCUCCACAUAACAUUCCAGCCCACUAUUUUGGGCUUGCCGACAUUUUGCCCAUGUUUUUUUUUUUUUUUUUUUUUGUGGUGGAUGGUAGACAAAAGGAAUAAUAAUAGACUUAUUAUUGAGAAAGCUUAUCUUCUUCUUCGUUGCUUUUCCUCUUCCGCUUGUUGGUUGUAAAGGUCAGUAUACUCCAGCUGUAAAAAGGCAAUAUUCAUUUCUCUAAAGUGACAGCUGCUUGGACAACCUUUCCGACACCACCCAUUUUCUUUUCUUGAUCUCCCCGCUCUAAUAGAACUCACCCCUCUCUGACUCAUCCCUUUCUGACCCUGCUCCAUUUUCUAAGCACAUAUAAUAAGCUAUGACUCUUUCUCGUGAGUGUUUGUUCAGUGGGAUACUUUUGCAUGUUAUCCCGUGGGUUUUCUUUUUUUAGUGGGAUAGUGGAUGUCUUAUCUUUGUAGAUUUGCAUGCCUGCUUUACAGCAAACACAUCUUUAGCUUUUCCAUAUCGUCCACCUUCAAAUCAACAACAAAUUAGUCUCUUUAAAUACACCCACUUGCUCAUUUUCCUGUAGCUUUUUUCAGAAAAAAAAAAUAGGCAUGGGGUCAUGCACAAAGCCCUGGCAUGCCAUCACGGGGCCACAAAGCUCCAUAGUUGUUGCCAAAGAGUUCGUCAUUUUCCAACUUCUCAUAAGCAUCAGCUUUGAGGGGGAUCCACCCGUAAAUGGCCUCGCCGGCGGCGGCGCUGAGCUAAGAGGGCCAGCCGGCGAAGACUUGCUCACCCUUCAAAGAAGAACGACUUGAAAAACCCAAUCUGAAGCUAAAGGCACUACCUUUCCUGCCAUUGUGACUAUUAUGGCUGUGAUAAGACCCCUCAUUCUCCUUCCUACUCUUCUUCGACUCUCUGCCGCCGACGACGUUCCGAUCCUCUGACACGUCGCCCGGACGAUGAUUCUGAUUCUGUGGUUCCCUUUUGCUACCACUCUUAUUAAAUUCCGAAGAGUUCGAUUUGGACUUUGGUUUGGAUUUGGAUCGGCUAACAUUGUUGUUGUUGCUGGCAGCGGAAGCGGAGUUAUUCUUUUUUAAGGAGGACGAAGAGGGCUCGAGGAGGACGGAGCCAUUGCCGGCGACGGUGGCCAGGUACUCGUAACAAGGAGACGCCGAGGCAGCCACCCGUUUGGAGCUGAUGCAACCCAUUUAUCGCCACCAUCAAAUCCCGCCAGCAUCGAUCGAUCGGAGAAUGUGGGGGGAUAUCGCCAUCUGUGGUGGCGUCGGUCAAACCGAGGUAUUGGCCGUGACUGGUCACCGGAAUGGUCAUAUCCGGCGCGAUGAGGAAUGCCAGGCCCUCGCCAGAAAUGGCAGAACUGAGCGGUUGUUGAGGGUGAAGUUUUCGGCUGUCCGGCGUGAUCUGGAGUGCAUCGUUGCUGAUCGUCACCAGUUGGAGCAUUGCGAACUUGCUGUAAAAAAGAAAGAAUCUUUGGGGCUCUUUUAUGAGCAGACCAAAAGAGAGAGAGAGAGAAUGGGAUUAGCGGCAUUCCUGGGUUUGGUUGAGGAGGUACGGAUAUUUGGUGGUAUGUCAGGUAAGAGGAGCCAAAAGCCGUUGGAUUGGGUUGUGGAGGUUUUCAGAAAAGCCCAAGGAGGGAUGUUCUAGGUUCUUGGGUUGUACAGAUUCACAGUGGUGAGAUGAAAAAAAUGAAAGAGAACCAACGUAGCUUUUCAUGUCGAUUCCCACAGAUGGCGUCAAAUGUUGAUGCACAAAAUCGGAAGGUCUUGGAACAACGUAAAUUUGACCGUGAAUCUGCAAGAAAGUAAAGAACACAAGAUGUAUCGUGGUUCACCCCAAUGUUUGGGCUACGUCUACACUGAUGUUGAUCGUAUUUCUCUGUAACUGUAUGUAUGGAUUACAAGUGUGAGGGGGAGUCCCCCAGAGAAAGAGAGAGUUUGAGAGAGUUUCUCUAUUUUGUGAGCCUUGUUGCUUUUGUAUGUGAGGAUAAGACCUCUUCAUUGUGAGGGUGAGGAGACCCUUUUAUAGACUAAGAGCUCCUCCCCUUUUACAUGAAUCAUGGGCUCAAUGUUUGGAAACCUAAGUAACGAGACCCAAUAUAAUAUGGUACCAACACGGUUCAUAGAAAAUUUGUGUUGUGGUCCACGAAACAAAAUGUAACAUAAAAUCAAAUGUACCUAUAUUAUAAGUAAUCAAACGUACCAAUAUAAUCAUACAAUUAAACAUACCUCUAAUAAAAUCGUAAGAAAAAUGUUUAAUCAAAUUCUUAAAAGGAACAUAUAUUUAAUCAACGAAGUUGAAAAAUAAGACGCCUAUACCAAAUAAUAUUUGGAUACAUAUAGAACUGUCAUCUCUCUAAUAACAGUAAGCCCUACAAUUGUAAAUGCACAACACGCCUAUAUUGAAGGAUAUAUGCCAACAAACUUGUUAGGUUGGUACGAACAUCUCCAAGAGACUAAUCAUAUUUUUGUUAUUUUUAACACAAUUAUUGGCGAAUUAUAAAUGCUCUUUUCAACCUCAAUCUACCGUUUGCAUUCAACCGAGAUGCCUUGAAACUUUUGAAAAAGAGGACAAAUAAUCCUUUUAAUGAAUUUUUUUUUAUAAAAUUAGUUUUUUCAAAGAAAAUGUAUUGAAGGGAAUUUCGCUUAAGAAAAUUGUGUACAAGCAUCUUUCCCUGUCAACAAAAUAGAAAGGUAGUUUGACUGGUGUAUAGAGGCUCAACUGAUCAAGCUUUUCGUGGAAUCUUGAAAUUUCAAAAGCAAAAAUCUCUAUAUUACCACAUUCGAUGAAAUUUAGUUGCUUUAGUAAUAGCCACUUGGAAACAUGCAGGACAGGAGAAAAACUCCUAUGUUCUGGUAGAUUUUCAAAUCUCACAUAUGCAACAUUUGGUGUGAUACCCUACAUUUGUAUUUUAAUUAUUGGACUCGACUAUACAACGAUUAAUGUUUAAACUUUGUAAUUCAAUCUAUGAUCAAAGUGAUUACUCUUAAUCUUUAUAGUUGAAAGAUUUACCAAAGUGUCAUUUUGAUUAUAGCCAUGGUGAGUUUCUUGAUACUCAUUGUAGGACCAAAAUAUAUAAUAGAUAAAUAAAAUAUGGGGAACUUUAACGAAAAACUUCCGAUACUGUUCACUUUAACGAAAAACCACAUUUUUAUAUUAAAAAGUCAAACCGUAUACUAUUCACUUUACCAUUUUUUAUGUCCUUAUAGUUAAAACUCAAAAUUUUUAAUUUCUUUUCAUUAGUUAUUCUCUUCUUGGGAGCAGCCUCUCCAUAAAUGGGGGUAAGGCUAGCCGACAUUCACCUCUCCCAGACCCUGCGUAAAGCGGGAGCCUUGUGCACUGGGUACGACCUUUUUUUUUUAGUUAUUCUCUUCACUAAUUCCCUCGGGCUCUCUCUCAAAAUUAAAAAAAAACAACCAUGGAGGCCCGGGAGUCGAAGACGCGGCAUCGGUGAUCAACUCCGCCAACACUCCGCCGCCGCAGUUUGUGAACAAAAUCUGCGAUAUGGUGGAAGACCCCUCCACCGACGCCUUUGUCUCCCUCCUGGAGCAACGGCAACAACAGCUUUGGCGUCUGGAACGUCCCUGAGUUCUCGAGGGACAUCCUGCCCAAGUAUUUCAAGCACAGAAAAUUCUCUAGCUUCGUCAGGCAGUUGAAUGCUUAUGUGGGUAUUUCUUCCCUUUCCUAAAUUUUGAUUCGUUCUUGCUUUUUCUGCAUUUGAUUGUUGUUUUGGCGGUAAUUCCGGUCGGAACUGUGAAAUUUGGAGUAGUUACGCGGGAUCAAUGUUCAGUUAGGUUUUGCAAUUGUUAUUUUGGCGAGAGGGUUAUCGAAUUUGAGGUUGUAAAUAAGUAAAUUGUGAAGAUAAAUUAUGUUUGUUGAAUUGGAUACUUCGUCAUUCAUUGGGUUCCUUUAGGUCUAGUCGAUCACUAUGUCAUGUAAAAAUGAUUUCAAUUUGUGUUGUUUGUUCCGAACCAGGUGAAAAGGUGGAAGGAAAAAGGACAUUAAGAGGUAAGAACUACAUUGAGAAUGAGAUAAAAUUUGAGCCGACUACUUUUGUGCAAAUUGCCUUGAUUUACGUGCUUCUUGGAUAAAUUUGUUCCAUUGCAUUGCAUUACUCUGAAAAGAAAAACCGAAUUCCUCUAUUUGAUGUCGAUUCAUACACACUAUGUAGCAUUUGGAGAGAAACGCUCAACUGUGGCACAAUCGGUUUCAAAUUCUUUUAGAAGCGAAUGCUUUGGAAUAUUCCAUUCUUGUAGCAGCCACCGCUUCGAAUCCAGCUCCUCUGCAAUUUCUGGGCCCAUAUUCUGGGUGUGCAUAAGCCCCCUUAGAGAUAGGGGCGAGCAGGAAAGCAGCCCCUUGUAUAGGGUUACGAACAUAUUGUAGUAAUAAUAAGAAAGGGGCAAGCAAAACUUACUCCUAACAAGUUGCUGGCUUUUCAGCCGUGCAAGUUGUGGUUAUUAUGCUGUGAGGGAAGAUCUUUUACAUUGAUGAAGAUAUUUUCUGAAACUGAUAGGUCGAUGUUUUCUCAAAAAAUUUCAGUUGAAAUGCCAAUUGAGUGACUGUCAUUGCCAUAUCAGCAUGGUAUUCAGAUUAUUCAAUGCGCCCAUCAUACUUAAGCUCCUCAUCCAAUUGAUUGCAACUCCACUCUAGACUCAAGUAUGCUGUCUCUGUCAAUCCUUUUCUUUCAAGACUGGGAUGAACAUCAAAUGCGUUUAUACUGUUCCUGGUAAGUUGGUUCCCAUCAAACCGGAUUCAAGACAAUGCCCAACAAUUCCUCAAGCACUCGGGCAAAUACCCUAUUAGAUUGUUAUUCUUCACUUUGAAACUUGCAAAGCGAAUCAGCUACACUACUCCGGUGACAGUUACAAAAAAACCAAGCUCAAAAGCGAUUGAAGAGUUUAAGGAAUUCUCACCAAGGUCAAGGUAGUGAAGCUUCCUGAGUUCGCCUAUUCCGAUGAAAUUUUCCCUUCACGGGAAUUUUGAGAUGGGUCAAUAUGUUGCAUGCAGUCCAGACAUUAAACCGAUAUCUUAAGGGAUUUGGCCACUAAUGUGUAUUUUGUCCUUGGUAGACUUUGAAAAGUCUCAUCUUUUUGUUCUUGGCUAUUUUCCCCUUAAUCUGUAUUUGUCCUGUUGUACGUUUUGUUCCAGUCUGUCUCCUUACUGUUUCGUUUGUUGUCAUCUGUGAGGAUGGCUUUUUAUUGUUUGCGUGAUGUUUUGCAGGAUUCAUAGAUAAUAGAUUUGGUAUGGGCUGCCGUGCGUGUAACUGUGUAAAACUACUCUCUUCCUUUCAUUUAAAAUGGUACAUCGACUAUUUAUGUUGAUUGUUGUUGUAGAGCCGAAGAAAUUCUCUGUUUUUGCCAUGGCUUCUGAGGGUAUUUUUACCCCCCACAUAUUUUAUGUCCUUCUUUUGUUCGUCUGCGGCUUUCAUGCUGAAUUAUUGCUCUUUGAAUUGUUUUGAGGAUAACCAAUUGCUCAAAUUGUUCAAAUUUUGGAAUUCAGUGACCUUUCAUGUGCAUUUUUGGUUUGGUUCUUAAUUGAAAUGAAUCGAAUUGAAUAUUUGUAACCAAAAUAAUUGAUUUUUAAAAUUGUUCAAAUUUGGUAAUUUAGUGUGCUUUUAUAUGCAGUUUUGGUUUGGUUCCUAUUUGAAAUGAAUUGAAUCAAAUUAAAUAUUCAUCAAGCCUUUAUGCGUAUUUCUGGUUUAGUCCAUUAUUCUAACACAUACAAUAUUUAUAAUUCUUCACCACUUCAAAUGCAUCAAUGUUUACAGAAAUCACACAAGCAUUAUUUCCCAAACACCAAAACCGAAAAUGUAGCGAAUAAAGCUCAAAUUACAAAUCACACUAUUACGAUGAAACACACAAGUCAAUACAAGCAACAUGUCGUGGAAUAUGAUUCAGUGCCUUCUCAAAUUGCACAGAGAUUAGUUAGAGCAAGUAACAAGGAAAAUCAGAGUGCCUUCCAGUCUGCUCUCCAGGCUAAUAUUUCUUCCUUGAAAAGGAAAAACAAAAGGAAGAGGAAAAUAACGAACAAACACGCAAUCGCACACAAUCGGAAAACGUUAACACGCCAGGCAAAAGAUGAGGAUUCCUCUUUGGAAGAGAGUCCUACAAUUUUAACAUCCACAUGUGAAUCUGCAAUCAUCGGCUGCUCCUGUAGAAAUAUAUAUUUCGUUGACGAAAUAAACACAUAAAUUGUUCAGUAUGAAAUCUGACUGAACAACAAUGAAUAAGAUGAAUAAAUCAGACUUUUAAAUGUUACGGUUCAAGGUUCAGAAAAAGCUGAAAAAUUGGAAAGUGAAAUAAAUAGUUGUUUAAUUAGUGAAUGAAGUACUUACAGUUUGAUCACGAUCAGUCUCCCUUGAAUAACUUAGCAUCAGUACAUCAUCAGUUUCUUCUGUUACAUGUAGUCUUUCUGGUGUUAGAUCACUUUGGAGUAACCCAUCAGAAGAAAUCUUUAUAUCGAUCAGCUGGCAAUCCUCGACAAUCAAAUUUUCUAAGGAUGGGACUUUGAAAAUGCAAUUUCCCGUGCAAAAGCCUUGCAGACUUGGUAGGCCAGAAAGCUUCAAAUGCUGCAAGCAACUGAAAGUAAUCUCAUUUUCUGGAUCAUCUUCCUUGCUCGCUACUAUUUCUACCAUUCUUUGACAGGACUCAACUUCCAAGUUCUUGAGUUGCUGUAAAUUCUUAGCCACAGAAUAAGGUAUUAAGUAUUGCAGUCCGUGACAAUCCCCUAUGGUGAAAGUGGUUAGAUUCCGAAAGGAUAUCAAGGAUGAAGCUAGAUUCUCUAAUCUGCCACAAUUGUUCACGCAUAGAACUUCCAAGUUUGGAAAAACACGGCCCCCUGCUUGGGAGUUUUCCAUCCCUAGAUGUAUCAGCUCCGGCAUAUCGAUGAGCCACAAAGUCUUUACACGUGGGAGGGUCUCAACUUCAUGUAUUUCCCUGCUACCACUUCCUUGGUGGUCGUGGACAAAUAAUUCUUUCCAAGGAGCAGAAAGCACACGGAGACGUUCAAUAUUCUGUAAAUUCUCAAAGAAAACAUCUGACUUGGGAUGUGAAGUAGCAAAAUAAAUUGACUUUACUUUGCUCAACAACUCUGCUAGGAGUGGACCAUAUGGUUCAUACCAAAUCUCCGUGUUCUUGUCCAACAUCAACUUUUCCAAGUUGAGAAAUGACUUGCCCUGAAAUAUUGUCAACGGUAAUGGCAUGCUUUAAAUUAUUUUGAAAAAACUGGAUAACACAUAAUAACUUUAAUAUUAAAAACUUAACAAGGGUCACUUAGUACUACGGUAUAGUGGUAUUCCUUCACUAGUAAGUGAGAGGUAAUAUGUUCGAUUCUCGCUAAAGGCGAAUUUAAACCACAUUAUUGCUAAUCCAUUGUGAGGCUUAGCUCACUCCCCCAUCUCCAACCGAACGAAGGCCAAAUGACUCGUUUUAGCCCUCUGGCCCUCCAAGAUAUUAAUAUUUUAAUGAACAGUAUAAGGUCGUAUUUGCCUCCAUCUCCAACCAAGGGCCAUAUGGCUUAGUUGGGCCAGCCGGUUGGCCCUUUGGCCAUUUUUUGUCCAGUGGAGCCCACGAGCCCUUUGGCCUAACUCUCGGUUGGAGACGGUUUUCGGGCUAUUUUCAGCCCUCUGGCCCUUUGGACCUUUCGGUUGGAGGUGGUCUUACUUUUCCAAAGAAAACUAGUUAUGUAAAAAGCACAUAACAUUUCGUUCAUAAAUUUAAACAAAAAAAAUUAAAAAAAAAAAAAAACAUUGUGUACAAGAAUGUUUACCUUCUCAAUUAAAAAGAAAGGUUGUUUCAUUGGUCUUGGGUGGCUCAAGUCAAGCUUGUCUUGAUAUGUUGAAAAUUCGGAAGCAAAAAUCUCCACACUACUACAUUGUUCGAAAUUUAAUUCGUUGAGUAAUGGCCAAUUAGAGACAUGCAGUCCAUGAUAGAAACUCCGAAGCCGGGGUAGAUUUUCAAAUAUCACUAUUUCUACUUUAGGGAACCUGAACUCCUCAUGUGUCCUUUUUGGUCCUUCUUCCAUCGUGACAAUUUCCUCCAUUAAACCACAAUUCUCGACCUUGAACUUCCUUAGCUGCUUAAGAUUUUUGGCUACUGAGACGGGAAAUAAAUUCUUCAAACUCUCACAUGAGGAUAUCUCAACUAAAUUUAGAUUUGGGCAAUCAAAACCGUUCAACUGAGUGGUAGAUGAUGAGUCAUAUACUACUUGUAGUGAUUGGCAUUGCUUUAUAUAUAAGGACUCUAGAGCAUUCAAUCUUCCCAUGAUACUUGGCCCAAAGAUAUUAAUCAAAUUGUGGCACCUACUAACAUCCAUAAUUCUGAGCUUGCCAAAAGAAUCUGAAUGUAGUUGGUUGUGGAAUAUUGUCUUCAAUUUAGGUAAGUCCUGUAUCCACAAUAUCUCCAAGCUAGGAAAUUCUACCUGUCACAUAUUCAUUUUAGAAAGAGUGGGACGCAUGCAUAAGUUGGAAAUGAAAGCAUAAAGAAAAGAAGUGAAGUUAUAAUUCACCUUUUCAUCAAAGAGCUCAAUAUCUCUUUCUUCUUUGUUGGUUGUAAUAUUUUCACUCUUGGCAUCAAAGAUGAAUGUCUCCAGUUUAGUACAAUCGUCUAGAUCCAAAAACACCAAAGAUGGAAAUUUAAUGUAACUUCCUGAGCUGAAUCUAGAAAGGCUUGGAAGAUGUUGUAGCUCUAGACGGCUUAGCUUAUCAAACAUGUAAUUUGUAUUCUCCUCAUUUCCCACUAUCUCUUCCAUAAUUUGACAAUUAGAUAUCUUGAGAUUUUUGAGUUGUCUGAGAGAUUUAGCCAUGGAACUCGAAAACAAAAAUCUUAAACUAUCGCAUUGAUACACAGUCAAGGUUGUUAAGUUGGGCAUCAUAACCUGCAUAGCACAUAACAAAAUUCAUGUUUAUUUUAGAAAAUUACAAUUUACAUUGUUGUUAGCCGUAUACAUUCCAAAUGUGUAGAUAUAAAGUAAAUGUCAUCUAUUUAAAAGGGAACGGAUCCCCUCCUGAGCGUAGGAGGCGAAGCCUUUUGAGGAAAUCACACAGAUCGUUGAAUUUUGAUCCAACAGGUACAAUUAUUAUAACUUUUAGAGGAUCUCCUGUUUGCAGCUGUUGGAUCAAAAUCCAACGACCCGUGUGAUUUUCUCAAGAAGGGAUCCGUUCACUAUUUAAAAAGUAAGCUACUAAGCUACUAGGCCACUAGACAGAUGUAUGUCCUUGUACUUUCAUUAAUUAGCAAAGAACAAAUUGGAGUAAAAAUCUAACUGAAAAAGAGAAAUAAAUGGCCAAAAUUAUAUUUUUAAAUUGAUACAAAAAAACACAUUAUUGUGAAAGAUCUUUAGUGGUAAGUGGUGAAUUCUCCCAAUAAUUAGAGUUUGGUUCAAAUUUUUUAAAAAUAAGUGCGGCCUUUUGAUAAACAAAAAAAAAAAAAAAAUGUGUCUCUGUAUGACACGUCUCAAUACUUGAUACUGUCCACAAACUUAACACUAACAUAACUCUAUCAACUCCCAAUAAAAUUAAAUAAAAAUAAAAGCAAAAGUUAAGAAAAAGAAGCCGCUCGUCCUCCUCUCUCUCUCUCACUUCCUGAAACACAACAGCAGCAAUAUCAAUUGCAUCUCCUUCACACUUUAAAUCCAUAAAUCAAAACCCAAAAGCCUCGCCCUUCAAUUUAAUUGCUCCUUCAAAGGGACUCUACUAAAUUUAAAUCCCUUUUGGUGCAAAAUUCGUUCAAUUUACACCCUUGUCGGUCGAGAGUGAUCUCGACGUCACCAUCGACGAUCUCCUAUUGCAAAUCCUUGGGGUCCUUGCCGUUGACCGUGCAGCCCAUCGGGUCGCAGGUUCCGAGAAUCUCCUUCACCGUUCCCACGAGCUCCUUCGGCCAAGGAUCUGUUCCUCAUAACCUUGGCGAUCUUGAUGACGUCAUCAAGGGAGAUGCUGCCGCUGUGCUUGAAGUGGUGGUGGUCCGUGAGGGAGUUGCGGUGAAUGGUGGUGUCGGGAAGGAAGGGGGAAUGGGAAGGGUACCCAGUACGCUGGGCUACGCUCUGCUGUUUUUCUUUUUUUCUUUAUUUUAUUUGGAGUUAACUCCGUUGGUUGAAAUUUGAAAAUCGUGGAAAGAAAAAAUCUUAAUAUCAAGUUGAAUACCAUGAGUUAUCAAAUCCUAAAAAUAAAAAAAAUAAAAAAAAUAAACCGUGGGUUAUCAAGACCUGAUAACUUAAUAUAUCAUUUAAAUAGUUUUGGAUUAUAAAACUAAAGAAUUAUAUGGUCGAAAUUCGAAGAAGUAAAGUAUAGUGAGAAAUAUUUUGCUAAAAAAAAUAACAGAGAAAGUACCUUCUCAUUACUGAAAAGUUUCGGUGGUCCACCAACUUCAUCCUCCAACACGAUUUCGUCGGCUUCUGUGUCAGCCGUUAAUUGCUUGUCUUUGGAAGAGAAACCGAUAAGCUUUGGUAGAUUCCGCAUUGUCAAGGAUUUUAACUUUUGGAAGGGCUCGCCUUCGAGUUGCCCAUAACACACACUUUCCAACCUCACAAGGUCUUCAAGAAAUAGAGAUUCUAGGUUGGGGAAGGCAUUAUGAGAGCAACUCCAACUGAUGGAGUUAAUGAGAUAUGUAACUUCGUCGUUGUUUUGGACAUGGAGAUGCUUCAGUUGUUUAGCAGCUUCACUGUCAAAUAGAUAGGAUAUAAUAUUCACACUCUCCUUCCCAUCUAAGUACAACUGCUCACAUCUCUUUACCAGCAACUUUAUACCUCGGUCGAAUUGAUUUCUCCUGGUGAGCUUCAGUUUUAGCAUGUUAGAGAAGGUUUCACUGAUGUCAGGAUAUUCCCAACAAUCACCAAUAAGUAUGGUGUAUCUUUCUAACUUUUCGGAGAACAAGUUGGUUGGAAGAAGGUUAGCAUCUGGAACAUGUAUGUCCAAUGCGGAUAGAUGAGAUAAGUGCUCCAGCUCUGAAACGCUAGCAUUACUUCUUCUGCCAUCGAUCAAACCUUUACCUUCCCAUUGCUUGAAGCUUUUUAUUCCCAUCCUCAAGUCUUCUAGUCUUGUCAAGCUUGAUAUAACAUCAGGUGGGAUCAAAACAAGUUCAGAGCAACCGGUCAACUCCAAUAAUUGUAGCCUAGUCAAUUGCCCUAUUUCUUUGGGCAACUCUUUAAUCUUGGACUUUAGGAGGCUAAAGAUCUUCAAGUUUGUUAGCUGCCCAACAAGAGUUAUGUCUACCAACUCGCUGAAAGCUAAGUACAAUGUGUGAAGAUGCUUUAGGGAUUUAAAAGACAGAGGUAGCGACGGAAUAUGGAAUCCGGUUACAUCCAACACUUUGAGUUCUUCCAUCCCUUCAAAAAAUUUGCUUGGGAUUUCCUGGGAGUCGCCAAUACUAUCAUACGCCAAGAGCAAAAAUUUUAAUUCUGGGCAUUCCCAAGGUAUUUCAGGAAAUCUGGGGAUUUUGCAAUACCUCAAGGAGAUGGUAGUGUACUUUUUAAAUAAAUCCUCAGUUGGCCAUUCUUUCACCUCAUCUUCAUAACAACUGGAAAAGGCCUUUUGAUCAUCAGAGGCAAUCCGGACAGCAACAUCUCGUACAAGCUCAUGCAUUCUAACAGUCUCUUCGUCAUAGCUGUCCUGCAAUAGGCAAGAAUUUUUUAAUUUUUUAAACAUUACAUUCAAUGAAGUCCGUGCCUCUUCCACUUUCUCAACAUUUUUUAUCAAACCCAAACCCAUACUAUACUUGAACAAGUCAAUCAGACAAUUGCCGCUACUCCCGCAAAGCAAGAACAAUUGCUUAAGCUCUUCAUCCUCCAAUUGUUCGUAACUCCACCUUAGAGCCAAGAAUGCUUUUUCAUUCAUUUCUUUCUUGUCAAAUCUUUUGAAACUUCUCAACGCAUCUUUCCAUUCCUCCAAACUACUAUCCCUCAAAGCACUUGCAACUGCAACAACCAAAACCGGCAAACCUCCACAUUUCUUUGCUAGUUGGGUUGCUUCUUUCAGUAUACGGUGAUCUUUAACGACAUCACCUGCCAUCUUCUCAAACAAACUCCAACUUUCUUUUUCUCUUAAAAAUCCAAGUUCAAAAAUUUUUUGUGUACGCAUAUCAUGGAAUAAAACUUGUCUUUCUCUCGAUGUCAACAAUAACUUACAGUUCGGCACACCGACAAGUCCCACAGCCUCAAGGUCAAUUCUUUCCAAAACAUCGUCUAAAAUGACAAGAGUCUUCCCAUCUUUUACCUUGGCUCGUAGGAGAUUCGCCCUUUUUCCCAUAUCCUCAGAUUCAUCAACGUCCAUCCCCAACCUUUUGGUAAUUUCUUUUUGAAUUUUUUCGUCGUCUUUUUUUUCUUUGACAUUUAGUAUUAUAACCACAUCAUCAAAUAACUUCUCUUUCACAGCUUCUCUGUAAACCUCUUUGGCAAGUGUUGUCUUCCCAACGCCCCCUAAUCCGUACACCCCAAUCCUGUUGAUAUCAGGUUUUUUCAGUUCUGUAAUGAUAUCCUUCACCAUAGAAAUCCUUGAUUCAAAGGCCAUGUACUCGUCGGAGGCUAUGGCAGAUAUGUCUUCUACGGGAGCUUUGUAAGAAACACCGGAAAACUCUUUUUUUUUUAUUUUCAUGUUCUUCAAUCUUUUUCAUCAGUUUUGUUGCCUUCCUGCUACGUUGAUGAUAGGAUAUCAGAUUAGGACAUAUAAUGAGACACUUUGUCUUUGCGCCUUCAUCAUGCAAGAGUGCUUCUGCCUCCAGAGUGGUCUUCUUCGCAUCUGACUGCCAUUUCUGGACAUCAGCUUCCACUUUUUGAUUAACUUUUCUUCCGACUUCAUCAACUUCAUGGUUCAUUCUUUGUUUGACAGAAUCAAAAUUCUCCAAUUUACUCUUUAGAUCUUCAAGGUUGCUUUUAUAGAAAAUGAUAUAACCCACUUGGCGUGCAACUGGUCUAAUUGUGUAGUCAAUUAUUGUAGGAAUAAUUGCAGUGAGUACCUCCAUCGCCAUGGCACCUUCAGCUUACCAAUUCGUCUGCUUCUCCGAUCUGUUGAACAUAUACGAGAAAGGAAUCCUUUAUUUUCAAAGCAGAUGAAUUAAAGAAUGAAACAAUAGGUCAUACCUUAGCUCGUGAUCGAGGCUACGCUUGAAGAAAAACAGAGCAGUACGCAAAUCUUUUUGUUUUCUUUUGCUUUUGGAGAAAUCUGCAUAGUAAAAGCAAAAGGAAGGUUAUACCACAGAAGUCGAGACCAUGAACAAGUUUUCACAUACAAUUAUUAUACUAUAAAAACUUGCUUGGUACGGAAUUUAGGCAACUGUUUCCAAACCUUAAGAGCUAUGACAAACAUACAUAAUCUGCUUUGAAUUUCACUGAGACAUUUUAACAAACACCGUAUCAGCACACUUAAAGCCGGUGCAUGAGGCACAGAUCGAAAUGUAGAACGAUUUGCUCGUUGAAGACCACCAAUUGAAGUUUGUACCACAGAGCUACUGAUCUAUAUGGUACGAUGGAGUUGACCCCCGAUUCUCAGGAGCUGACCGAGUUAACUCUGCCAAGGCUCGACGAGUUCCAGAGGCUCAUGACGAGCUCUAGUUUACGAAAGAAAUCUGAGGCCAUCAACUGCGAAAUCCAGGCAGUCAUGAGCUCGAGCAACGCGAGGUUAGGAACAGGGACAACCUCGCUCUGAAAGGUCGAGCAGAGCUAGGAGGCUGCCAAGUGUCUGAUUUUGUUCAUCUUGAAGAGAAUUCAAUUUUUUUUAUUUUUUUAUUUACAAGUAUGAUAAUGGCAGCCAUGGUGAUUGGUCCUAGACGAAGGGAGAUGGAGAAAAAAAGGUUAAAAAGUUGCAGGGAGGAAGAAAGGAGGUGUUUGGUUGUGUGUUUAAAAGUUCCAGAGGCUUACGAAGGAAAUUUCACCCAGAAGAAAAAUCACGAAGGAGGUUGAAAUUAUUUGGGGAAAUUUAGGCUUCUACAUUGCCAUGAAUUCCAUGAUGAAGAAGUCCGACGACGACGAUGGAGUGCUGCCAUGGCUUCCACGAUAAAGAAUAGCAGGAUUUUGAGGCGGGGUCGUCGACAGAGAAAUGUUGGACGGGAAGUGGGUGGCACCGAUGGAGGAGACGAGGUUACCGGAAGCGUUGGAGAGGAGAAAUUUUUGGGGGUGACAGAACACACACCUCAGCAAGGCGGGUGGUUCCCAAUCUAUUAAAUUUUGAUAGCUAGCUUUUGGCAUCCUUUUGUUUUUGACUUUUCAGCUUCUAUGAUUUAGUGAGUAAAUGAUAACAUUCAGCUGUCAAAAUUUAAUAGGUUGGGAACACCACCUGUCUUGUUGAGGUGUGUGUUCCCGUCACUCUCAAAAAUUUCUCGUUGGAGAGGACAAGGUUUCACGUUUCUAAAUUAAAAAUGUAACAGAUGUUUUGUUCCCAUUGGACCACUUCAUGUGGUUAAUAUUUUGAGUACUGUCUAUUCAGUACUCAAGUAUUGUCCCAGAAUGAGAGCAACGGAUUAUUAAAGAAGGGAACAUUGCGGUAAUCAGCCUCAAGUAGAGCAAGGUACACGAGAAGACAUUGCCAAAUGAAAAAAAAUUAAUUAAGAUGUGUUUAAUGUAUAAAGUGGCGGGCAGAUAAUUGAAGAGUUUUUAUGUUUUUCUCUUCUAAUGUUGUCAAUAAAUGAACUUUAAGCCAUUGUUGGUUAGGGAGAAGAAAAUGGAAACAUAACAAGGAAAAGAAGAGGACAACUGAUCAUUAUUCAGGAGACGACAAGUUCAACGAACAGAGGUGCGGAAGAGCAAGAAAGGCUCAAGCUUUUCUCAACUUGGUUUUCUUCAUUUUGUUAUGCAUUUAGUGACAACUUCAAUUAUGUUUUGAAAUUCAUUCUUUUCCCUAGAGCUAGGAGGUAGCCUAAUCAUGAUUGCUUCAUUCCUUACACUACUAUAAUAUUAACUUUAGAUGUUGGUGGUGGUUUAAUAAAUUAUUAUGUCGGAUAAAAGAUAUCUGACACAUCACAUUCAGUUAGUGUCGGAUAACAAUGAAAUUUUGUCAGUUAUAUUUGACAUAAAUUCAUGGCAGAUAUUUAGUGUCGGAUGCAACCGUCAUAAAAUUAUUAUAACCGCCAGUAUUUUUGAAUUCUUUUUUUUUUAUAAAUAUUUUUAACAUAUUCUGGCGGUUCUUAAGUUAAUGGUGGCGAUUAUAACCGAUAGAAAUUGACUAUUUUAUUAUUUUAGUUUCUGGCGGUUAUUAUUUUAGUAUUCUGGGGGUUAUAACCGACAGAAAUUGACUAUUUUAUUAUUUUAAAAUGUUAUAUUGAUUAUAAAUAAAUAAACACAUGGUUUAAAUAUUUUUUUUUUUCACUCAUGGCCCUGUCGGAUAUAACCGACACGAACAAAGCAAAAUUUUGGACGGCCUCCAGAAUAAUCUUUGAAUGUUUUUUUUUUCGAUUUUUUACACAUGUUAUCUCGGAGUAUAUACAAACAUAUUUGACGGCUGGAUCGUUGAAACUAGUUUCGUAGAAUGCAUUUCCUAUCAAAUUGAUAGAUUUAACAAACACUUAAAAGUUAAUGUUAUAUUUUCAUUAAGUAUAAAAUAAGAUUUAUCCACUAGUGUAAUAUUUUAAAUUGAAGAUCAAAUUCAUUCAUUGCAUUCUUAUAGGGUCGAGGAGUGUAAGAUUCCACAUCGCCCAGGGGUGAGGAUCCUGUAAACCUUAUAUGUAUAUUCUCAUCUCUACCUAGCACGAGGCCUUUUAGGAGCUCACUGGGUUUGGGUUUCGUAGGAACUCCGAAGUUAUGCGAGUUCGUACGAGAGUAAUCCCAAGAUGGGUAACCCACUGGGAAGUUUUCGUGUGAGUUCCCAAAAACAAAAUCGUGAGGGCAUGGUUGGGGCCCAAAGCGGACAAUAUCAUGCUACGGUAGAGUCGAACCUAGGAUGUGGUGGGGGUCCGAGCCGAGAUGUGACAAUUUGGUAUCAGAGCCAAUCUUUGGGCGGAAGUAUGCCGACAAGGACGUCGGGCCCCUAAGGGGGGUGGAUUGUAAGAUCCCACAUCGCCCAUGGGUGAGGAUCCUGUAAGCCUUAUAUGUAUAUUCCCAUCUCUACCUAGCAUGAGGCUUUUUGGGAGCUCAGUGGCUUCGGGUUCUGUAGGAACUCUGAAAUUAAGCGAGUUCGCACGAGAAUAAUCCCAGGAUGGAUGACCCACUGGGAAGUUCUCGUGUGAGUUCCCAAAAACAAAACCAUAAAGGUGUGGUCAGGCCCUAAAGCGGACAAUAUUGUGCUAAGGUGGAGUCGAGCCCGGGAUGUGGUGGAGGCCCGGGCCGGGAUGUGACAAGGAGUGUAGCUGUAAAAUAUCAUCAAAAUCGGAGUUAAAAUAACAAUUAAAUUAUGAUUUUUCAUUUAUAACCAUCGAAAACUUUUGUUCUGUUUUCUAAUCUCUGAAUGUUUGUUUUUUACGAUUUUUUACGUAUGCGAUCUCGGAGUAUGUACAAACAAGUUUGACUGUUCGAUUGUUGAAAAAUGUUUCGUAGAAUGCGUAUCGCAUCAAAACGAUAGAUUAAACAAACACUUAAGAGUUAAUGUUAUACUUCCCCAUCAAAUAUAAAAUACACUAGUGUAAAUAUUUUAAAUUGAAGAUCGUAUUCGUUCAAUACAUUAUUAUAGGGUCGAGGAGUGUGGCUAUAAAAAAUCAUCAAAAUCAGAGCUAAAAUAACCAUUAAAUUGUGAUUUUUCGUUUAUAACUGUCGAAAACUUUUGUUCGGUUACCUAAUCUCUGAAUGUUUGUUUUUUGUGAUUUUUUACGUAUGUGAUCUCAGAGUGUGUACAAACAAGUGUGACAGUUAGAUCAUUGAAAAAGGUUUCGUAGAAUGUGUAUCGUGUCAAAACGGUAGAUUAAAUAAACACUUAAGAGUUAAUGUUAUACUUCCAUUAAGUAUGUCCACUAGUGUAAAUAUUUUAAAUUGAAGAUCAAAUUUAUUCAUUACAUUCUUAUAGGGUCGAGAAGUGUAGCUGUAAAAAAUCAUUAAAAUCGGAGCUAAAAUAAUUGUUAAAUUGUGAUUUUUCAUUUAUAACUGUCGAAAACUUUUGUUCCGUUACCUAAUCUCUUAAUGUUUGUUUUUUUACGUAUGCAAUCUCGGAGUGUGUACAAAUAAGUUUGACGGUUGGAUCGUUGAAAAAAGUUUCGUAGAAUGCAUAUCGUGUCAAAACGGUAGAUUAAACAAACACUUAAUAUUAUACUUCCACUAAGUAUAAAAUAAGAUUUUUUGGUAUCCAUGUCACGUCCCGGCCCAGGUCCACCACAUCCUAGGCCCGUUCCAUCACCGUAGCACGAUAUUGUCCGCUUUGGGCUUACCAUUCCCUCACGGUUUUGUUUUUGGGAACUCACGAGCAACUUCCCAGUGGGUCACCCAUCAUGGGAGUGCUCUCACACGCUACUCGCUUAACUUCGGAGUUCCGAUGGAACCCGAAGUCAGUGAGCUCCCAAAAGACCUCAUGCUAGGUAGGGAUGAGAAUAUACAUUUAAGGAUUAUUCCCCUGGGCGAUGUGGGAUGUCACAACACGCUACUCGCUUAACUUCGGAGUUCUGAUGGAACCCGAAGCCAGUGAGUUCCCAAAAGGCCUCAUGCUAGGUAGGGAUGAGACGUCCUCGUCAGCACACUUCCGGCCAGGGAUAGGCUUGGGAAGUUCUCGUGUGAGUUCCCAUAAACAAAACCGUGAGGGAAUGGUCAGGGCCCAAAGCGGACAAUAUCGCGCUACGGUGGUGGAACGGGCCCAGGAUGUGGUGGACCAGGGCCGGGAUGUGACAAUUUGGUAUCAGAGCAAAUUGUCACAUCCUGGCCCGGGCUCCUACCACAUCCCAGGCCCGCUCCACCACCGUAGCAUGAUAUUGUCUCUUUGGGCCCCAACCACACCCUUACGGUAUCGUUUCUAGGAACUCACACGAGAACUUCCUAGUGGGUCACCCAUCAUGGGAGUGCUCUCGCACGCUACUCGCUUAACUUCGGAAUUCCGAUGGAACCCGAAGCCAGUGAGCUCCCAAAAGACCUCAUGCUAGGUAGAGAUGAGAAUAUACAUUUAAGGAUCACUCCCCUGGGCGAUAUGGGAUGUCACAAUCCACUAGUCUAAAUAUUUUAAAUUAAAGAUCAAAUUCGUUCAUUGCAUUCUUAUAGGGUCGAUGAGUGUAACUGUAAAAGAAAUCAUCAAAACCAGAGCUAAAAUAACCGUUAAAUUGUGAUUUUUUGUUUAUAACCGUCGAAAACUUUUGUUCCGUUAACUAAUCUCUGAAUGUUUUUUUUAUUAUUUUUUUUUGCGAUUUAUGCGAUCUUGUAUUAUCUACAAACAAGUUUGACGUUAGAUCAUGGAAACUAGUUUCGAAGAAUGAUAUCUCCGUUAAAUUUGCCUAAAUUUUGAAGUGGGAAAAGUAAUUUGUGCUAAAAUUUUAUUUAUGUUUUUCAAGUAUUGAUUAGACAAUAUUUAGUUUGAGUGAUGGAAUUUUCAUUGUACAAUUAUCUUUUUGUUUCUUUGUCGAAUAUUUUACAUGGGUUAUUAUCUAUUAAGCCAAACAAUUAUUUAUUUAAUUUUUAAAAACGUAUUCUAUUUAAAUACAUAUUAUAUUUAUUUAUUAAACCAAACAAUUAUUAUUUUAUUUUUUAAAAUCGUAACAAUUUUUUGGGGGGGGGGGGAAUUUGUUGUGACAUAUGUUCUUAUCAAUAUGUGAUUGUGUAAAUCCUAAGUAGAGAUAAAAUAGGAAUCCUUUGGGAUCUAGAAGAUCUUUCCUAAUAUACUUUGUAUUACUUGGAGAGCAAGUUUCUCUCCUCCUAAUUACUAUAAAUAAAGGCACAAGGACUGGGGAAUUAACACACAAUUCCUCAAACCUAUUCUCCAUUCUCUCUUCUUCUCUUUGCCGCACCUAUCUAUUAAAUAUAGGCCACAACACGUUAUCAGCACGCUCUUCACGCUGUGCUUAGAAGAAUUUAAAGAGAAUUUAUUCGUCUACAAUCAGGGGAGUAUUACGUUUCAAUUAUUUUUAAUUGAUUAAAUCUUGAUUUUAUUGAAUUCAUAUAUUGUUAUUGAUUCAAUUUAUUUUUCUUCUUCUAUUGAACGUGAUACAAGCUUGAAGAUGAAAGCCGAAAUUGAAGAAAUAAUUUUUCUGCAUCAAACCAGUUCAUUCAUAUCAUCAUGCAAUCAGGUUCUUCCAAAACAACGGCUUUUAACUCGAUAUUUUUGAAGCCCUGAUCGCAUGAACAUUCACCAUGAUGCAUGACCCAACUUUACGUUUAACGUAUUUUAGAUUCUACAUAAAUUGUGUAUGCCUCAUAACCAAAAUUGCUACAAUUAUGUGAAUUUGAUAUUUUUCAUGAAUUGAAUCUUACAUAUGUACAUGCAUUGAAACUAUUAUUUGCAUAUGCAUCAAAGUAAAUACGUGAUUCAUUGAAAUAUAUAUACAAUUGAAUUAUAUAUGCAUAUAAUUGAAUUGAAAAAAAAAAUUGAAAAAUUAGGGUUUCGAGACCCUAACCAGCGAGCUGCAGGCUUUAAGCCGCGCCGCUUUGUAAGCCAUAGGGCUGCGAUGCACUGGAGCAUAGCUCUGCUAUGCUGAGAACCCAACACGAUGCCGUUUGCGUCAUCCCCAACCCAGAAAACAUACCCUCGCCGGAAGCCGAGACCAUGGCGUUGCCAUUUUUUUUCUAGAUUUCACGACCUGCAGUCGUGAUAGUUUGGGGUUUCAUCGUCGACUACAACGAUGUUAUUUGAAUUUCCGUUGAAAUUCAAUACUAAAAUCGAAGAUUCCCGAAUCGAAUCCCUGGGUUCCACACUUCCUCGAUGUCGAGGACCCUCCUCCGUCGUUAUGAUUAGUUCUUGGAUGAACCACCAUGCCUCGAACUCACUCCUAAGGUUCCCCGUGCUUCGCCGUGCCACAACCUCAGAGGACAGUCGCCUGAAGCGACACUGGUGUUCUUCCCCGGCUGUACACACCCAACAAGACUGGGUUUGUGACCCAUAUUUUUGGGUUGGACCCUCUCUCGGUCUUCCUCUUUCGCCUUGGGCUCACGCGUCGUGACCCAAACAUUUUUUUAGGACCUCCUAUUUUGGCCUAACUGUUUUCCACGGCCCGUAACAAAAAAUAAAAAAUAAAAAUUCUUGGGCUUGCCUGAAGCAGCCCGCGCGAUCAAAAAGCAAGGAUUUUUUUUUGCUGCCCACAACAGCCUAGUCUUUUUCUGUGGGCCUGCAGCCCCACCCGAGACCCCUAGCCCAAUUUUUGGGCCUAGGUAGAAUGGACCAUAUUUUUUUAAAGCCACCAGUGGCUUAGUUUUUUUUAUGGGCCCCGAAUUUUAUUUUCCUAAUCAUUUUUAGGCCCAAUGGGUUUUCAAAUUUUUCACCCACAUUUUAAUUUGGCCCGAAAUCCAAAUAAAUUAAUUCAAUUAUAAUUGUAAACCUAAAGUUAUAUUUUUGCACAUACUUGUUGUAUAUUUGCUUGCAUAUAUAUAUAUGUGUGUGUGUUUGUCUGCAGAUAUUAUGAACUUAAAAUUCAUACUUCCGAACCCCAAGUUUCGGAAAAGUGCCAUAUGAACCUGAAGUUUCUUAAUGCGCAACACUCAUGUUGAGACCCGAAGUUCUCCAUGCUUAAAUCCGUUUAAACCAAACCAUGUCUUAAGAACCUGAAUGUUCUAAAUUUGUUGUUUAUGGAAAUUUUAUUUCCUAAAACACCAAUCACAUUCUUGUUUCCUCCAUUCAGCGUAUUGUCGAACCGUAACAAGUUCGAUUUCACUGAUUUGGAAGUUUCGAAUAGUAAACUACUUUAUGUGGAUACAAGACGUGAAUAAGCAUCCGCCAUGAUCCUUAUUCAAAGAAUUAUGCCUGAAGCAUAUCCAAUGGAAGUACCUCCCUGCUGAGGACUCCAUGACUCUUCAAAUCCGUUAUGGACUGUUUCAAAUCAUGCAAAGAUGAAUUUUUGCCUGAAGCAAAACAUGAUUGAAACUGUUACGUCCAUGAAUAGGUACAAUUCUCGUAGUCCAUUUGUGAGACUCAUUUUGCUCCACCUAAUACAUUUGGAAGAGCGAAAUUUGACAUGGACGGCCUAUUGGCCGAACCCCAUUGUUUUUUUUGGUUUAUUUUGUGAAUAAUUUAUUUUGUUCUCGGAUUUAAGAUUAGUGUUUGGAUGUCACCAUUAUUCUCGAAUAAAAGAGUUAAUUAACGAAGAUUACCACAUGUGACUACAAUUAACUCAUGCUUAGGUAUGUUUUGUGGGGAAGUUAGCUGUCUGGUUCUAUGCUAACUUCAUACCUAAUCAUCCCCCGACAACCUUUCAGGCUUAUCCAACCUGAUUGUGGGGCAUGGCACUACCCUAUAUUGUCCAAUGGUAUUAACUUUACCAUAAAGGGAAGCCUUAUACUCACUUCGUUCCGGAAGAACGCAUUUUUGAGCUUUAAGGAUAUUCGAGAGUAUUAUUACCAUAUUGAAACCAAUGUAGAAAAAUGGAGUAAAAUUCCUUGGCAUAUUACCAUUUUGCACUUCUUACGAAUAUAGUUAAAUGCACAUUCUAGAGAAGAUGGAACGCUUAACGAAUGGAUUACAUCCAUUCAAGUCCACUAUGUGGCCGGCCAGAAGCCCGCGAUUCCUAAGGAAUUUUCGCUAUGGAUGUACGUUUGGGAUAUCUAGGAUGAUUCGUGAUGCACCGUUUUGGGCAUCCUUUUACCAGAAGUAAAGAAAUCAUACCUGGACACGUAUUAUACCUUAGCACCCUCCAUCUUUUUACAAAGGAUUCAAAUGGGACAUUUGUGGAUAGAUUCAACCACCCUACGGACCAUUUAAAUAUUCUAUAGUAUUGGUUGAUGCUUCUACACGUUUGUCACACGUGUGGUUGUUGUCCACAAGUUGCAUUCUCCACACUGGUAGCUCAGAUUAACAAGCUCAGGGCUCACCACCCUGAUUAUCUGAUCAAAUUUAUUUGAUUGGAUAAGUUGGAGAAUUUACAUCGAACAAUUUAAAUCUCGAUGGAUAUUGCAUGUCGGUUGGGUUUUUUGAAAGUUGAACAUCUAGUCCCAUGUUCAUACCCAGAACGACCCAGCAGAAGUAUUCAUUAAACGCCUUCAAAUGAUUGCGUGGUCGACUGGUCAUACGUACCACAGUUCCCGACCUCUGCUUGGGGCCAUGCAAUAUUGCAAGCAACCAUGUUGGUCUGCCUGAGGCCCGUCACGACCCAACCUUAUAAAGCGCGUGUCAGUUGGUUACCAGAUACGAACUCGACAUAUCGCAUCUGCGCGUCUUUGGUUGUGCGGUCUAUGUGCCAUUUUGCGCCGCCCUUACGUACACAAAAACAAAGGGGUCCUCAGGGAAGGAUGGAAAUCUAUGUCGGUUAUGAUUCUCCUUCUAAUAUUCGUUACUACAUAACCUUUGACAGGCGAUCUCUUUACCGCUCAUUCUGCGAAUUGUCACUUUUAUGAGACAUUCUUCCCGUCGUUAGGGGGAGAUAAGCACGUCACCGUUCCUAAAGAACGACGCGAAUUAUCAUGGACGUCCCCACUAUGUCUCAUAUCGAUCCCAAUCUAGAUCGUCAGAGUUUAACCAGACAUUUCCUCUGAUCUAGAAAAAAUGAUGAGAUCACAUAUACCAGCUGCAAAUGUGCCUACAAAGAUGUGUACCAAAUGUACUUCGGACCUUUGUCCUGAAAGUAGGAAAGCCACAAUUAUGGCCGACCCUCGUACAUUGACGGCUAGCCAAUCAAUCUAUCUUAUGCCAGAAGCAUGGUAGAUCACUCGGUUCGAGGAUUCACCUCCCCAAAAGAGGAGGAACGUGGCACGAAUGAAUCCGCCCCUCGAUCGCUGUCUCAGACCUUUUCAUCUCAUGAGAUUAAAUCCGGAUUACUCCCGAGACCUGAAGUUCUUGGUCCAGUAUACUAGUUUGGAUGAGAUAUGGAAUUGGAAUGAGAUUAUCAUAAAUGAUGUUUCAUUUAUAUGGUACCGACAUAAAUGAAAAGCGACGAUAACGAACCGCGUUCCGUUGAUUAAUAUCAACGUAGAACUGAUUGAUCAACUAAAAGAAUCAAUCUAUGACGAAUGAGAUGAAUGAAAUAAUGCAAUAUGACGCCUUGUGGCGCAAGGUUUCUCUCAUACGCCAUGUGAUUGAUCGCAGCAUUACAAACGUGGUUGUAGUAUCUCUGGGAUCGUGAUAUGAACCUACAUGGAGUUUCCAAAUGACUUACAUGUACUGAUUCAAAUAGUUCUAGACCAUAAGAACAUCCUCUUGAUUCUCAAGCGGCCUUCACUUUACGGAUGCAGAACUAUCCGGGCAGAUGUGGUAUACCCGUCUAAGUGAAUAUUUGAUCAGUUAGGGAUAUAUGCCCCUGCGUGUAUAAAAUCCGAAAUUGCUAAAGUUGAGAAAAUUAACUCGCAUAUCGGACUAUAAGAUGAAUGAUCUUGGGAGAACUUGACAUUACCUCGACCUGAAGUUUCGAGCUAGUUUUGAUGGUAUUCUGGUCCACCACUCAAACUAGACCCAGAAGGUGUUACGUCUGAGUAUAUCCUUAUCAUCUGUAUGCUAGAUGCAAAUGAGACCUUUACGGAGGGUAUGGAGCAUAAGGUUCCAUAUUGGAACGUGAGGCAGCCAUAUCUAAGUACCAUUGGCGUUUGUUGUACUUAGCUCAAAUGCACUAGAUCAGACAUCUUAUGUGCUGAUAAUCUUUUGGCAUAAAGCAGCACUGCGCCUAACACGCCACCACCAAAUUUGGUGUUAAAGACGUUUUUCUGUUACUACGGAUUUGGGCUUAUUCCCUAUGCAUCUCAGAAUAGAUCACACCCCCUUGAUCUUUGGAAUGAUGCCUACCUUGUGGGAUUCGUUGAAUCAGACCAUUUGUCUGACCGCACAAGGUACGUUCCCGCAUGGUUAUGUCUUUACCAUUAAGGAACAUCGCAAUAUCUUGGAGGUUAACUAGAUAGACCUUUUGUUGCGAAACCUUUGAAUCGCUCCAAGACUCACUAUGUCUCAUCACGUGAGAGAUAUGGUCGAGAAUUCUUGUUGAGCAUAUUCAAAAUCCUUGCGAUUUUCAUCCAUCGUUGAGUCCCAACAACGAUCCAUGAAUACAACGCUGUAUGUAUCGACCAGAUUAUGAUACAUCCAACAAAGUCAACACCAAGCAUAUUGUGUCUACAUCAGCAUGAGCAUCAGAAGAUUGAAGUCAAGCAGUCCAAUCCCAGACAACCUUACCGACAUCUACACAAAGUCACUACCAAAGUCUACCUUCCAGAAGCUUGUCCAAUGAAUUGGUAUGCGUAACUUUCUCAUUUGCAAUGCUUGUAGUUUCAUUUGGAAGUUUUGUCAAACUCAGGGGGAGUAUCUAGAAGUAUACUCACUUGAUCUUAAUGUACUCUUUUUCCCUACGAUUAGGAGCAUUUUUCCCACUGGGUUUUUGCUACCUAACUAGGUUUUAACGAGGCACCCAUCCUGGGAUGAUCAUACCCUUGUGAGCUCUUCUACUUGCGUCCAGAAGACGUAUAGUUUUGACUUAAUGCAACUUCUCACUUUUCUCCUUAGCCUAUGGGCUUUUCUCCCACCUUGGGUUUUGCCAUAGUAAGGUUUUGUGAGUUUUACCACUCCUGCAUUCUUUCGUCUUUUGAGACUCGCAUUCGCUACUUGUGCCGACUAAACGAGACGAUUUCAUCCACUACUUCUACAUUUGCCUGAAGAUCUGAUGCGCCAUCUACUUGAGUAUUUGCACACUCAAGGGGGAGUGUUGUGACAUAUGUUCUUAUCAAUAUGUGAUUGUGUAAAUCCUAAGUAGAGAUAAAAUAGGAAUCCUUUGGGAUCUAGAAGAUCUUUCCUAAUAUACUUUGUAUUACUUGGAUAGCAAGUUUCUCUCCUCCUAAUUACUAUAAAUAAAGGCACAAGGACUGGGGAAUUAACACACAAUUCCUCAAACCUAUUCUCCAUUCUCUCUUCUUCUCUUUGCCGCACCUAUCUAUUAAAUAUAGGCCACAACAAAAUUAAAAUUUUGGGAGGGAAUUUUUCCGCCAUUUUUUUUGUUGGUUAUAACCGAAAGUAAUGAAAAUUUCUGUUGGUUUUUAUUUUAAAAAAUAUUUUUGUCAGGUUUAACCGACAGUAAUGAAAAUUUUCCAAAAUCAAACCCCUCCAUCUCUUCUUUGCGCUAGUGCCUUCUCCCUUCCCUUUUUCUCCCUUCCCCUUUUCUCCCCAUUUUCUCCUCUCCUCAUUUCCUUCUCCUUCUCUUCUCCCCUUCUCCUUCUUUCUUCAAUCACUGACAAAAGAAGCAAAUUUGAGGAAGAAUAAUGACUUCAAGUAGUUGCAGUGCAAGGAACGGAGCCGUUAGACAGUAUGUGAGAUCCAAGGUGCCUCGUUUGAGAUGGACUCCUAAGCUUCAUCGCUGCUUUCUUCAGGCCAUCGAAAGGCUUGGAGGCCAUAAAAGUGUGCAAUUACGAAACCCCACCUUCUAUUUUUGUUUCUUUUAUAGAAAAUUUUAUUGUUUUUAUUUAAUUUGUUUCUUUAUUUUCUCACAGAGACUACUCCAAAACUUGUUCUUCAGUUGAUGGAUGUCAAGGGGCUAUUUUCACACUUUUCUUCCUUUCUUUUUAUUAAUUUGUUUCCCUAGGAAACAAACUUGAAGAAUUAAAGAAUAUGGUGUACCUUAGAGGAACGUUACACAUCUCAAAGCUGGAAAAUGCAGUGAAUGCAGGGGAGGAAAGAAAUGAUUCAAAAAGUGGUUUAUAUUUUUUUAUUAUUAAUAUAUUUUAUGUCGGUUUUAUUCAACAGAAAAUGCUCUUAUUUAUUCAUUAUUAAUAAAUUCUCUGUCAGUUAUAUCCAACACAAGUUCUGUCGGUUUUAGAGUAUUUUCUGUCAGUUUUAUCUGAUAGAGAAUACUCUUAUUUAUUCAUUAUUAAUAUAUUCUCUGUCAAUUAUAUCCAACACAAUUUCUGUCGAAAAAUUCAUUUCAUGACGCUGACAAUUCUGUCGCUUAUUAUAUUCGCCACUGCAUCCAUUUUCUGUCGGAUUUUGCUUAAUAUCCCACAGUAAUAUACGUUUCUUGUCGUUUAUCAUGGCGACACUAAUAAAUUGUUUCGUAGUAGUGUUAGUUUCGUUAUUUAUGAAUUUCAGUCUUAUUGAGUUUAUUUUGUUGUGGAUUAUACACUUGAUUUUUAUCUUGUUGAUUAGCUACAAACUUGGUUUGUCAAGUUUAUCUAAUGCAAAUUUAAGUAUGUGCCAAUUCAAAGCUUCUUGCAGUUAAAGUUAUGAAAUCCUUGAUAUCAAGGUUAUACACUAAGUUUCAUGCAGUCUCUUAGUUAGUGUCCAAAUCGUUAAUGAAUUUUUUGUGUGUUUAGUAAUCUACAUGUCAUAGAUUCUUAGCACAUAAGAGUAUACCUAGUAAUCUAGAUGCCAUGAAUACUAUAUGAUUUAGAGGAGUUAGAGUAUACCUAGUAAUCUCGAUGAUAUUCAUUAGUAAUUUACUGCUAGAAAUAGGUUGGACUGAUUAUGGUGAAAUCGAAUGCUCUAGCAACUCACUCAUCUCGUUCACAAUUUGUUUCUAUUUGCGACUCUAUUCCUUGAGUCUUAUUUGUCAUGUUAUUCUUCAGUGUUUUUAAAUCAAGAACUCAAUCCUUGCAAUUCUUUCUUAUAAUCAAUGUUACUUUUAAUUCAAGUGCAAUUCAAUUUAAGUUAGGCAAUUAGAAUUGACUCGAUCUCAGUUGGAACGAGGUUGUGUUUGCCUAUUAUAUUAUACUACGAUUCGUACAUUUGCAAGCAUUAAAAUUUGAACUUAAUUGGGUUGAUUUCGGCAACAUAGAUCGAUUUUUUUUUCUUAAAAUAGUUAAGAUCAAUUAAAUUCUACUUGCACAGUUUCUAAAUUUUUUCAAAAGGUUUGGUGGGAUCUGUCAAAGCUUAGAAGUGUGCUAUCUGAGAAUAUGGUGCAGAAAACCAUUAGUUGGCCUGCUGGUAACCUUGGUGUGAGAAGGGACAAACUUUAACUUAUUUGAAAUGGCAUUUCGAAUGGUGUUUUCUUUGUGAAGACUUCUUAUGGUCUCUUAUUUCAAAGAGAGUCUUGGAUGAUUGGUCACUAAUGAACAGCGGGCUAGGAAGUGUUUGACCUCCUUCAUGCAAUUUUUGUUCUUGGCAUGUUGAAUCUAUUCUCCAUAUUCUCAGGAAUUGUUAUAAGACUGAAUAUGUUUGGCUGCUUCUUAGUGUGCCUUGUUUUGUGAUCAACUCUUUUGAUUUGAACAUUCAAGCUUGGUUGUUUGCUAAUCUUAAAGGUGCAUAUAAGGUUAUCAAUCAAAGUUCUUUGUGCAUUUUAUUCCUCUUUAUUUGUUGACAUAUUUUGAAAUGGAGAAAUCAACAAAUUUUUUAUACUAAUUAUGUUAUGCCAAGGAAUCCUUAAGCUAUUUUAGUAAGGGAUGCUGCUGAAUGGGUGAAGGUGUUCUCAAAAGCUUCUGUGAAGCCAACUAGGAUGGUGCAAGAUUAAUAUUGAUGGUUAAGAAGAAUGACUUCUAGGCAAAUCGGGGAUAGUGUUCUUAGAGAUCAUUGUGGUAAUUGGUUAGGGAGAUUUUCUGCUAAUUUGGGGCAGGGACAAGUUAUGGAGGUAGAGGUUUAGAGUUUUAUUUUGGCCUUAAGCUUGCUUUAACAAAGGCGUAUAUAGGCUUAUUAUUAAGAUGAAUUCAGUGGGUGGUGUCUACUUGAUUAAGCAAAAUAUGGCAAAUGAUUUUCAUCCUCACCAUACAACUUUGAGUAGCUACUGAAAUAUGAAGGAUCAGCUGGAGCGUCAUCAGUUCAUAUUUUUAGAGAAAAGAAUUCUAUUGCUGUUCAUUUAGCUAGCUCGAGCUACAACACGAACCUGGAGGUUUGUGCUUUUAAUGAUCCUCGUAUAUGGAUUGAGAUGGUGUUGAUGGAUGAUUGCUUAGGAUCUUCUAGGUUUGUUUUGUCUGUUCGAAUCUUGUUUCUUAUUUCUUACAUUUAUAAGGUUAGGUAUUCCAUAUGAUCGACCUCUUCGCGUUCAUUGUUGAUGUGUUUUCUCUAUAAUGAGGCGUUGCCGUGGGCGCCAGCACCGGUUGAAGUUUUUGUUAGGGAUAAUUCUGAAGAGAUUGAAUUAAAAGUCAAUAAAUCUUCCGGACAUUGAGAAUUCAUUUGGAUUUGAAAUUAGCCAGGAACUUCAAGGUUCAUUGGCCAAGACCUAAAUGUGAGAAAUUUUUUAUUGUGCUUGAAAUAUGGGUGGUACACUACAACUUGUUAUAUAAGUGGUGAGAAAUGUUAUUUUUUAAGUUGUUAAUUUUUUAACACAAGUAUCUCACUAUUUGUAUAACGACACAUAGUGUAUCACUCCGUAUUCUGGGUACACUGAAAAAUCUCUCUUAAAUGACAUGGAUUUCAUGAAUUCCAGAAAAGGCUCAUUGAAUUCUCUUAGCCGGUUAUGAAGGGAAAAGAGAUUGUUGAGUGUGUCGCUAGAGCAUCUCAAAUAGGCACUUUAAAUAAGCUUUUAACAACUACUUAGUAUUACGGUCUAGUAUUAUUCUUCUUCACUUACAAGUGAGAUGACUUAGAUUCGAUUAUUUCCAAAAUAGAAUUUAAGUCACAUUAUUGCUAGCUCAUUGUGUGGUUUAGCCAAUUUUCCACCUCUCUUGGACACCAGCUUUGCUUUUUUUGCACACCCGUAUUUCUUAUUAUUUUAUUUCAUGUAUUUAAACCCAAAUUCUAUGACAUUUUUUUUAGUGUAUCGAUAUUUUUAUAUUAGGAGAAGGGGAAUUCGACUAAGUCACAUAAUGGAUAACCUAAUUUGGUAUCGAAUUCAUCAUCCAUGAGAUUCGAACCUAAGAACUCUCACUUUCAAAUAAAGAGGAAUACUUCUGGACCGUAGUACUGAGUGGCUAAUCUCAACAAUAAUUAGCAAUAACUUUUUGCAGCUAAUUCGCUCCCAGCUCGCAACAUUACAUCUCUCUUUCUAUUGUUUUAAUUCCUUUUUUAAGUUAGCUUCAAUAGGUUUUUAAAACUAAAAGUUGAAAUCGACGUUGGAGAGAGAGACAAAAGGUGAGUGACGUUGAACUCAACGUUGUUCUUGAUAAACACAUUUCUUUGUAUAAAAGUCCUAGUGGGUGUAUAGGAUUUCAAUAGAUUUUUAAGUUAUUGGAUUUCAUAGGAUUCUGGACUUCUAUUAAAUAUAUAUGGAUUCUGAAAGGUUUGAGAAGAUUCAUAUAUCAAAAUUUUAAUGAUUUAAUAUACUUAUACAACGUUAAAUCUUGACCAUCUAAUAGAUCCAAUGGUGAUAAAUGUGUCUAGGUCAUAAAUCUAACCAAAUGGAGUUGCAAUUGGUUCAUGCUCUAGAGUUGCAUCCCCUUCUCUAGAUGGAACAACUUGGUGAAGCAAGAGUCAGCUUGAGUGGGGCGUGGUGGAGAUGAAAUUCUUUUGAGUCUUUUUUAUAGAUGAAAUUCACUCUCAAGUCCUACUAAAUCUCUUACUCAAUGAAGCCAAGCAACUCAGUUGUGGAGGUUGUUGCUUUAAAGGAAGAACUUUUGUUCGCCAAGUGCAAAGGUGUGAAGAUGCUUAUGGUGGAAGGGGAUUCUAAGCUAGUCAUCCAGGUAGUGCAAGAUGUUUAGAUGCCCCCUUGGCAUCUUAAACCUAUCAUAGAGGAUAUAAAAUGGUUGGUUUUUGAGUUUCAACACAUCAGUUGGAAGCAUAUUUAUAAGGAGGCUAAUUUUGUGGCGGACACAUUAGCUCAUUUGGGACUCAGUGUUGCCAACCCUCAUUUUUGGGAUUAUUGUCUUUCGUUUUCGGCUAUAGAGGCCUUUAAUUUUGAUUGUAUUGGAAAUGAUUGUAUUAAAGGUUUUAAGUUUUAAUAAAUUUCUCCUUCAUAAAAUAAAAAAAAAAAGAAAAAAGAAAAAAAGCCUUACAAAAUCUAUGACAUUGUGAACACGUGUGGAUUUGUAUGGACUCUUUUUAAUUCUAAUUGGCUACAUUUGGAUUUGGAUGAAAUUUUUUAAAAUCCUGUUAAAUCAUACUUUGACUACAACGUGAUUUCAAAGUCUUUUAACACUCUAUCGACUACACCUCCUAAGAUUAUAUUAAAAAGUCUAGUAAAUCUUUUUUAGUAAUUGUACAUGAGUGUAAGUAUUAUUUUUCAUUAAAUAAAAUUGAAGGGUAUCCAGAGAAAAAAGUUGGUGUAUACAUAAUUAAUUAAAAAUUUAAUGAUCAGGGUGACUUAGUAGUUAGAGACAAAUUACACGUUCAUAAUCCACACAGCACGUCCUAGGUUCAAUUCUUAGUACUGGUAAAUAACACGAUGAUGGUCAGUGAAAUGUUGAAAUGUCUUUAUAAAUCUUUCCGAUUCUUAAAAAAUAAAAUACCGUAGUGAAGUCAUCAGUUGUCCCCUUUAAUAGAAAAACUACCUUCUUUUUUUACCUUUUCCUACUCGCUUUCCCUAUUCAUUAGUUGACACGUGAACUCCACUACUAGUUAAAGCUCAAUAAUUAAUGUGUUAAAAUAUUAAUUAUUUAGUCCCCACAUAUGCCUACAUUAUAUACUAAUUUUUAACUCACACUCAAUACUCUCUUUAAAUUAUAUAAUUUCCACCGGAGCCGUCCUCCUCCCCAUCACUUUCUUCUUUUUCUCCUGUUCAUGUCGUUUCUCCUUGUAUUUUUACUGGACUUCUGUUCACCAACAGGAUUCUCUCCGGAUCCUUUUUGGUGAGGAUCUCGGAAUCUGUAGAUCGUGUUUGUUUAUUGUACAAUGUGCAAUCAGUUUUUGUCAAGUAUUAUUUAUAUUUAAUUUUAAAUAAAAAUAUUUAAAAUGAUUUCUGAUCGCACGAUGUACGAUGAACGGAUGUAAUUUACAAAUUUUUCUGUUCAUAUUCUUUUACCAAAAUAAUCAAUUUUUUUUUUUGAUAUCAACUUUUUAUUUUUAUUUCAAGCAAUAAACCCUUACCACUGAACACUCGAGCUCCUUUCCAACUCCUCGAUAUGCACUCCUCCCAGUUCGUCGCCCCCAACCUCCCUUUCCCAGUCCAGUCUCCAUCCCCUUGAUCUAUCCCUCAUCUAGUGAUCCCACCCUCUGGUUUUGGAGAUGGCGGAGGCAUGGAGAUGCGACCUUUCGUAACGAUUACUCUGAUGACGAAUCUGAUGUUUAUUUUUUGUUAUAUUGGUUUGACUGUAGUAAUUUGGGUAGGCAGAUGAGUGUUUUCAGUAUUUUAUUUGUGUGGAUUUCGUUUGGUAUUUUCUGCAAUUUUUUUUUUCUUCUACAAUUUGGUAGAAUAAGAUGACAAGAGAAACAAGAAAUUAAUGAGACAGGAAAGAAGACUCCGCUGAGAAGGGAGCUCGUAAGACUUAAUUCAACUCUUGGGUAAAAUUCAAAUUUUAGAUCUAAAUUUAUCCCAACCUGCUUCAAUAUUUGGGGAAAAUAUGAAUUAAAAUUCAAAACUCAUUUUUGGACAAAUUUAGCCUAGAAUUUCCCUGGUUAAUGGGGUUGGCCUACCCCAUAUAUAUAUAUAUAUAUUAGUUUUAUAUUUAUAAAUUUAUUGAAUUUAACUGUUAAGAUCUAAUUUGAUUAAAUCCAACAGAUGAAAAAACAAUUUAACGGUCCAAAUUUAAAUUCAACGACUAAAGUAAUUAGAAAAAAAUUAUUUUAUGUGUUUCCUAUUCUUUCGUAGUGUUCCAAGAGUUUCAUGAUGUCGGUUUAAUGAUUUUUCAAUAUUUUUCGGAAUAUAAAUAUUUUUAAGUUAAAAUGUUCAUAAAAUUAAAUUAGGAUAGUCUACACAAUUUCUUGUUUUAAGUACACAAUUUCUUGUUUUAAGUUAGUUUAAGAAAAAAUUAUCUUAAGUUCAUUCUUUAAUAAUCUUGGGUUAAAAAUUUAAGAAAAACUAUUUCUGAGUUAAAACCUAAAUUUUCUGAGUUAAAAUUUUGAAGUUUUAGCCUAAGAGUUGAAGAUGGAUAGCAUUAAUUACUUUCUUUAAUAACUUUUUAAAUAAAAAACUAAGUUUCUAUUAGUACAUAUUUAUUAUAUAGAGUUAUCACUUAACUUUCGAUUUUCUCCAUAAACUUUUUAAUUAGAAAAUUAAGGAUUUAAACUAAUUUUUUUUUGCCAAUUUGCCCUAUGCUGUUAAUUUUUCAUUCAUUGCAUCCAAAUUUCUGUUAAAUAGAAGCAUAUGCACAACAUGUGAGGAUAGUUCGUUCGCUUCAUUCUUUAAAAUAAUUAAAAACCUUAGAUUUCUAAAAUUAAACCUAUGCAAAUAUGUAAGAUUUUAUAGCUUUUGUGUUUUGAAGGUCUAGCGAAGUGAUGCUUUUGUCCACAAAGGAGAGUCACGUGUGUGCACAUGAUAAAAGUUAACGUUAAUUUUCCAAUUAAAAAGUUCAUAGGGGAAAUUGAAAGUUAAAUGAUAGUUCAGGGGCAAAUUGAUAGUUUAGCCUUAUUAUAUGACUCCAUAGAUUAGAUCUUUUUUAAUUAGAUUAAUUACUAAUCUUUUAAUAACUUUUUAAAUAAAAAACUAUGUUUCUAUCCGUAUAUAUUUAUUAUGACACCCAAAAUUAGAGAGAGAACCUCAUUCUCUUAAAUCUUACUACCAAGGCCGGACUUGCAAGUGAAUUAACUAGCAACCAAUUCAGUUGUAAAUAAUUCUAUUCUUCACAUCAACCUUGAGGCGUUGAAACUUAGAGGUUUCGUAUUUUUGUAACAUAUGGAGAACUUGCUCAACCAUCAAAGGAGAUCAAAGGAAGGAGUUUCAAGGUGCCAUUCAAGGAGAAGAUCAAGCCCUUCCUCAAGGGUGAUACACUUUUCAAAACAAAAGUAGUGCUUCAAGAGAUUGAAUCCAAAUCUCUAUGUUUUGUCUUUAAGGGUAACCCGCGAGAUUUGCCAUCAACCGGCCUUUUCUCGGCGAAGCCCACUAUUGUCACCACCACCAAUGUGAAGCAUGCGAUCCCAAAACAAAAACCUUAUGAAGCACGGAUAUGGGAACGAGAGCAAGACCUUGGGAGAGGGGUGAAGCAUUUCUUGAAAACACAAAAAACCCUAAUUUGGAAAUGGCAGGGAUUCCCCCCGAUCUCCAAACCACUGCAAGUCGCGAGGCGUGGACUAAUAAUUGUAGCAUGUUCCAGUGUCAAUGAGCGGCCCUCUAUAUUAUGAACUUACUUCUAGGAUUGUUUUUUCAAAUUCAAAUGUUUGAUCGAAAAAAUCGUAAUUCACCGUCGUUCCAUUUUGGGAACAAUGGCAACACAAUGGUUGGAUUGUCAUAAAUUUUAAAUAGAGGUAUUUGAACUUUAAUACUUGGGAAAAAAAAAAAGAUGUAAUUAAAAUUUGGUGUUAGAUUACUUAUUUAUUUAGUUUUUUUUUUUAGUACAACGAUUUAUUUUACACUAAAGCAAGGGAGGAGUUCGGCUAAGCCACAUAAUGGGCAACCUAAUUUGGUAUCGAAUUCGCCAUCCAUGAGAUUCGAUCCUAAGACCUAUCACUUAUAAGUGAAGAGAAACAUACUGUAGUACUAAGUGACAUAUUUAUUUAGUUCUUAGAUUUGUACUUUUACUUCAAAUUUCAAUUCAUAUUAUAUUUUUGUUUUAAUGUUUAAUGUGUAUAAUAUUCAAUAUCUCCCAUUAAAUAUUUGAAUUUGUUAAUAUACACAUUUUAAUUUAUUAAUUUUGUUUAACUUCCUCCAAUUAUAUCCUUAUAAAUGCACCUAAAUGAGAAAACAUUGAAAAAAAUAAAAUAAUGACACAUAAGAAACAUGUAAAUAUAUAAGUGUACCGAAAAUAUACUAAAAGGAAUUGAUAUACCUAAAUGUAUGUAUUGAAAUAUAAGAUGUACCUAAAUGUCUGUAUCGAAAUGUAUUAUAUUAAAUUAAAGUACUUAAAUGUCUGUACCGAAACGACUAUACUAAGAUAUAUUAAAUGAAUUAAUCUACCUUGGUUAUCACACUUUCUAGGUUAAAAUGCAGGCUAGGCUCCAAUAAAGGGACUCCACCUCCUCCUCCUACAUUCAAAUACAUAAAAUAAAGAUGAUCAUAGAAAAUGUGAAAUAUUUGAUCGGAUUCAUUUUGAAAACGUAGAAUACCGAAAAUAUAUUAAAAUGAAUUGAUGUAUCUAAAUGUCUAUAUUGAAAUAUAAGAUGUACCUAAAUAUCUGUAUCGAAAUCUAUUAUAUUAAAUUAAUGUAUCUAAAUGUCUAUACCGAAAUGACUAUACUAAAAUAUAUUAAAUGAAUUAAUCUAAAUAAAUGCAGAACACAAAGUGUAUUGAAAUAUAGUUUACCUAAAUAACUAUAAUAAAUUAAAAUAUCAGAAUACAAUUAAAUGUAGAAGAAAAAGAAAAAUAAUAUAAUUAUAUUUUGUGAAGGAUUAGAAUGCAAUUUUGUAUUUUAAAUAUGUUACUGUUGGUACUAUGUGUGACUUGCAGAAACUUACGUAUGUGAAUCUGAAGUUCGUAGACUUUUGAUCAAAGAUUUUUGGGUUGAGGACCCUAGGGACACUGCAGCGUUCCUCAUAGCAUCCUAGCAUGUCAUAGCCAACAGGCAGUUGUUCGACUUGAUCUCAACUUGACUGGUAAGGCAAUAAUAUAGGUUAAACAAAACAAACAAAUUUGCACAAACAAGUAAAAAACUCAUAAAGAGUAGAGGAAUGAAACAAAAGACAAGGAAAACUCAAAAGACGUACCUUAUACCUUGUCUCUCCAGAUUCCUUUGCCUACAGAAAACUGGAGCACAACCUGUUUGUUUAUAAAGCUGAAUUGAGUAUGUAUGCCUUUUUUCUCCUUCUAAGUAAAACCGAGUGAUGGGAAAUUGAAAUUGUCAGAAAACAAAAUCAACAGGCACAGGAAACAACGAAAUUGACAGGACGUAAUUUUUUUUACUUUUGAUUUUGGGAUUCAACUUUUCACUUUUAUAAGUAAAGAAAAGUAGAUUAAGCAAAACAAGGUUGCUGUGAUGAAGAAACCAAAACCAGACAAGUGUCGGUAAUUAGAAGAUGGAGCAAAUAAUGAGAUGGGCAAUGGCAAGAACGACUCUCUUAGCAGAAGAAGAUGAGACAAAUAAUGCAUGAGAGAGAUAACGUGGUGUGAUAGAGAAAUGCAAUUAAAAAAGACUAAACUUGAGGACUUAGUCUGGUAUUUGGUAGGUUAGAAAUGGCUAUAUUAGUUGACGUCAAUUUAAAUUAUAACUUAAUUUUCAUGGAAAUUAUUUAGCACUUUGGCGUGGGAAUCUACACCAACUCCUAAAUUAACAAUAUUUUCUUGUAUUAUAACAUUAAUCAGGUGAUGUUCUGCAUAAAGAAAACCUCAUAGCAAGACUAUGGAGAAAGGCCAACGUAGUAUUGAAUUAAAAAAGACUAAAGCGAGGACUUAUCUGGCAUUUGAUUCCUCGACGAAAUUGUACUGGCUGUAUUAGCUAUGAAAAUAAUUUUAUUUUAUUCUACUAUGUUGGGGUUUGAAUCUGAAUCAAGUAACCACUUGAUCAGUAAGCCUUAGGAGGUCGCAUGAUCACUUGAUCAGUAAGCCUUUGUUAGCUAUCCACUCAUUACAGAAUUUUAAGUUAAUAUAUCAAUAAUCAGCCUAAUGCUGCCUUUUACUGGUGUAGUUUUUCAGUUACGUUUUUAAUUAAGUUGUUCCAAUUGUGUAUAUAUCAAAACUUGGAUGUUUAUGUGUGCUUGUGCAUCUAUCAAGCCAGAUAAUUACUGGGAGUGAUUCAAUUGUGUCAUCAAUUUGUUUCUGUCCAAUGUUAUGAAAUCCUUACUGGAUUCGUUUUAAUCGAGUGAGAUGAUUUAAUACUUGUAAUGUAUGUUUAGGAUCAUAACUGAGUCAACAAAUAACUCAUGAAUUAAAAACUCAAAGGCUACCAUACUAUGAAAUACCUUGUCAAAUACUUAACAUAAGUAAGCACAUACACUAAUAUCAUUCAGUCUGAAUAGCACUCAGUCUCGAUAUUGUUGGACGUCCUGAGCUUACAUGUUCAUGGGUGACAAUGGUCGAUUAAUUGAAAGAAAAGGUAAGAAUAUGACACUUUUAGGGGCAUCAUUAGUAUCAUCUGCAACUUGCAAGGUUAUAAGGUUGACAAUUGUGUUUGGGUCAAAACUUGAACUUUGGGCUCGAUGAAGGUUGGCCCAAGGGACAGCCUAAAAAAGGGAGAGGGAUUCGAAGGCCCAGUCGAAGCUCAACCACAAUCUAGAAGACAGGAGAAGCCUGUUUCUAAUUAGAUGCAGAGCAUGCAGACCACUUGCUCACCUACCCAAGGACCAGGUAGUAUAGACCAGCCAAUUAAUCAGCCCAUAAAGUACUUUAUAGUGGCAACACAAGUAAAUAGCUGAUGAGUCACUACCCUUUAAACUACAUUCGGGCAAGGUUGCUGCUACAGGAGGCCAAGCUAAGAUUUCUAUAAAAGGAGAAAGAGAAGUCAACAUCAACGACACUCAAACAAACAAAUACAAGCACAAACUCUGCUCAAAGCCAGAUUUGCCUUCAAAACGAAGCUGUAGUCAGCCCAAGCCUUCAUCCCUUUCGGGAUAACCUUUUUUUUUUAAUAGCUCUGCUACUCUGCUCAACUCUUGCUGUAGUAUCGAUCUCUUUCCUAAAAACUCACCUCCCAGUCCUUUUUCUAAGCUUUCAAACCUCUUACAAGACGAUCAGCCUUGCCCGACAAGGUUAAACCUUGCCCGACCCUCUUUGUUUUUGUCUUUUUAUUCAUUAGCCUAGCAAUAUGUUAUAUACUAAAAAUUGUACCCAAGUUAUUUCUAGCAAUAUGGCUAUUAAAAGGUUCUCUCAGUACUUGAAUCCGAUUUGAAUAUGUUUCCACUGUUCAAGUUAGAUCUAAGUUCUAAGCCUUCGGGCAUAUAAGAUUUGAUCACCCUAAAAGUUCUUGACCUCAAGGCAUAAAAAAGAACCUGAUGUGGACUUAACCCAUCCACUACAAGCUUUUGAUAACAAGGAGUCUGAAGUUACUUGGGGCGCAAGUAAUCGACCUAUCACUUAGUUUUAUUUCUGUUAUAUUAUGAUUACCAUAUAACAUUCGGGGACGGGAUGAAUUCUGAUGGGAAGCCUCAAGGCCUAUACCUAAGGCCCUACAAAGGCACCUAUUUGGAUUCAUCCUAUUUCUCGGGCAAGAACAUUGAGUAUAGAAUGGGUUCUGAUGGGAAGCCUCAAGGCCUACACCUAAGGCCCUACAAAGGCACCUAUUUGGAUUCAUUCUAUUCUUUACGUUCAGGUAAUCAGAAGUAUGAUGGUUAUAAGACCCAUAUAACCAAGAAAAGGAACCGUAUGUGUUCGAGCACUAAGUUUAGUUAUUAAUUGUGAAGCCUCAAGGCCUAUACCUAAGGCCCCACAAAGGCACCUGUCAAUAACUAAACAUGGUCUCUCGAACAUAUAACUAAACUCAAACAUCCAUUCUACAUCUGUCAUGCUGAAGAUGACAGUGGCACGCCUGAGCACUUAAAGGUUAAUCUUGAUUGUGAAGCCUCAAGGCCUACACCUAAGGCCUCACAAAGGCACCUUUCAAAGUUAACUAUGUCCUUCUCUUUCAGACUUGCCCGACAAGCCUUGCCCGACAAGACUUGCCCGACAAGCCCGCUAGUAAGGCAGGAGCCCGACAGAAACCAUCAACCGGCGCCAACCUCUCGGGGAGCUGUGUGCUCGUCGGACAGGAAGCAUCCCCCACGGAAAUUCCAGCCACGAACAUAGUUUUGGCACGCCCGGUGGGAUUUUGCUGAUCAAAGCAAUAUGUCAAAAGGAUCAGAAGAUUUCCAAACUGCUUUGUUGCACAUGCUGCAAAGACUGGAGAACACCUCUGCAGACACCAGAAAAGAAGAUGACCCAGUUCUAAAACCACCUAUUCCUAUGUCUUUACCUCAUAGUGAUAGGGAAAAAAGGGGGCUUAAAACCAAUCAACUAGAAAAAGCUGCGAUGACGGAUAAACAUACGGAUCCCUUCUCAGAAGCCCUUAUCAAUAUGAUCAGUAUGGCCUGGGCAGAGAAGGGAAAAGAGAAGGUCACAAGAGAUGAAGAAAGAAGACUGAUUGACAAGCCCAUAAAAGGGGUGGUUAACUUGCUCGAAUAUCCAAAAGCCGCCAUAUUCAAAGGAAGAGUGCUGUGUAGUAAGUGCCAAUGCGAGUGUGAGCUCGAAAUACCGCCCUCGGGAGCCUUCAUAGAUCAUGAACUAAUCAGGAGGAAUGAAGUGCAAAAGAGAAAAGAGGCACAAGAGAAGGCUCGGCGAACUACAGGAAGGGAUACCUCCCGAAGUGUCUUUCAGCGGCUAGGAGAUGAUUCCCAACCAAGGGCUUUAUCAGAAAUCUUUCGUAACCAUGAGGUUUCUGAGGAAGCAGAGGAUAAAGAUGCUAAGAAGCCAAAAGAAAGAAGUGUAGGGCACUCUCAGUACGGUCAUAUGGGAAGAGAAGUCAGGAGGAAUGACAGGAUAACAAACCCUGUCACAAAGGAUAAUCUUGCCCACCUCGGACGAAAAUGGUAUGUGGUCGGAAAGAAUGGACAGCCCGUUAAGCAAAUAGGGGCCUCCAUGGUCAGAAGGGUUCAGAGGCAACAUAAAGCCUACAUGAAUUCCUUGAAAACCCCAGCGACGUCGGAAGCUUCUAAAAAUCAAAAGUUAGAAAAAACGUCGUCUGGAGUGAGCAGUCAGCACCGCUGGAGAAGUAAAAAGGAGGUGGAAAGGGCUAACAGCAAGAUUGAGGGCGAAGGAAAUCAUGUGCCACCAAGCCUGCACCCUGGGAAAUAUAGAAUCUUGAGGAGAGCUCAAGAGGAUAUGGUUAUGGUGCCAACUCCCGGCUGGAAGGCAGAGCAACCUAUUUGCUUUGGAACUGUCUCCCCUGAGAAAAAACAACCUUCCUCAUCAGUAGAGGAUCCCUUCGGGAAAGUUCCAAAACAAACGCCAUGCCCAGAUGUGAAUCAACUCGUGGGGGCACCAGAACCACUGCUUCCACCAGAUGCUAUGGCAUGGUUGGAUGAGUUCAUGGACCAGAUUGAGAGCAAAAAAGAGGAAUUGCCAGAGCCUAGCAACUUUCAUAUAAACAUGGCAUAUGUGAUAUCUGCUAUGUUUGUUGCCCAACCUGAUCAGCCCGCCGCUAUGGAAGGAGAUUAUGUAACAACUAAGCUAAUGAUAGCUCAUGUUAAUAUGGAGGAAGCAGAAUAAUGAGAGUCGGGAAAAGCUGCACCAUCUGAAGCAUCCAAAGAGGGUCCUUUAAGGAUCUACACAGACAAAAUGGUGUUCAACCGCCCGACUGUUUCACUUGCCAAUCAUUUGAAACCCAUAUAUGUAACAGCUCAUCUGGAGGGGGUGCCAUUCAGAAGGAUUUUGAUUGAUGGAGGGGCAGCUGUUAAUGUAUUACCAGCUAAGCAGAUGAAAAAGUUGGGGAGAGGCACAUAAGAUCUUAUUCCUACAAACCUCACAGUUUCUAGUUUCUUGGGCGCUAUCACCAAGACUCUUGGGAUAUUGCCUUUGGAAGUAGAUCUGGGGUCUAAACAGAUUAUGCUGGCGUUCUUUGUGGUGGACUGCACCUCCACCUACGGAGCCUUACUUGGAAGAGAUUGGAUCCACCAAAGUCUUGAUGUACCAUCCACCCUACAUCAACAAGUGGCUAUGUAUCAUGAGGCAAGCGCAGAAGAACCAUGCUUUUGGGAGAUAGUAGAGGCUGAGUCACGGCCAUUUCUUCCCACAGCCAAGAUAGCGGAAGCAAGUUUCUACAAUCCCAACGUAGGAAUCUUGAAGUGUUUGGGAGCAGAUGAGAACGGCUGCUCUACCAAGGUGACGGCCCAAAAGCUUCUAGAACAAGGGAUGCUCUUUACUAGAGAAGAGUGGGAUAGGUCUUUUAUCAUCCCAACACCCCUACACUAUUAAUGAUAGAACAAAAAAGGAGGAAUCAGGUAAUGGCAGUCAGAUCCCUGAUUAAACGACUGUUGGUGUAUGGGAAAGAAAGAAGACAAGAAGAGCAGGAAUGGCAGGUAGGAGCUUCAACCAGCCAGGAUCAAAGCAUCGAGGAAUCUUGUCAAGAAGAAUUGGAAAGGGCCAUUUAGAUGGCCGAGUGUAUAUAUGACCUAGAUGAGCCAGACGACUUGCCCGAGAGCCCAAAGCUAGUCGAAUUUUUGUGUGCAGAACCUGAUAAGCCACCACCGGAGGUCCAAGAUCCUUUGGAAGUUAUUGAGCUAGGAACAAAGGAGGACCCAAGACCAAUACAAAUCAGUGGUUUAUUGGAGCGAGAAGAUCGGGCACAAAUUAUUUGUCUCUUGCAAGAAUUCAGAGAUUGUUUUGCUUGGCAUUACACUGAGAUGCCGGGUUUAGAUGCAACUUUGGUGGAACAUAGAAUGCCCAUCAAUGAAGGAUAUAAGCUGGUUAAGCAAGCACCACGAAGGAUGUCGAAGGAGAUAGAAGAGAUUGAAAGGCUCGUAAAAGCCGGAUUUAUUAGGCCAGCCAAAUAUGUGGAGUGGUUAGCCAACAUUGUACCCGUUUUAAAAGCUGUAACAAAAGCAGUAUGAUGUUGUGUUGAUUACAGAAAUAUUAAUGACGCUACACCUAAAGAUGAAUAUCCUAUGCCUAUGGCAGAUCUGUCCGUAGAUGCAGUAGCAAAACACAAAGUCUUAUCUGUUAUGGAUGGAAAUGCCGGGUAUAAUUAGAUAAAGAUGGUCCCGGAAGAUAUACAUAAAACAGCUUUUAGGUGCCCUGGGCAUGUGGGGGCAUAUGAAUAUCUGGUUAUGCCCUUCGGGCUCAAGAAUGCUAGUGCAACCUACCAAAGGGCGAUGAAUGCCAUCUUUCAUGAUCUGAUUAGCCAGAAUAUGGAGGUGUAUAUUGACGACAUCAUGGUGAAAUCUAAGACGGAAGAACAACAUCUGAUAGACCUCAGGCAGGCACUAACAAGAAUGAGGGUCCACAAAUUGAAGAUGAAUCUAAAGAAGUGUGCGUUUAGAGUAAGAGCGGGCAAUUUCUUGGGAUUCCUGGUUCAUCAACGAGGGGUAGAAGUGGACAAGAAUAAAGCUCGGGCAAUAAUGGAGUCACCUUCACCCACCAACAAAGUGCAACUUCAGAGGCUGUUAGGAAAAAUUAAUUUCUUAAUAAGAUUCAUUGCCAACCUGGCGGGCAAGAUCCAGCCGCUGACCCCUUUAUUAAGAUUGAAGGAUAAAGAGAAUUUCGAGUGGGGACCACCGCAUCAAGAGGCUUUUGAUGGUAUCAAAGCUUAUUUGACUUCUCCUCCAGUAUUGGUACCACCUCAGAGGGGAAAACCCUUAAAGCUAUAUAUCUCCGCUUUAGAUAAAUCAAUUGGGAGUUUGCUAGCUCAGAACAAUGAAGGAGGGAAAGAGCAGACAGUGUACUACCUUAGUAGAAUUCUGACCGAGGUAGAAACAAGGUAUUCCCCAGUAGAGAAAUUAAGCUUAGCUCUGUAUUUUACUGCCAAUAAGCUGAGGCAUUAUAUGUUACCUUGUCAUGUGCGCAUCAUCGCCAAGACAGAUGUGAUAAAGUACAUGCUGUCAAAGCCAAUGUUAACAGGGAGGAUUAGGAAAUUGAUUCUAGCACUAUCAGAGUUCAGCUUCCAGUAUGUUCCCCAAAGGGCAGUAAAAGGCCAAGCAAUUGCUGACUUUUUGACGGAGCAUCAAGAAUCUCGAGAUGAGAUAAUCAAUAUACCAGGAACCCUGGAAGUUACUAAUGUUUGGAUCCCGCCAGGCAAAGGGAUAUCGGGCAAAGAGGAGUGGAUCCAGCGGGAAAUAAGAAGAGUGGCUGGUUUGUGGGUUACUCAUUGGAAGCUGUAUUUUGAUGGUUCUUAUACUCAGAAGGCUUCAGGAGCUGGGGUUGUCAUUAUCAAUCCUCAGGGGAUUUAUCAUUAUUACUCAUUUCUCUUGGAUUAUCAAAGGAAUACCAACAAUCGGGCAGAGUACGAGGCCUUAAUAAUUGCUUUGGAAAUCUUAAUGGAUCUGGGGGCAAUGGAAGUUGAGGUGUUUGGUGAUUCAGAAUUGGUAAUAAACCAGCUAAAUGGGGAGUUCAAGUGCAGACAUAUCACCAUGGCCGAGUAUUAUUUGGCGGCUACGCAAUUGCUGAGUUAUUGGGAUUCUGAGAUAUCGGUGAGUCAUGUUCCCCGAGGAGCCAACUUAGCAGCCAAUGAGAUGGCGCAAUUAGCCUCAGGCAUGCCAGUACAGGAGAGAAGAGAUGGGUUAGAUGUCGAGAUUCAAAGGAGAAAUCUUCCUUCUAUUUUUGAAAGGGGAUUCAGCCUGGAUAUAAUGGUUCAGGAAGCAGAGAUAGAAGAUUGAAGGACGCUCAUCAUCCAUUAUCUAAAGGAUCCUUCUUCACCCACCAGUAAGAAGAACCAACAGCAAGCAACUAAGUAUGUCUUAUGGGCGAAAGGCCUACUAAGGAAAACUCCAGACGGGUUAUUAUUGAAAUGCUUAGGCUAAGAAGAAUCAAUGCGAGUAAUGGCCGAAGUACAUGAAUGAGUAUGUGGGGCACAUCAGGCGGGGACAAAGAUGAGGUGGUUGCUUAGGCGAUAUGGUUAUUUUUGGCCCGACAUGGAAAAGGAUUGCAAGUCUUAUGCCCGAUGAUGUGAGGAAUGUCAAAGGCACGGUCCUCUCCAACAUAUACCCUCCGUUCCUUUAAAUCCAGUAGUUAAGCCAUGGCUCUUCCGAGGAUGGGCGAUGGACUUCAUCGGGCAGAUAUAUCCAGCUUCUAGUAAGGGGCACACCUUCACCAUUGUAGCAACGAAUUACUUCACCAAAUGGGUAGAGGCUUCGGCGUAAAGUCCAUAACCUCAGCUACGGUGAAAAUUUUCAUCGAGACCAAGAUUCUGCAUAGAUUCGGGGUGCCCGAAACUAUUAUGACUGAUCGAGGGCCAUCUUUUAUCUCAAAAGAAGUUGAAGAAUUUGCAGGCAAAUACAAAAUAAAGAUGAUCCAGUCCAGUCCUUACUACCCGCAGUCAAAUGGUCAGGCAGAAUCCAGCAACAAGAUUUUGGUAAACAUUAUUAAAAGAAUGGUGAUGGACAGUCCGGAGAAGUGGCAUGAAAAGCUGGGAAACACUCUGUGGGCAUACAGAACUUCCAAGUGGGCAGGAACAUGCACAACUCCUUAUGCUUUAACCUUCGGGCAAGAUGCAGUACUUCCCAUGGAGAUUAAUGUAAGUUCUGUCAGAAUUCAAAAUCAGUUCGGAUUACACAGUGAAGAAUACAUCAAAGUCAUGUGUCAAGGGAUUGAAGACUUAGAUGUAGCCCGAAUUGAAGCCCUGAACCAGAUUCAGGAAGGGAAGAAAGUUGUUGCCCGAGCGUAUAACAAAAGGGUGAGAGCAAAAUCUUUUAAAGAAGGAGAUUUGGUGUGGAAAACAGUCCUUCCUCUAAGAGCCCAGGUUAGAGGUUUUGGAAAGUGGAGCCCGACGUGGGAAGGUCCUUUCAUAAUUAGUCAAGUAUUAAACAGAGGGGGAUACUACUUGGCGAAACUUGAAGGAAAUUGGCAGAAACAUCUCAUUAAUGUUAAAUUCUUGAAAAAGUAUUGUCCUACAUUAUGGGAUGUUAGGGAUUGCUAUAUUGAAGAGAAUGCAAAGUAAAGCAGGUAUCGGGAUGCUAAAGUGCAGUAUUUGUUCACCAAUCGAUCAAGAAGACAUAAAGACAAAAGUUGCAAAUAAUGACUAUUUUCAUUUCGACAAGUUGGUGAAAUUUACAAAAGAGUCACAUCUGACUUAUUACAUUCCAUUCUAUCUUGAUGCAUUGUUGUUUUCAGCUGGUUUUCCGAGGUCUUCUUGGAUGAGGCCCGAUCAGGUGAUCGAGUUGUGCGGCCAAGACGCGCCUGGUAGGGGACCCUCAAGCAGACUUACCACCACGUGUGAUGGUGAAGCCUGAUUUAUCACGACGGCAAGCAGGAAGGCAAGCCUUCAUGAGGAAACUGCCUGACCAAGGGUGUUGGAGAUAGCGGGAUGGUCGACCAAAGGUGUUGGAGAUAGUAGUGAUUUGAUGAAAACUCUUUUUCUCACGAAAAAAGAGUUUUAAGAAACCCCACUUAAACUCUAAAGAACUCAUUUUACAGUUUUGAAAGAAAGCAGAAGCACUUAAAGCGGAUAAAGAUAAGAUCAAGGAUGAUUUGUGGGGAGAAUCAAAAUUUAUAGGGAUGACAGAAGGUGGUUCAAGGGUUGUGGGGAUAUCAAGAGACUCCGGGUGGUGUUAAUCUCAAUUAGAAGGUACAAGUUCCAAGAGCAAAGGCGCAGACGCGUGCAGCUAUUCAGUUAAUAUUGGCGCCUGAGAUUCCAGGCUAAAAUAUCAAUUGAAGUGGGCACUGUUUAGGUCAAAACUUAAACUUUGGGCUUGGUGAAGGUUGGCCCAAGUGACAGCCUAAAAAAGGGAGAGGGAUUCAAAUGCCCAUUUGAAGCUCAGCCACAAUCCAGAAGACAGGAGAAGCCCGUUUCUAAUUAGAUGCAGAGCAUGCAGACCACUUGCUCACCUACCCAAGGACCAAGUAGUAUAGAGCAGCCAGCUAAUCAGCCCAUAAAGUACUUUAUACUGGCAACACAAGUAAAUAGCUGAUGAGUCACUACCCUUCAAACUACAUUCGGGCAAGGUUGCUGCUACAGGAGGCCAAGCUAAGAUGUCUAUAAAAGGAGAAAGAGAAGUCAGCAUCAACGACACUCAAACAAGCAAAUACAAGCACAAACUCUGCUCAAAGCCAGAUUUGCCUUCAAAACGAAGCUGUAGUCAGCCCAAGCCUUCAUCCCUUUCGGGAUAACCUUUUUUUUUUAAUAGCUCUACUACCCUGCUCAACUCUUGCUGUAGUAUCGAUCUCUUUCCUAAAAACUCACCUCCCAGUCAUUUUUCUAAGCUUUCAAACCUCUUGCAAGACGAUCAGCCUUGCCCGACAAGGUUAAACCUUGCCCGACCCUCUUUGUUUUUGUCUUUUUAUUCAUUAGCCUAGCAAUAUGUUAUAUACUACAAAUUGUACCCAAGUUAUUUCUAGCAAUAUGGCUAUUAAAAGGUUCUCUCAGUACUUGAAUCCGAUUUGAAUAUGUUUCCACUGUUCAAGUUAGAUCUAAGUUCUAAGCCUUCGGGCAUAUAAGAUUUGAUCACCCUAAAAGUCCUUGACCUCAAGGCAUAAAAAAGAACCUGAUGUGGACUUAACCCAUCCACUACAAGCUUUUGAUAACAAGGAGUCCGAAGUUACUUGGGGCGCAAGUAAUCGACCUAUCACUUAGUUUUAUUUCUGUUAUAUUAUGAUUACCAUAUAACGUUCGGGGACGAGAUGAAUUCUGAUGGGAAGCCUCAAGGCCUACACCUAAGGCCCUACAAAGGCACCUAUUUGGAUUCAUCCUAUUUCUCGGGCAAGAACAUUGAGUAUAGAAGGGGUUCUGAUGGGAAGCCUCAAAGCCUACACCUAAGGCCCUACAAAGGCACCUAUUUGGAUUCAUUCUGUUCUUUACGUUCAGGUAAUCAGAAGUAUGAUGGUUAUAAGACCCAUAUAACCAAGAAAAGGAACCGUAUGUGUUCGAGCACUAAGUUUAGUUAUUAAUUGUGAAGCCUCAAGGCCUAUACCUAAGGCCCCACAAAGGCACCUGUCAAUAACUAAACAUGGUCUCUCGAACAUAUAACUAAACUCAAACAUCCGUUCUACAUCUGUCAUGCUGAAGAUGGCAGUGGCACGCCUGAGCACUUAAAGGUUAAUCUUGAUUGUGAAGCCUCAAGGCCUACACCUAAGGCCUCACAAAAGCACAUUUCAAAGUUAACUAUGUCCUUCUCUUUCAGACUUGCCCGACAAGCCCGCCAGUAAAGCAGGAGCCCGACAGAAACCAUCAACCGGCGCCAACCUCUCGGGGAGCUGUGUGCUCGUCGGACAGGAAGCAUCCCCCACGGAAAUUCUAGCCACGAACAAAUUGCUUUAUGCUAAAAUCGCUUUUACAAAUACAUUUUACCAAACACCUAACUUAUGUUACUCUCUCCAUUGCCCCAUAUAUGUUCUUCAUAUUUCAAACAGAAAAUGUGAAAAUUGAAGUAAGAUUGAAAUGAUUAUCAACGUGGCUUAGAGAUUAUUUGUGUAAAAUUAAGCUUAAUCAUAUUCCAUCAAUGUGGAGGGCAAGGCCAAUUUACUAUUCAUCCUAAACAAUAAUUCCCUUUGUGCAAGUCUAUCUGUUUGGAAGAAGGAAGGGCAAAGACAAGGGCGUUACUAUUCACAUAAUUGUUUUCUCGUCUUAUUCCUACAUGUCAUUAUUGUUUUAGAUUUUUGUUUAAUUUGCAAGUAUUUUGAACUUUGUAAGAUUUUUGAAGUGUUAACUUUGUAAGUUUUUUAAAUUUUCUAAUAAUUUUUCUAAUUUUUUUUGUAAUUUUUUAAAUUUUUUAGAUUUUUGAAAUUUUCAAUUUUUAAAAAUUUGACGCGCCACGUGGCGCAGCCCCAGAUUUUUAUUUUUUAAAACCGUUGGAAUCCAACUGCUGUUGUUGCCUCAAAUUCGAGUCGUUAGGCUCUGUUGGGCCCCCCUUGUCUGCUACAUUUCCUGACGCAAGCCCCUGCAAUAAUUGGCUGGGUUUUUCUGCCAAUUGCCCCAUGUUUUUCAAACCGCUGGAUUUGAUUUCAAAACCCAUAGGCAGUUUCACCCAAUUCACAGAACAAUCCCACCACGGGCGGAGAUUCUCUUAUAAAAGGUAGGGGUGGACGUUGGAACCAAAAACCAAAACUGAAAUAUGAACUAAAUCGGACCGUACCAAACGGUUUGAUUUUACGGUUUUGAAACGGUUGAGGUUUUGAAAAUGCACCGCAGUAUAAGAAAACGGUUCGGUUUCGGUUUUGAUUUUUGAAAACCACACCGAAACUGAGACCGCACCUCAAAUUAGAUGUUAUGUUUUAAGUGGUUGUUUGGUAAAGUCCAUACAUUUAGUAUGAACUUAACCAUACUAGAAUAUCAUCUUUCUUUAGUCUUCGACAGUCUGCUCAGAGGCAACUCUUGCCUCUCGGUUUCAAUUCUUAUCACUCAUCAGUCUCUCUCUCUCAAAACUCAUCUGAUUCAUCUGUUUUGGCAAUUGACCAUUUCAACUUUAUAAUGUUGUUGAUUGCCGAUAACGAGCAUUUCGUAUUUUGGAGGUUGCAUUUUAGUAACUGUGAUACGUAAGUUUAUGAUCCAAAACCCAUUGAUGACAUUAGUAGAAUGCAUCGAUGCAAGCUCUAUAGAAUUAUUUUGUUGUGGAUGGCAGGAUGUGAAUUUUGAAUGCAAAGUGCAAAGCGUAUAAAAUGCAGGAUGAUAAGUAUUUUCUUGUAGCAGCUUUGGAUUAUAUUAAAUGAACAUCUUUGGUUCAAUUUCUUGUACAUCAUAAAUAUCUUGCUAUGGCUUCAUCAUUGAGUUGGCUUGGGACGUCAUCUUCGGAUGCGGCCAUACAGUCAAUUUAGUGUCAGCUAGCAAAUUACAAUCUCGUAACUUGUAUUACUGAGGUCGGAGUGUGUCACUUAUGCAAUGUUAAAUCUUGACGUCACAUGGAUCAAAUGAUGUGCCUCAGUUAUAAAUCUAAUCAAAUGGAGCUGCAUUUUGUUCAUGCUUUGGAGCUGCAUUCCCUUCCCCAGACGAAGCCGACUGCAUCCUCAGAAACCCAACUCCUCAAAGAUCCCCAAAUGCAUCCCUUUCCAAACCUACCUAAGUCCUCCCCACAUUAUUCUUAUCCCUUUCCCAUCCUAGAUAAUCUUUCUACUUUCUCUAUCCACUAAUCUCUUGUUUGAUUUCUGACUUUCACUCUCUUUCCCUCCUCCUCCUUCUAUUCCAUUUAUUAAAACAUUUUUCCUUUCGCAAUUUGUUUUUUAUCAAGGUCCUUAAGUUUUAAUAAACGUCAUUAUUUCAAUAAUAAAAUGUUUACAUAUCAGCAUAAUUAAAUUUUAUUUCUAACAUAUAUUCAUUUAGUGUUCAAAAUGUUACAUUCAGUAAAUUUAUAUUCAUGGCUAAACUUUAUAUCAAAUAUUUAUAUUUUUAAUUUGUGCCCAAUUUUAAUUUGCAACUUUUUUUUUUUAAAUUUGUAUUUAUUUUCUUUUUAGUUUUAAUUGGACCCAUAUAUUAAUUUAUUUUUGAGCCCAUAUUUUUUUAAAACUUCAUUUGUACUCAUAAUUUUUUUAAUCUUAUAUUUGUACCGAUAAUUUACUUAUAAUGUAUCCAUUCUUCUUUAUAAACUUACCACUUUGUUAUAUGUAAAAUGUGCCAAAUUUUUUUUGUGAAAUUUUAUAUUUAAAAUGUACCAAGUUUUAACACUAUGGAUACAUUCUUUUGCCAUUUAUUAUUUUGUAUUGUUACAUUGUUUUUAUCCAUUUAUUCAAUCAAUUUUAUUGAAAUUUUUGUAUUGUAGCCGUUUCUAAUAGUAAUAAAUGAGGGAUUUUAAAUUUGAUAUACACACACAUACAUACACACGAAAUAUGGGAUUAUAAAUAUCAUAAAAUGUCAAAUAAUUAAUGUCAAACAUAUAGAAAUAUUACAUAUUAUUAGUAAUAUGAUGAGGUGUACCAAGUCAAGGGACUUUGAUAAGAAUUUAAAUACAAUUAAUGUUUUAGACAAAGAGUGUCAGCGACUAGGGACAAAUAAGAAACAUGUAAUACAUAAGAAUUUAUUAAUUUUGUUUAACUUGAUCCAAGUCUCCCUUUAUUCAAAUUCCAAUUCAUUCAUAUUUUUUUUUGUUUUAAUAUUUAAUGUCUCCUAUCAAAUAUUUGAAUUUAUUAAUAUAUACAUUUGAAUUUAUUAAUUUUGUUUAACUUGCUCCAAUUAUAUCCUUAUAAUGUACCCAAAUGAGAAAACAUUAAAAAAAAAAUAGGACAAAUAAGAAACAUGUAAUACAUAAGUGUACCAAAGAUAUUUUAAAAUUAAUGAAUUGAUGUACCUAAAUCAUGGAUGGAGCCAAUGAAAGGGGUAGAUGCCCCUACUCAAGUAAUUCGUUGGUUAAGCUACAAACUGCAAUUAUAUAUAUAUAUAUAUAUAUAUAUAUAUAUAUAUAUAUAUAUAUAUAUAUAUAUCCAUGUUUUAUCUUUGAAGAAAAUAUAUGUGCCUAAUAUCAAACAUACCAUACUACUUCUACUAUAUAUCAAAUAUAAUAUGAGCAAAAGUGCUCGUUCUGUCAUUCAAACUGAAAAACCCCUCAUCCGUUUGUCAUGUAUUAAUAUUUUUCUCAUCAAUUUGCCACUUUCAACUACUACUAAAUUUUUUGUAACAUUACAAUUGUGAUACAUCGUCAUAUGAAAUCAUCUCCAAUAUUAUAUGUAGUAUAAGCCAUACUAUAAUAAGGUUUUCUUAGUUGUUUUUCAGGUUGCCCCCAAUAGAAGAAAUCUAGUUCUAUCCCUGACCUAAAUGUUUGUACCGAAACAUAUUAUAAUGAAUUAAUGUACCUAAAUGUUUGUAUGAAAAUGUUUGUGCUAAAUGAUAUUAUAUUGAAUUAAUGUACUCAAAUGCCUCCAUCGAAAUGGACAUACCAAAAUGUAUUAAUAUACCUAAAUGAAUAACAUGAAGUGUAUAGGGAUAUUAUAUAAAAGAAAUUAGUUUACCUAUGUCUGUAACAAAAUGAAAUAUCAGAAUAUUAUUUGAGGAACCCGCAAAUGUUAUUGGGAUAUUAUUCCUCGUUCUUGUAAUGGAGUGGCACUUGGCCUCGCCAAGUUAAGUUUACGUAAUUGUUCUGAUGUAGUUUGGUUUGAGGAACCCCCAUAUGUUAUUUGGGAAGUUCUCAACCAAGAUAUGUUACUCCCUUGAGUUUAUGAAUAAAAGCUAUCGUAUUCUAUUCAAAAAAGAAAAUAAUUAAAUGUAGUUAAUAUUAACAUUAGGAAAACAAAAAAAAACAUGAAAAAUAUAAUUACGAGGUUAUUAAAUGUAUUAAGUGACUAAAUUAGAUUUUAAUCUUAAGCUAGAAUUUAGUUUAAAAGUCAUAUUUUUUAAGAACUAAAACGCAGUUUUCUAUUUUAAAUAUAUUAUUGUUGGUGCUUUGUGUAACCUGCAUAAACUUACAUUUGUGAACCUAAAGUUUGUCGACUUAGAUCAAAGAUUUUAGGAUUCCAAAGGGUUGACUUUCCCAUUAACGUUCACCGUAGCAUCCUAUCAAUAUCAUAGCCAAUUUAUACGACUUAGACUUAACAGUCUUUCGACUUGAAUCUCAACUUGACUGGUAAAGCAAUAAUUUGGGUUAAACAGAACAGGCAAAUCCGCACAGACAGCUAAAAAACCCAUAAAGAGCAGAGGAAUGGAAUAAAAACAAGGAAAAAUCAAAAGACGUACCAUAUACCUUAUCUCUCUAUAUUCCAUUGCUUACAUAAUGCCGAAGCACAAUCGGUUGGUAAAUGAAGCUGAACAAAAUAGGUAUGCCUUUUUUUUGGCUUUUCAAGUAAAACCGAGCGACAAGAAGUUGAACUUGGCAGAAAAUGAAAUCAGGAAACACAGGAAAGCAAAGUAGAUUAACUAAAGAAGGUUGCUGUGAUGAAGAAACCAAAACGAGACAAGUGUGUGUAAUUAGAAGAUGGAGCAAAUAAUGAGAAAGGGAUGGGAAGAAAAGCUCUCUUGGCAGAAGAAGAUGAGAUAAUGAAUGCAUGAGAGAGAGAACCUGGUAGGAUAGAGAAGCCCAACGUUGUAUGCAAUUAAAAAAGACUAAGUUAAGAAAAUGGCUGUAUUAGUUGACGUAUUGAGAAAUGUUACAAAGAACGUGGUACGAUAGAGAAGCCCAAUGUAAUAUGCAAUUGAAAAACACUAAAUGAGGACUUAUUCUGGCAGGCAUUUCCCACUUCCUAGGUAAGAAAAUGGAUGUAUUAGUUGGCGUAUUGAGAAAUGUGAGAGAGAACGUGGUACCAUAGAGAAGCCCAACGUAGGGUGAGAUUUUUCAACCCAUGAAACCCGGAAUUCUUCAUAAAAAUUCUGAUUCCAUCUCUCAAACCAUGAAAGGGUCAUGGCUCCUAAGUUAUAAAAACUCCAUUAAAAACUUAUCAACCAAACUCACUAUCUCAUAAUCCACAAAAUAUACAAUUAUUCACGGUUCAAGAACAUGUAUCUAACAUCCACAAAUUUCCGAUGGAAAAAUUUUGAGGAAAAAAAAAGGUGUAGGGAGAAACCCAUAGAAAAAUUAUUAACUUUGGAAAACAAAGAGAGACAAAUUCAAAUUGUAGAUUUACCCCGGACUUUUUUCAGUUUCAAAAUUCAGAUAUUGGGUUGUUUCUUUGGUUUAUAGAUUCAAAUCCUAGGUUUGCCCAGUAUAGUUCAAUGGAUAUUUGAAAAUUGACAACCAUGGUUACUGAUUCAUAGUGUGAGAGAGGAGAGCUGAAAAUUUUGAGAAGAGAGUAAGGCUUUUACAAUGCUUCUAGCUUCAUCGGGAAUAUGAAAGGGUGAAGAACAACAAGUGGAGAGAAAUAUAAUUUUAAAUUACUAUUUUCUUAAGUUAUAUUAACAGUGGGACUCUAGGAGCACUAACAAUUACAGUCAAAUACACGUGUUGGGCAAGUCCGGCUGGACUCCCUUUUGGUGCGAGUCCCGCUAGCAUUUGGGGCGAGUCCGGCUAGCAUUCUCCUUGAUUUAAGGUCUACGAACUUCAACUUCACAAACGUAUGUAAUAAGGUAUAAGUUACGUUAAUUAACACUUAGGUAAUAAUUCAAUUAUCAACAAUCACAUAAUAUAAUUUAUAAAAUAUGAUUUAAAUUAAUAGUUUCUCUAACAAUAUGGUACCUUAACACAAGGUAAAUGUUCUUCAUGAAGAAAACCUCAGAAUAAGGCCAAAGCUUCCUAAAUGGUUCUUUUUCCCAACUUUGCAGUUCUAAAAUUUGGCACCUCAGUUUUACUAUAUCUGUCACAUCCCGACCCUGGCCCCCACCAUAUCCCGGACUCAACUCCACCGUAACACGAUAUUAUCCGCUUUGGGCCUCGACCAUGCCCUCAUGGUUUUGUUUUUGGGAACUCACGAGCAACUUCCCAAUAGGUUACCCAUCAUAGGUUUGCUCUAGCCCAAACUCGUUUAACUUUGGAGUUUUGAUGAACUCUGAAACCAGUGAGCUCCCAAAAGGCCUCAGAGCAAGUCCACUGGAGCCAACAUUGCCCAGCACUCAGUCUAAAUAUCAAGUUGAGGGUCAAUCUGUUUACUCCAGCCUACAAAGUUGCCUGGCACCUAGCCCAAGCCAGGCAACAGACCAGCCCAUUUUUGGCAGACCCAAGAGCCGGCUUAUUUGGCUGGCGCGUGCACGGCACUCACGCAUGCCUGGGAGUAGGGGACAAUGAGGCAGGCGCUAUCAGCCCACUUGUGCUUCAGAUGCAGUAGCGACGUGGCAUGCUCAGAGCCAUUGGAUUUCCAACGGCUAAUUUUUCUAGAUCGUUGGAUUUCCAAUAGUAAAAAAAAUUUAAAUUUUACUUUUAAAUUGGACUGUCCGAUCACAGAUCAACAAUCCACGUUCCCCCCCCCCCCAAAAAAAGGACCCAACGGUCAUAUUUAUGACCGUUGGCCACGUGGCAUAUCCUUGGCUCUUGGAUUUGAAUAUUUUUCAAAUCCAACGGUCCAGAUUAAUUAACUACAUUAAAAUUAAUUAAAAAUUAUAAAAAAAAUACAGAUUUUUUUUAAAUACAAUAAAAUUUUAAAGAAGUUAUUAUUUUUUUUCUAUAAAUACCUAACCCUCAUCUUCCACCUUACACCACAUUUCAAUAAUUUCUACACUUUCUAUACUAUCUACAUUUCAAUAUUUUCUACACUUUAAAAGAAAAAAAUGUCUUCGUGGAAGCUCAUUGAAGAUGUUACGUUGUGUGAAUGUUGGGUUCACACUACUCAUGACCUGAUUACGGGUAAUGAGAUGGAUAAGCGAGAAAUGUGGAGUAAAAUUACGAAAGCGUUUUGCGAUGUACAUAGAAAAGACGCCAGAACUAGUCAAGGUCUUCAAGGUCGUUGGAAAAAACUCAACGCAUCCUUUACUUGUUGGAAAAACACCAUCUCUCAUGCUUCUGGUAACCUACGUAGUGGGACAAGUUUAGUGGAUCAAGUGACAAUAUUUUUAUUUAUUUAUAUGCAUUCCACCCACAUCAAUAUUUUAAUUUAUUUAAUUUCGUAUGUAAUUUUUAUGUUAUUUCUUAUGUAAUUUUUAUUUAAUUUCUUAUAUCAUUUUUAUGUAAUUUAUAUGCAUUCCACCCGCAUCAAUAUUUUAAUUUAUUUAUUUGUGUUACACCCGCAUUUUUUAACACUAUCUUAUCCCACAUUUUUAUAGACACUACAAGCUCAAGCAUUCUACAAUUCAAAGAACCAGAACAAAUCAUUCAACAAAUGGGAAUGUUGGGAAAUGGUCAAAGAUUGCCCUAAAUACAAACUUAGGGCAACCGGUCCAGAAGUUGUCAUGCACGGCAUGGGUCUCACUACUACAAAAUUAUCUAUAACUGGCGGUUCAAAAACCGACAAAAACGUAAAUUACUGUCAGAUUUUAAGCAAAAUCCGACAGAAAAUGGAUGCAGUGGCGAAUAUAAUAAGCGACAGAUUUGCCAGCGUCAGGAAAUGAAUUUUCCGACAGAAAAUACUAUAAAACCGACAGAAAUAUUGUCGGUUACAUCCGACAGUAUAUAUAUUUAUAAUAAUUAAAUAAGGAAAUUUCUGUCGGAAAAAAACGACAGAAACUAUAAAAACCGCCAGAAAUUCUGUCGGCUAUAACCGACAGAUAGUUUAUUAAUUAGAAUAUAAAAAAAUCUUGUUGGCUAAAACCGACAGCAAAUAUAUUAAUAAUUAAAAAAAAAUUCUGCAUUAACUCUAAACCCAGCAAAACCAUGCAAACCCAGCAAACCCUUUAUGGGUUAUCUCGAUCCGUACCUCCUCUGCUACUCCUCCUGCUCUUAUGCUCCACCUCCGCAUCUGGGUUGCAGCAUCAGCACCAUAAUGUUGUGCUAACCGUUCUUAGCGACGACAUCCGCUCGUAGCACCACCACCAACAAUUUCCAACCCACUGAAAUAAACAACACAAAAUUCUUCAAGUCAGAGAGAGAGACACACACACACACACACAAAAUCAGUUCCGGGGAAUGUCUCACCAAAAUAUCUUCAAAGUUUAACGUGUAACCUCACGAAAACAUGUUAAAAUAACCCCAAAAUCCCACUUUCAUCUGGUGUUGCUUGCCUUCUGCUUCGCCUUCUCGAUAAGAGGCUUCAACUGCUUCUUCUCGGCAUGAAUCUUCAGGAAGUUAAACAGAAAUGGAAUGUAGUUGUGCUUCCUACGAAUGUUCUCUGUUCUCCACUUCUUACAUUUCUCUUCUUCCAUCAAGAUCUUCUCGGUGGCACCCUCGAUCCCAGCAUUAAUUUCCGAAAGAGCUUUGUUCAACGUUUCAAACUUGCCCCUGUCGGCCGCUCUCUCUUGCUGUAAGGCAGACAGCUGCUGCAAAAUACGCUCCCUCUUCUUUUGGAGUUCUUUGAGCUCAACAGUAUACAUCUCUUUCCUGUUCUUGAUAAUGGCCAAGAGAUUGAACCUUAUCUCGCUUUUGGAAUACCUUUCGAUGCGUUCCUGGAUUACAGGUUGCACCAUCUGUAGCCAUUCCAUGUCACCUUGCUCGCAGGGGCACUGUCUAAGGCUAAUGGGUCAUUCCUUCAGUCCAUCAAGCUCAUACAGGACACCAUCGACAUGCAAGCUACCUUCUGCUCAUCAGAAACAAAUGGCUCGGGACUGGCAAAACUUUUAGGAGCUGCAAAGAUAGCUUCACUAGAAGGAGAAGGAAAUGAGGAGAGGAGGAAAUGAGAAGCACCAGCGCAAGGAAGAGAUGGAGGGAUUUUAUUUUGAAAUUUUUCAUUACUGUCGGUUAAAACCGACAGAAACAUUUUUUAAAAUAAAAACCGACAGAAAUAUUUCAUUAAUGUCGAUUAUAACUGACAGAAAAAAAAUUGCGGCAAAAAUGCCGCCACAAUUAACUCCCAAAAUUUUAAAUUCCCCCCAAAAUUUUUGUUACGAUUUUAAAAAUAAAAUAAUAAUUGAUUGGUUUAAUAAAUAAAUAAAUAAUAUUUAUUUAAGUAGAAUAUGUUUUAAAAAAUGAAUAAAUUUUUGUUUUGGUUUAAUAGAUAAUUUUUGCAUUUUUUGUUUAAUAGAUAAUAAUCCAUGUAAAAUAUGCAAUAAAUAAAUAAAAAGAGAAUUGUACAAUGAAAAUUUCAUCACAAACUAAAUAUUGGCCAAUCAAUAAUUGAAAAACAUAAAUAAAAAUGUAGUAUAAAUUACUUUUCCCACUUCAAAAUUUAGGCAAAUUUAACCAAGAUAUGCAUUCUACUAAAUUAGUUUCAAUGAUCUAACCGUCAACAAGAUUGCAUAUGUAAAAAAUCGUAAAAAAACAAACAUUUAGAGAUUACGUAACGGAACAAAAGUUUUCGACGGUUAUAAACGAAAAUUCACAAUUAAACGGUUAUUUUAGCUUUGAUUUUAAUGAUUUUUAACAACUACACUCCUCGACCCUAUACGAAUGUAAUAAAUAAAUUUGAUCUUCAAUUUAAAAUAUUUACACUAGUGGAUAACACAAAAUUUUAUUUUAUACUUAAUGAAAGUAUAACAUUAACUUUAAGUGUUUGUUUAAUCUAUCGUUUUGAUGCGAUACGCAUUCUACGAAAUAUUUUUUCAACGAUUCAACCGUCAAACUUGUUUGUACACACUCCGAGAUCGCAGACGAAAAAAAUCACAAAAAACAAACAUUUAGAGAUUAGGUAACAGAACAAAAGUUUUCGAUGGUUAUAAACAAAAAAUCACAAUUUAACGGUUACCUUAGCUCCGAUUUUGAUGAUUUUUUACAGCUACACUCCUUGACCCUAUAAGAAUGCAUUGAAUGAAUUCGAUCUUCAAUUUAAAAUAUUUACACUAAUGAAUACCACAAAAUCUUAUUUUAUACUUGAUGGAGAAGUAUAACAUUAACUUUAAAUGUUUGUUUAAUCUACCGUUUUGACUCGAUAUGCAUUGUACGAAACUUUUUUCAACGAUCCAACCGUUAAACUUAUUUGUAAACACUCCGAGAUUGCUUACAUAAAAAAUUGUAAAAAAAUAAAUGUUCAGAUAUUACGUAACGGAACAAAGUUUUCGACGGUUAUAAACGAAAAAUAACAAUUUACUGUUGUGGUCUAUUUUAUCUGACAGAGGGACUAGGGCUGGCGGCAGAGAGAGAGAGGAGAGAGAUGUGUGUUUGUAGAAUUGUAGGGGAAUGUGUGUGUUGUUAUCCCUCCUACAUUGUGCCUUUAUUUAUAGUAGUAAAGGGAGAGAAGAUAUUCCUUCUUCUCCAAGUAAUACAAGUUGUAAUAGGAAAGGAUAACUAGAAUCAAAUCUUAUCUAGGAUUUACACAAUCAUACUUAAACUAGGAAUGUUUACAACACUCCCCCUUGAGUGGGUAAAUACUCAAGGUAGAUUCAGCAUCAUGCAGAAGUUGAGGAAGUUGACUCGUCGGCAUUGAUUCCAAGGAACAACGCUUAUUCUCAAUAAGGUAGGAACUUGCAUAAGUAGUAAGUCUCACUAAAAAAACCCUAAGGCUAUGGCAAAAACUCAAGUAGGGACAAAAUCCAUAGUCUAAGGAAAAAUGCGUGAGAAAUGCAAAGUCAAAAGAAACGUCUACAGGACGUCAUCAGGGAUAUGACCAGCCCAAGGUGGGUGCCUCGUUAAAACCUAGUUAGGUAGCAAAAACCCAGUGGGAAAAAUGCUCCUAAUCGUAGGGAAAAAGAGUACAUUAAGAUCAAGCAAGUAUCUAGAAGAUACUCCCCCUGAGUUUGACAUAAUUCCACAGAGAAAUAGCAAAGUUACAACUCAGAAAGUUUACGCAUACCAAUUCCAUGAACAAGCUUCUGAAACGUCGCCUUCGGUAGUGAUUUGGUGAAGAGGUCGGCCAGAUUGUCUUGUGAUCGGAUUUGCGUGACUUCAAUCUUCUGAUGCUCUUGUUGUUGAUGUGUAAAGAAGAACUUCGGCGCAAUAUGCUUGGUGUUGUCUCCUUUGAUGUAACCCUUCUUGAGCUGUUCGAUGCAAGCUGCGUUGUCUUCAAAAAUCGUCGUCGGGGCAUUAACGGCGGGAUGAAGAUCACAGGAGCUUCGAAUAUGGCCCACUACUGCUCUCAACCAAAAGCAUUCCCGAGUUGCUUCAUGUAAGGCGAGAAUUUCAGCAUGGUUAGACGAAAUGGCAACUAAGGUCUGUUUAGUUGACCUCCAAGAUAUUGCGAUGCCUCCAACGGUAAAGACAUAACCCGUUUGAGAACGCGCCUUGUGCGGAUCAGAUAAGUAUCCAGCGUCGGCAUAACCAACAAGGCGAGAAUCAACCCGAUGAGCAUAGGGUGCGGCAUCACUCGAGGAUUCGUAGGGAUAGAAUAAGCCCAAAUCCGUAGUACCCUUAAGGUAACGGAAGAUGUCUUUCACGCCAGUCCAAUGUCUGCGUGUUGGUGCAUUGCUGUAUCUUGCCAAAAGAUUAACAGCGAAGGAGAUGUCGGGUCUAGUGCAUUGAGCUAAGUACAAUAAAGCGCCUAUCGCACUUAGAUAAGGAACUUCAGGCUCCAAAAUCUCUUCAUCAUCCUCCUUCGGACGGAAGGGAUCUCGUUUUGCAUCUAGCGUACGAACGACCAUAGGAGUACUCGAAGACUUCGCUUUAUCCUCAUUAAAACGGCGCAACACCUUCUGGGUGUAGUUCGAUUGAUGUACUAGGAUUCCAUCCGAACAAUGCUCUAUCUCGAGGCCGAGACAGUAUCGAGUCUUACCUGGAUCUUUCAUCUCAAAUUCCGACUUCAGGUGCGAAGCAGUUCUCGCGAGCUCUUCAGGAGUUCCGAUGAGAUUCAUGUCAUCGACAUAUACUGCAACAAUCGUAAAUCCGGAAUGUGACUUCUUAAUGAACAAACAAGGGCAUAGUUCGUUAUUCACAUAUCCCUGACUAGUCAAAUACUCACUUAAACGGUUAUACCACAUUCUUCCGGAUUGUUUCAAACCGUAUAGUGAACGCCUCAGCCGAAUUGAGAGCGUGUUCCGGGGUUUGGAAAUAUUUGAACCAGUCAAUGUAAGUCCUUCGGGAACUUUCAUAUAAAUUUCCGUAUCGAGAUCCCCAUAGAGAUACGCGGUUACUACGUCCAUCAGCUGCAUAUCCAGUUUUUCGGAAACUACCAAACUGAUAAGGUAUCGAAAAGUAAUCACAUCCAUAACGGGUGAGUAAGUUUCGUCAUAGUCAAUCCCGGGGCGUUGUGAGAAACCUUGUGCUACAAGACGAGCUUUGUAACGCACAAUUUCGUUCUUCUCAUUACGCUUCCGAACGAAAACCCACGUGUAGCCAACGGGCUUCACAUGUGGAGGAGUAGGAACUACAGGUCCAAACACCUUACGUUUCGCAAGUGAAUCAAGUUCGACUUGGAUUGCUUGUUUCCAGUUUGACCAAUCAGCUCUACGUCGACAUUCAUCAACGGAACGCAGUUCAAUGUCAUCGCUCAACAUGAUCUCAGUAGCCACUGCAAAUGCUAAUGCAUCGUCGACAAUCAUCUCAUUUCUACGCCACACAUCAUCUAAGCUAGCAUAAUAGACCGAAAUCUCACGAUUCUCGGGAGGAGGAUUCGUCUCUUCAAGGACGCUUCCAUAAUCUAGAAUUUCCUCAUGAGUUGGGUAAAAUGAGUAAGCGAUAGUCGGAUUCAUGGUAGGCUCUUCAGGACCUUGUGCCGUGGUUUUCCUUUUUCGGGGGUGUGAAUCCUUUGAACCAAGGGGUCUGCCACGCUUUUAUGUAGGGGCAGAUGAUUGGCUAGCCGCUAAUGUACGUGGAUCACCAGAAUUGGCGUCCCGGGCUUCCAGGAGGGUAGUCCGUCGUACAUUUGGUACAUCCAUCUUUGCAGGCGUAUUCGCAGCUGGAAUAUGUGAUCUUGUCACGCGCGCUAGAUCGGUGAAAGCAUCUGGCAUGCUCUGAGCUAUGCUCUGGAGAUCUAAUAUGCGCUGCACUUCAGCUUCAGACUGAGCGGUGCGGGGAUCUAAAUGAGACAAAGUGGGAGUCGUCCACGAUAAUUCGCGUCGUUCAUUAGGAACGUUGACGUUCUUAUCUCCCCCUAACGACGGGAAGACUGUCUCAUAGAAGUGACAAUCCGCGAAACGAGCGGUAAACAGAUCGCCUGUCAAAGGUUCUAAGUAACGAAUAAUCGAAGGAGAAUCAUAUCCGACAUAGAUUCCCAUCCUUCGCUGAGGCCCCAUUUUUGUACGUAAGGGCGGCGAGAUCGGCACAUAGACCGCACAACCAAAAACGCGCAGAUGCGAUAUGUCGGGUUCGCAUCCGGUGACCAACUGAAGGGCACUAAAUGGUUGUGUCGCAACAGGCCUCAGGCGGACCAACUUUGCUGCGUGCAAUAUUGCAUGGCCCCAAGCAGCGAUCGGGAGAGCUUGGUACGUAUGACCAACGAUCGAGCAAUCAUUUGUAAACGCUUAAUGAAAGCCUCUGCCAGGCCGUUCUGGGUGUGAACAUGGGGUACAGGAUGUUCAACUUCAACCCCAACCGACAUGCAAUAGUCAUCAAAAGUUUUAGAUGUGAAUUCUCCAGCAUUAUCCAAUCGAAUAGAUUUGAUCGGAUAAUCAGGGUGGUGAGCCCUGAGCUUGAUAACCUGAGCCAACAGUUUGGAGAAUGCAGCGUUCCUUGUGGACAACAAGCACACGUGUGACCAACGUGUAGAAGCGUAAACCAAAACCAUAAAAUAUCUAAAUGGUCCGCAGGGAGGUUGAAUCGGUCCACAAAUGUCCCCCUGAAUCCGUUGUAGAAAAAUGGGAGGAUUCGAACGAAUCUUGUCAUAAGAAGGCUUAGUAAUAAGCUUUCCCAUAGAACAUGUUUGACAUGCAAUUUCAUGGAUCGAACCUAAGCUUCGGGUUAGUGGAUGCCCGUGUGAAGUUUUGAGGAUACGGCGCAUCGCUAUUCGUCCAUGAUGUCCCAAACGAUCAUGCCAAAGUGUAAUUUCGUACGCGGUCCCUGUGGUAGGGCCGGCCACAUAGUGGCAUUCUAUGGGGCGUAUGGUCGUAGUAUACAGACCACUCGGGUUACGCUCCAUCUUCUCUCUAGAAUACGCUUCUGGCCAUAUUCGUAGGAAGUUACGCACAGAAAUUCAACUCCGUUUUCUACGUGGGUUUCAGCGUGGUAAUUGUUAUCUCUAAUGUCCUUGAAACUUAGUAACGUUCUUCCGGAACGUGGAGAAUAGAGUGCCUCAGCAAUGGUCAAAAUUGUACCAUUGGACAACAUUAUACGUGCCUUACCGUAUCCUUCAAUCAGGUUGGAUGGGCCUGAGAGGGUUGUCAGAGGUGCAUUCUUAGGUACGAAGUUAGUGAAAUAGAUGCGUUCACGCAAAAACAGUAUGCGUGGUUGCACUAUCUGCCAGACAACUAACUUUCCCACUAGUCAUACCUAGAAUGAAAAAUUAAUUUGAAUCGGUCACAUGCAUAAAAGUUUAUAAAAACAAGUAUCAAUUCAAAAUAAUUUCAUUUAUUCAAGGAUUAAAAACUUAAUAUCCAAAAUAAAUCGCCAACUAAUAAUCCAAAACAUAAAGGAAAAUUGUUCAAAAUCAACCAAAAAACAAGGUGGGGUUCGGCCACAAGGUGGAAUUCGGCCCCAAUUGUCUUAUUUUAACUGAAAAAUAAGUCUAUGUCUAAGAUUCUAAUCUUCCAUAGGAGUGGUAUCCUCCUGAAAAUCAGAAACUUCCAUCUUUGUAGUCUCCGGUUCGUCCACUUGCAGGAAGUUUGAUUCAAACUUCGUACGACGAGAAUGAUAUGCAUCCACAACCUUCUUGGGAGCACGGCAAAUACGGGACCAAUGGUCAUUGGAACCACAACGAUAGCACAUAUCGUCAUUCAUUGUGGCAGGUGCUUUGCCCUUAUUCUUGAAGUUCGGGGCCUUGGGAGCGAGGUUUGGGCGCUUCUGGGCUUUGUUUCCUCCCUUGGAUGGGCCUUGGCUCUGUUGACCUUGGUGGGAUGGCUUCUGGCCGCCCUUACCACGCCUCUUUUGGCGUUUUGGGUGCUGAUUAGUGCUAUAAUGUGCUUCAGGCACAACAGUAGCCCCAGUAGGUCGAGCUUGAUGAUUCUUCAUCAACAGCUGGUUCUGCUUUUCAACAAGAAGUAAAACAGAGAUCAAAUCUGAGAACUUAGUGAACUUCUGAGCUCUAUAUUGUUGCUGCAGGAUAAUAUUAGAAGCAGAGAAGGUCGAGUAGGUCUUCUCCAGGAGAUCCUCUUCAGUCAAAGUUUCAUUGCAAAACUUGAGAAGUGAUCGGAUUCGACAAACUUCAGAAUUAUAUUCAUUCACAGACUUAAAGUCUUGGAAGCGUAAGUGCUGCCAGUCGUGUCUUGCUUCAGGCAAGAAUAUGUCCUUUUGGUGAUCGAAACGAUCAGCCAAAGCGACCCAUAAUGCACGUGGAUCCUCCUCAGCAAGGUACUCAGUUUGUAGAGCGUCAUGGAUAUGUCUUCGGAUGAAGAUCAUAGCAGUGGCUUUUUCAGCCUCGCCAACAGGUUUAUCUGUUGCUUCUUCAAUAGCAGGACGCAAGUUCUUUGCAGUGAGGUGGAGCUUCACAUCUUGAACCCACUUGAGGUAGUUCCUUCCAGAAACCUCCAAAGCGGUGAAGUCGAGUUUGUUCAAAUUCGACAUGUUCCUAUCACAAAAUAGAUGGACAAGAUGUGGUUAGUGUAAUGGAGAAAAAAUCAAUCCAUUCACAUAGGAGUAGAACAUACAGGUUCUAAUAGACAUGUAUUGGUUUAAUUUUGCAUGAAAAACUUCGGGUUUUCAUGGGUGAUAUGUUUAAAGUGAAAACUUCGGGUUUUCAAACAAGGCAUGUUGUAUAAGAAAACUUCGGGUUUCAAAGUAAUUAUGAACUUCAGGUUCAUAUAUUCCUGCAGGCAAACACAAAUAUAAUAUGCAAACAAAUAUAUGCAAAGAAUAUAUGCAGAAAUAUUGUAUAAUGAUAAGUGAAUUAAUUUAUUUUUUGGUCUUCGGGGCCAAAUUAAAGUGUGGGUGAAAAAUAUAAAAACCCAUAUUAUUAAAAAAAAUUAAAUAAUAAAAUCUCGGGACCUAAAAAUAUAGGCCAAGAACCCUCGGGUGGGAUUACAGGCCCACGGGGUGAGAAGAGGGGAAUGGGCUGCUGUGUGCAGCCCUAAAUUUUUAUUUUUAUUUAUUUAUUUUUUUUUUCGCUCCAGGCGAGCCCAGAAAUUUUUUUUUUUUUUUUUUAAUUAGAUGCAUAUAUAAUUCAAUGAAUCACAUAUUUACUUUGAUGCAUAUGCAAAUAAUAGUUUCAAUGCAUGUACAUAUGUAAGAUUCAAUUCAUAGCAAAUAUCAAAUUCACAUAAUUGUAGCAAUUUUGAUGAUGAAGCAUACACAAUUUAUGUAGAAUCUAAAAUACGUUAAACGUAAAGUUGGGUCAUGCAUCAUGGUGAAUGUUCAUGCUAUUAGGGCUUGCAAAAUAUCUAGUUAAAAGCCGUUGUUUGGAAAGAACCUGAUUGCGUGAUGAUAUGGAUGAACUGGUUUGAUGCAGAAAAAAUUUCCAACGUCAGAUUCCUAAGCGCAGCGGUAGGAGCGUGCUGAUAACGUGUUGUGGUCUAUUUUAUCUGACAAAGGGACUAGGGCUGGCGGCAGAGAGAGAGAGGAGAGAGAUGUGUGUUUGUAGAAUUGUAGGGGAAUGUGUGUGUUGUUAUCCCUCCUACAUUGUGCCUUUAUUUAUAGUAGUAAAGGGAGAGAAGAUAUUCCUUCUUCUCCAAGUAAUACAAGUUGUAAUAGGAAAGGAUAACUAGAAUCAAAUCUUAUCUAGGAUUUACACAAUCAUACUUAAACUAGGAAUGUUUACAACAUUUACCUGUUAUUUAAGCUCCAAUUUUAAUGAUUUUUUUAUAACUACACUCCUCGACCCUAUAAGAAUGCAAUGAAUAAAUUUGAUCUUCAAUUUAAAAUAUUUACAUUAGUGGAUACCACAAAAUCUUAUUUUAUACUUAAUGGAAGUAUAACAUUAACUCUUAAGUGUUUAUUAAAUCUACCGUUUUGACGCGAUACACAUUUUACGAAACUUUUUUCAAUGAUCAAACUGUCAAAUUUGUUUGUACAUACUCCAAUAUCACAUACAUAAAAAAUCACAAAAAACAAACAUUCAGAGAAUAUGUAACAAAACAAAAGUUUUCGAUGGUUAUAAACGAAAAUUCACAAUUUAACAGUUAUUUUAGCUCUGAUUUUGAUGAUUUUUUACAGUUACACUCCUCGACCCUAUAAGAAUGCAUUGAACGAAUUCGAUCUUCAAUUUAAAAUAUUUACACUAGUGGAUACCACAAAAUCUUAUUUUAUACUUGAUGGGAAAGUAUAACAUUAACUCAAAGUGUUGGUUUAAUCUACUGUUUUGAUGCGAUACGCAUUCUACGAAUUUUUUUUCAACAAGCCAACCAUCAAACUUGUUUGUACACACUCCAAGAUCGCAUACGUAAAACAUCGCAAAAAACAAACAUUCAAAAAUUAGGUAACAGAACAAAAGUUUUCGAUGGUUAUAAGCGAAAAAUCACAAUUUAACGGUUAUUUUAACUUCGAUUUUGAUGACUUUACUCCAAAAUCAAAUGCAUGUGGGUUAUAAUAAUUCCUUAAGUAUCUGAUCAUUUUCGUUGGUCUUUAUUUGUUUCCUAAGAAAAUUUAUUAUUUUAAUAAAAGUUUAAAUGGAGAGAUUUGAAGUUCACUGAAAUGUUGUAUUGGUCACAUGAUGAUCAAGGAAUCCAUCACAAAUGGUGAAUAAAUAAAUGUGCUUUUAAUGUUUUGAUAGCAAUCUUUAAUAUUAAAUUCAAAGAUUGGAUGAUUUUAUGAAAUUCGACAUGUCAUUGGAGAGAUUUUAAAAUAAUAAAAUUUUCAUUUUUGUCGGUUAUAACCGCCACCAUUAACUUAAAAACCGCUAGAAUCUGUCAAAAAUAUUUAAAAAAAGGUUUCAAAAAUCCUGUCGGUUUUUUUUUAUCCGCCAGUAAAUAUCCGACAGGAAUAUAUAACCGACAAUAUUUUUUUAAUAUCCGCCAAUAAUUAAAUGAUUUGUCAGAUAUAAUUUAUCCGACAUGAUUUUUUAAUAUCCGCCACCAUCAUCCGCCACCUAAAGCUAAUAUUGUAGUAGUGUCUACAUAGUUCUCCAGAACCAGACACGGCUGAACAGGCCGACACAUUUCAAGACACGGAAGGGACACCUGAACAAGUGCCCGAGACCCAAUCGACUCGUCAGUCCCUCAGGUUUCAAGGUAAAAAGGUAUCAAAGAAAAAAGGUAGUUCUUCCAAAAAUGACUACACUAAAUAUACGGAAAAGGCUAGAGAUAAGGAAAAAACUGUUACAAUGGGAGCACUAAUAACAGCUACUGAGGCCCGUGAUGCGGCGGCUGAGAGACAAGGAGAUGUACCCCAGACUUUUUUUUCAGUUUCAAAAUUCAGAUCUUGAGUUGUUUCUUUGGUUUACAGAUUCAAAUUAUGGGUUUGCCCAUUAUAGUUCGAUAGGUAUUUGAAAAUUGACAACCACCGUUACCGAUUCAUAGUGUGAGAGAGGAGAGCUGCAAAUUUUGAGGAGAAGAGAGUAGGGCUUUUACAAUGCUUCUGGCUUCAUCGAGAAUAUGAAAGGGUGAAGAACAACAAGUGGAGAGAAAUAUAAUUUUAAAUUACUAUUUUCUUAAGUUAUAUUGACAGUGGGACUCAAGGAGCACUAAUAGCAGCUACUGAUGCAUGUGAUGCAGCGGCUGAGAGACAAAGAGAUGUACCCCAGACUUUUUUUUCAGUUUCAAAAUUCAGAUCUUGGGUUGUUUCUUUGGUUUACAGAUUCAAAUUCUGGGUUUGCCCAGUAUAGUUCGAUGGGUAUUUGAAAAUUGACAACCACGGUUACCGAUUCAUAAUGUGAGAGAGGAGAGCUGAACAUUUUGAGGAGAAGAGAGUAGGGCUUUUACAAUGCUUCUGGCUUCAUCGGGAAUAUGAAAGGGUGAAGAACAACAAGUGAAGAGAAAUAUAAUUUUAAAUUACUAUUUUCUCAAGUUAUAUUGACAAUAGGACUCAAGGAGCACUAACAAUUACAGUCAAAUACACGUGUUGGGCAAGUCCGGCUGGACUCCCUUUUGGUGCGAGUCCCGCCAGCAUUUGGGGUGAGUCCCGCUAGUAUUCUCCUUGAUUUAAGUCUACGAACUUCAAUUUCACAAACGUAAGUAAUAAGGUAUAAGUAUAAGUUACGUUAAUUAAUAUUUAGGUAAUAAUUCAAUCAUCAAUAAUCACAUAAUAUAGUUUAUAAAAUAUUAUUUAAAUUAAUAGUUUCUCUAACAAUAUGGUACCUUAACACAAGGUGAAUGUUCUUCGUGAAGAAAACCUCACAAUAAGACCGAAGCUUCCUAAAUGGUUCUUCUUCCCAACUUUGCAGUACUAAAAUUUAGCACCUCAGUUUUACUAUAUCUCCAAAAAUUGUUUACCAACAACAACAACAACAAAAAAGUUUUUUUUCCAUUAAGUGAGGUUGGUUGUAUGAAUCCUAGAACAUCAUUCCGUUCGGUUGAAUAUUUGUAACCAAAAUAAUUGAUUUUUAAAAUUGCCCAAAUCGUUCAAAUUUGGUAAUUUAGUAUGCUUUUAUGUGCAGUUCUGGUUUGGUUCUUAUUUGAAACGAAUUGAAUCGAAUUAAAUAUUCAUCGAGCCUUUAUGCGCAUUUCUAGUUUAGUCCAUUAUUCUAACAUAUGCAAUAUUUAUAAUUGUUCACCACUUCAAAUGCAUCAAUGUUUACAGAAAUCACACAAGCACUAUUUCCCAAACACGAAAACCGAAAAUGUAGCGAAUAAAGCUCCAAAUACAAAUCACACUAUUACGACGAAACACACAAGUCAAUACAAGUAUAACAUGCCGCGGAAUAUGAUUUAGUGCCUUCUCAAAUUGCACAGAGAAUAGUUAGAGUAAGUCCAGUCAUCUCUCCAGGCUAAUAUUUCUUCCUUGAAAAGGAAAAACAAAAGGAAAAGGAAAAUAACGAACAAACACGCAAUUGCACACAAUCGGAAAACUUUAACAUGCUAGGCAAAAGAUGAGGAUUCCUUUUUGGUAGAGAGUCUUGCAAUUGUAACAUCUACAUUUGAAUCUGCAAUCAUCAGCUGCUCCUGUAGAAAUAUAUAUUUCGUUGACGAAAUAAACACAUAAAUUGUUCGGUAUGAAAUCUGAUUGAACAACUAUAAAUAAGAUGAAUAAAUCAGACUUCUAAACUUUACGGUUCAAGGUUCAGAAAAAGCUGAAAAAUUGGAGAGUGAAAUUAUUAGUUGUUUAAUUAGAGAAUGAAGUACUUACAGUUUGAUCAUGAUCAUUCUCCUCUGAAUCACUUAGCAUCGGUACAUCAUCAGUUUCCUCUGCUAUUUGUAGUCUUUCUGGUCUUGGAUCACUUUGGAGCAACCCAUCAGAAGAAAUCUUUAAGUGGAUCAGCUGGCAGUCCUCGACAAUCAAAGUUUUUAAGGAUGGGACUUUGAAAAUGCAAUUUCCCCUGCAAAAGCCUUGCAAACUUGGUAGACCAGAAAGCUUCAAACGUUGCAAGCAACUGAAAGUAAUCUCAUUUUCUGGAUCAUCUUCCUUGCUCGCUACUAUUUCUACCAUUCUUUGACAGGACACAACUUCCAACCCCAUGAGUUGCUGCAAAUUCUUAGCCACAGAAUAAGGUAUUAAGUAUUGCAGUCCGUGACAACUCCGUAUGCCCAAAUAGAUUAGAUUCCGAAAGGAUAUCAAAGUUGAAGCUAGAUUCUCUAAUCUGCCACAAUUGAUCAGCCAUAGAACUUCCAAGUUUGGAAGAACAGGGCCCCCUGGUUGGGAGUUUUCCAUUCCUAGAUGAAUCAGCUCCGGCAUUUCGGUGAGCUGCAAAACCUUUACACGUGGGAGGGUCUCAACUUCAUGUGUUUCCCAUCUACUACUUCCUUGGUGGUCGUGGACAAAUAAUUCUUUCCAAGGAGCAGAGAGCACAACAAGCAUUUCAGUAUUCUGUAAAUUCUCAAAGAAAACAUCUGACUUGGGAUGUGAAGUAGCAAAAAGAAUUGUCUUUACUUUGCUCAACAAUACUGUCGGGAGUGGACCAUACGGUUCAUACCAAAUCUCCGUGUUCCGGUCCAACAUCGACACUUAAGUUGAGGAAUGACUUACCCUAAAAUAUAAUCAACAAUAAGAGCAUACUUUAAAAUAUUUUGAAAAACUGGACAAAACAUAAUCACUUUAAUAUUAAAAACGUAAUAAAUGUAUUUAUUUGAUGGUGUAUGUUCAACUAGUAUAUAAAAAUCACAUGAAAUUUUGAAUAUCAAAAGAGUUGUGUACAAGUAUGGUUACCUUCUCAAUUAAAAAGAAAGGUUGUUCCCUUGGUAUUGGGUGGCCCAACUUAAACUUGUCUUGAUAUGUUGAAAAUUCAGCAACAAAAAUCUCCACACCACCACAUUUGUUGAACUUUAAUAUGUUGAGUGAUGGCUAAUUAGAAACAUGCACUCCUGGAUAGAAACUCCGAAGUUGGGGCACAUUAUCAAAUUUCAUAGUUGUUACUAAAGGGAACUCAAACUCCUCGUAUGUCAUUUGUGGUCCUUCUUCCAUCACAACAAUUCCUUCUUCCUUCACAACAAUUUCCUCCAUUAAACCACAAUUCUUGACGCUGAACUUGUUUAGCUGCUUAAGAUAUUUGGCCACUGAGGCGGAAAAUACAUUUUUCAAACUCUCACAUGAGUCUAUCCAAACUGAAUCUAGAUUUGGGCAUUCAAAACCGUUCAACUGAGUGGUAGAUGAUGAGUCAUAUACCACUUGUAGUGACUGGCACUGCUCUAUUUGUAAUCUCUCUAGAGCAUUCAAUCUUCCCAUGAUACUUGGCCCAAAGAUAUUAAUCAAAUUGUGGCAUCUACAAACAUCCAUAAUUCUGAGCUUGCCAAAAGAAUUUGAAUGAAUUUGGUUCUGGAAUAUUGUCUUCAACUUAGGUAAGUCCCAUACGAACAACGCCUCCAAGCUAGGAAAUCCUACCUGUCACAUAUUCAUUUUAGAACUUGUGAACAAACCUUUCUUCACAAGAGUAGGACGCAUGCAUAAGUUGGAAAUAAAAGCAUAAAGAAAACAAGUGAAGGUAUAGUUCACCUUUUCAUCAAAGAGCUCAAUAUCUCUUUCUUUUUGUUGGUUGUAAUAUUUUCACUCUUAGCAUCAAAGAUGAAUGUCUCCAGUUUAGUACAAUCGUCUAGGUCCAAAUACACCAAAGACGGAAAUUUAAUGUAACUUCCUGAGCUAAAUCUAGCGAGGUUUGGAAGAUGUUGUAGCUCUAGACGGCUUAGCUUAUCAAACAUGUCAUCUGUAUUCUCCUCAUUUCCCACUAUCUCUUCCAUGAUUUGACAAUUAGAUAUUUUGAGAUUUUUGAGUUGUCCGAGACAUUUAGCCAUAGAACUCGAAACAAAAAUCUUAAACUAUCACAUUGAUGCACAAUCAAGGUUGUUAAGUUGGGCAUCUUAACCUGCAUAGCACAUAACAAAAUUCAUAUUUAUUUUAGAAAAUUACAAUUUACAUCGUUAUUGGCCGUAUAUAUUCUAAAUGUGUAGAUAUAAAGUAAAUGUCAUAUAUUUAAAAAGAAAGCUACUAGGCUACUAGGCUACUAGACAGAUGUAUGUCCUUGUACUUUCAUUAAUUAGCAAAGAACAAAUUGAAGUUAAAAACUAUCUGAAAAAAAAUAUAUAGGGCCAAAAUUAUGUUAAUUUAAUUUUAAAUUUAAACUUUUUUGUUUUCGACAAAACAAAAACCUAUUUUAUUUUUAAAUUGAUACCAAAAACACAUUAUUGUGAAAGAUUAUUAUGGUAAGUGGUGAAUUAUCCUAUUAGUUAGAGACGGGUUCAAAUUUUCUAUACCUAAAAUAAGUGUGGCUUUUUGACCCCAAAAAAAAAAGUGUAAUUUCUUUAUGACAUGUCUCAAUACUUGACACUUCUGCACAAACGUAACCUUAACAUAACUCUAGCAAACGUUAAGAAAAAGAAGCCGCUCAUCCUCCUCCUCUCUCUUUCUCUCUCACUUCCCCAAACACAACAGCAGCAAUAGCAAUUGCAUCUCCUUCACACAUUAAAUCCUUAAAUCAAACCCAAAAGCCUCGCCCUUCAAUUUAAUUGCUCCUCCAAACUAUAGGGGACGACCAAAUUUGGGAAGAUUGAAGAAUAAAUCCUUUUUGGUGUAAAAUUCAUUGAAUUUACACCCCUGUCGAUCGAGCGUGAUCUCGACGUCACCAUCGACGAUCUCCUAUUGUAAAUCCUUGGGGUCCUUGCCGUUGACCGUGCAGAACACCGAGACGCAGUUCCAAGAAUCUCCUUCACCGUUACCGCGAGCUCCUUCGGCCAUGGAUCUGUUCCUCAUAACCGUGGUGAUCUUGACGUCAUCAAGGGAGAUGCUGCCGCUGUACUUGAAGACGUGGACGUCCGUGAGGAGGGGGCGGUGAUUGGUGGCGUUGGGAGGGAAGGAAGGGGAAUGGGAGAGAUACCCAUAACGCUGGGCUGCGCUCUGAUUUUUUAUUUUAUUGGGAGUUAACGCCGUUGGUUUGGUUGAGUGAAUGGACAGAUGUCAAAAUUGCAAGAAAGUCAGAGGUGUCACAUUCAUAAAUGGGUGCAGAAGAUUUGACAUGUUAGUUGAAUUUCAAUAAUUGUCACUUAAUAUUACGGUAUAAUGAUAUUUCUCUUUAUUGGUAAGUGAGAAGUUUAAUUUCGAUUCUAGUCAAAAGCGAAUUUGAACUACAUUAUUGUUAAGGCUUAACCAACUUCUUCACUUUUUUAAUGUAGAUAAUAUCAUUUAAAAAAAAAUAUCAAUAGGUGAAUACCGUGGGUUAUCAAAACCUGAUAACUUAAAUAUAUCAUUUAAAUGUUUUUGGCUCAUUGAAAAAAUAAAUCUUAAAUCUUAAAAUGGAAUCUUAAAAAAAAAAAAAAACUGAAAAUAUGAGUAUACCCCUUGGAAUUCAAUUUUCAUUAACUAAAACCCACAAUUAUAAAUUUUUCUGAUAAAAACCCAAUUACUAGGCUCCAAUUAAGCAAUAUCCAUAAUUAAGUAUGACUUGGAAAAAUUGGUAUUUUUGGAUGUCUAAAUCACCCCUAAUAUCAUUAACGUUGGGUCUAUUACUUGUUAUCUACAUUUAUUCUAUAUUAUUUCAUUCAAUUAAACGUUUUGAAAUGUUUAUGUAGAUUUGGAAAAGAAAAAUUUUAGUGUCAUGAUUUCAAUGCAUAUUAAUAACAAAAAUGACAUGAUAUUAGAGUUUUGAUUCCUUAUAUAGUUGUUUUCAUAUUUUUGUAAAAAUGAGCAUUUUUUUACCUUUUCAAAUAAUUGUAACAAGUAAAUUAAUAUUUUUCAAAAAUAUACAUAUGUUAUUUUAUUUAAUUUUUUUCCAUUCAAAUGUUAUUUUAUUCAAAAUUACCAAUAUUUUACACAUAUAAAAUACCAAAAUAACUUCCAAGUAAAAUAAUACAUGCAAAAUUAUUUACCUACAAUGAUUGCCAAAAAAAUAUAAGAAAUGGAACAUAUGAUGGUAAGACAAGUAUAAAGUAGAUACUUUUGUAAUUUACCUAUAGAAUAAAUGAAUGUUGAUUGCGCAAACAACAUAAUAAUAACAAAUGUGCCUAGUAUAUGUAAUAAUACAUGAAAAAUUAUUUACCUACAAAAUAAAAGGAUGUUUUUAGCCAAUUGAUUCAAAGUUAAUUAAUUACCUAUAUUCUACUUAAAAAUAUAGGUAAUUUAUUUCACACAGAUAUAAUAAUAAUGAAAUGUGCCUAAUGUAUACAUGCAAAAUAAUUUACCUACAAUGAUUGUCAAACAAAUAUAAGAAAUGGAACAGAUGAUGGCAAGACAAGUAUAAAGCAUAUACUUUUGUAAUAAUAAUGCACUUAUUUGCCAUAUUUAUGGUGGAUAAUUAAAUUCAUCACCAUAAUUAGGGUGUCGUGGUACAAUUUUAAAUAUUUUGAAAAUAAUAUGUAUUUAUUUGUUUACAUGGCAGUUUACUUCAAAUUUGGAUUUUAUUUGGAUGUUUAAAACGAGAUGAGUUUUUGUCAAGAAAAUAAGUGUUGCAUGAGCUUAUACCUAAAGAACCCAAAAAAAAAAAAACCAUUGGUUAUCAAAACAAAUCUUAAAAAGAAAUUCAAAAUUCGAAGAAGAAAACUACUUGGAGAAAGAAUCAUGCAACCAUUUUGCUAGAAAAAUAACAGAGAAAGUACCUCUCCAUUACUGAAAGUCUCGGUGGUCCACCAACUUCAUACUCCAAAACGAUUUCGUCGGCAUCUGCAUCAAUCGUUCGCUUGUCUUUGAAAAAGAAACCAAUAAGCUUCGGUAGAUUCCGAAGUGUCAAAGAUGUUAACUUUUGAAAGGGCUCGCCUACAAGUUGCCCAUAACAUACACUUUCCAAAAUCACAAGGUCUUCAAGAGUUGGAGAUUCCAGGUUGGGGAAGGUAUUAUGAGAAUAACUCCAACUGACAAAGUUAAUGACAUAUGUAACUUCGUCGUUGUUUUGGACAUGGAGACACUUCAGUUGUUCCACAGCAUCACUGUCAAAUAGAAAGGAAAUAAUAUUCCCACUCUCCUUCCCAUCCAAGUACAAUUGCUCACAUCUCUUUACCAGCAACUUUAUACCUCGGUCGAAUUGAUUUCUCCUGGUGAGCUUGAGUUUUAGCAUGUUAGAGGAGGUUCCGUACGUGUCACGAUAUGUUGUAUCUUUCUAACUUAUCGGAGAACAAGUUCGGUGGAAGAAGGUCAGCAUCUGGAACAUGUAAGUCUAAUGCAGUUAGUUCAGCCAAGUGCUUCAGCUCUGAAACAGUAGCAUUACUUCCUCCGCUAAUGGGACCUUCACCCUCCCAUUGCUUAAAGCUUUUUAUUCCCAUCCUCAAGUCUUCUAGUCUUGUCAAGCUUGAUAUAACACCAGGUGAGAUCAUAACAAGUUCAGAGCAACCGGUCAAAUCCAAUAAUUGUAGCCUUGUCAAUUGCCCUAUUUCUUUGGGCAACUCUUUAAUCUUGGACUUUAGGAGGCUAAGAAUUUUCAAGUUUAUUAGCUGUCCAACAAGAGUUAUGUCUACCAACUCGCAUUGAUCUAAGCACAAUGUGUGGAGAUGCUUUAGGGAUUGAAGAGAUGGAGGUAGUGACUGAAUAUUGAAUCUGGUUACAUCCAACACUUUGAGUUCUUUCAUCCCUUCAAAAAAUUUGCUUGGGAUUUCCUGGGAGUGGCCAAUGUCAUCAUUCACCAAGACCAACAAUUUUAAUUCUGGGCAUUCCCAAGGUACUUCAGGAAGCCUGGGGAUCUUGCAACCUUUUAAGGACAUCCUUGUGCAUUUCCUAAGGAAAUCCUCAGCUGGCCAUUGUUUCACCUCAUCUCCAUAUGCUCUUGAAAAGGCUUUUUGAUCAUCAGUUGCAAUCCGGACAGCAACAUCUCGUACAAGUUCAUGCAUUGUAACAGUGUCAUCGUCAUAGCUGUCCUGCAAUAGGCAAGAAUUUUUUAAUUUUUUAACCAUUCCAUUCAAUGAAGUCCGUGCCUCUUCCACUGUCUCAACAUUUUUUAUCAAACCCAAACCCAUACUAUACUUCAACAAGUCACUGAGCACACUGCUGCUACUCCCACAAAGCAAGAACAAUUGCUUAAGCUCUUGAUCCUCCAAUUGUUCGUAACUCCACUUUAGAGCCAAGAAUGCUUUUUCAUUCAUUUCUUUCUUGUCAAAUCUUUUGAAACUUCUCAACGCAUCUUUCCAUUCCUCCAAACUACUUUCCCUUAAAGCACUUGCAACUGCAACAACCAAAACCGGUAAACCUCCACAUUUCUUUGCUAGCUGGGUUGCUUCUUUCAGCAUACGGUUGUCUUUAACAACAUCACCUGCCAUCUUCUCAAACAAACCCCAACUUUCUUUUUCUCUUAAAAAUCCAAGUUCAAAAUUGUUUUGCGUACGCAUAUCAUAGAAUAAAACUUUUCUUUCUCUAGAUGUCAACAAUAAAUUACACUUCAGCACACCGACGAGUCCCACAGCCUCAAAGUCAAUUCUUUCUGAAACAUUGUCUAAAAUGACAAGAGUCUUCCCAUCCUUUAUCCUGGCUCAUAGGAGAUUCGCCCUUGUUCCCAUAUCCUCAGAUUCAUCAACGUCCAUCCCCAACUUUUUGGCAAUUUCUUUUUGAAUUUUUUCGGCGUCUUUUUUUUCCUUGACAUUUAGUAUUAUAACCACAUCAUCAAAUAACUUCUCUUUCACAGCUUCUCUGUAAACCUCUUUGGCAAGUGUUGUCUUCCCAACGCCCCCUAAUCCGUACACCCCAAUCCUGUUGAUAUCAGGUUUUUUCAGUUCUGUAACAAUAUCCUUCACCAUAGAAAUCCUUGAUUCAAAGGCCAUGUACUCGUCGUAGGCUAUGGCAGAUAUGUCUUCUACGGGAGCUUUGUAAGAAACACUGGAAAACUCUUUCUUUUUAUUUUCAAGUUCUUCAAUCUUUCUCACCAAUUUAGUUGAUUUUCUGCUGAGCUGAUGAUAGGAUAUCAGGUUAGGACAUAUAUAGAGACACUUCGUCGUUGCACGGCCUUCAUCAUCCAAUAAUGCUUCUGCCUCUCGAGAGAUCUCAUCCGCUUCUGUCUGCCAGUUCCGGACAUCAGCUUCCACUUUUUGAUUAACUUUUCUUUUGACUUCUUCAACGUCAUGGUUCAUCCUUUGUUUGACAGCAUCAAAUUUCUUCAAUGCACUCCUUAGAUCUUUAAGGUUGCUUUUGUAGAAAAUGACAUAACUCACUUGGCGUCCAAGUGGUCUAAUUGUGUAGUCAAUUAUUGUAGGAAUAAUUGCCGUGAUUAUCUCCAUCGCCAUGGCACCUUCAGCUUACCAAUUCGUCUGCUUUUUCUAUCUGUUGAAUAUAUACAUACGAAUCCAAACAAAAAAUUUAGGACGCGAGAAAGGUAUUUUUUUUCUUCUUUUUUUUUUUUUUUUUUUUUUUUGUGUUUCCAAAGGAGAUGAAAUUUAAAAAAUGAAACAAUAGGUCAUGCCUCAACUCAUGAUUGAGACUAUGCUUGAAGAAUAACAGAGCAGUACGCAAAUCUUUUGGUUUUCUUUUUCCUUAGGAGAAAUCUGCAUAGUAAAAGCAAAAAGAAGGUUAUACCACACUUGCAAAGUAGAAGUCGAGAUGAUGAACAAGUCUUCAUAUGCAAUUAUUAUACUGAAAAAACUUGAUUGGUACAAAACUAUGAAAACAUGAUCUGCUAUGAAUUUCACUGAGACAUUUUAACAAACACCGUAUUUGCACACGUAGGCGGCCUUGUAGGUGCCGCCGUAGAGGUCUGUGUCGACGGUGACGGAGGUGAGGGAGACCAAUUGCUGCCCAUGAAACAUUUCCCAUCGGAAAAUUUGAGCUUUUUCUAGAUUCUGUGUAAGAAUUUCAAAAAUCCAAUCGUUUAAUUUGGUUUUUCUGGGUUUUCUGCUCUGCUUCUAGUAUCGUUUUUCGCACUCUCUUCUCUACACAGCAUGAAAGUUCAAAGAUUUGUAACUUUCGGGAUUUUUUCAAUGAAAGCUCAUAUCUAGAUUUGAGAAAAUAUUCCAGAGCUUUUUGUCUUCUUAUGAGAUUUCUGCAGAUUUCUUUGCCUUUCUUUUUUUGCCUCUUGGCAGGCUCAGAGGCUCAGAGACUCAAAGUCUACCAAGGCUCUAAAAACUCCAUUUCAGAUCCCCAACAACCUUCUGGUUUUCAGUUCCCACAAUCAAUUUGUACUCAAAAUCUCAACCAAACCGUCCAAAUUCCACAAACUUUGGUUUUAAAUUUUGCCUCCUCUAUUUCACACUUUCAUCAAAGAAAAGUAUUAAAAUGUCAGUCUCUUUUGGUCUCAAAUCAGACUUCACAAUCCGAUCUGUGAAGAGGGCGACGAUGAGACUUUGAGGCUCCGUCGAUCCCACAUCCCAAUGUUAUAUUUUUAAUUUGCCAAAAAGAAAAAAUUCUGCACAAUCAUCAUCCACGUAGGCCACGACGACAAGUCACUCGACAGUUAUCGUCCACGUGGGCACCAUGUUAAACUUUAACGAAGGUUCAUAGUUCUGGAUUAAUGGAAGUUAUGAGGCUGAGAUGAAAAAAAUACUUAUGUAAGAAAGUUUGAAAACUCCAAUACUUCAAGGUAGGGUUGGAAAAAAUUCCCAAAAAUUCCGAUCCCAAACUGAAAAUUCCCGAACCAAUUCCGAAAAUCCCGAACCGAUCCCGAAUCAUUUGGUAUGAGAUUCGGGAAUGAUUCGGGAUUGCUCAUUCUAAGUUUGGGAAUCCCGAAAAUAUAUAUUAUAUAUAUAUAUAUAUAUAUAUAUAUAUAUAUAUAUAUUUAAUUAUAUUUAGAAUAAUUGCAAGUUUGCAACCAUUGGAUUGUUUCAAAACAAUAUGGGUCGUCCAUUCUUUGUUAGGGGUCUCCAGCCCUAUCCACUCUCUAUCUCAUAUCAUUUCGACAUACCUCUUCGCUCAAAAACUCUCUUUGAGUCUCUCAUUCUUGAAUUAGAACUUCAGCAGCCACCAACACACCCUCCCACAGUCUCACUCGAAUUCUUUCGACAAACUCUCUCUACUCCGGCCACCACCACACCUCACGACCACACAGUCUCCGACCCUCCACCUUCCCUCCACCACACACAGUCACAUAGCCAACCCUCUCUCUCACAAUUCUCUGUCGCGAUUUUCUCUAUGAGACUGUCACUGAUUCUCUCUCUGUAUGUGGGGAUUCGAGUUAAGGUUAGGAUUUCGAUUUGAGGGUUCGAAUUGGAGCUUUUGCAAUGGGGUUUCGAAUUAGGUUUCUGUGUGUGGGAUUUCAGAUUAGGAUUAGGGUUUCGAAAUGGGGCUUUGAAUUAGGGCUUUUGCAAUGGUGUAUACGAAGUGAACGGCGGGUUUAGCGUCAACGGAGCUCUGAGGAGGUAUUUACCUUACUUUUUUUUUUCAGUUUGCUUUUCUUUUUGUUGUGCACCCUUUCAUUUUUUUUUUCCUUAGCUUUUUGAAUGGGAACUGAAAGCAUGAGACGGAUGGGAACCAAAAACAGCCAAUGGCCCACUAAAUUUGGCCUAAUUCAUCUAAUUCUGCUGGGGUAAAGGAGGAAGGAGAUAGGUGGAGUCUGCUUUCUUUGCUUAUCUGCUUUUCUGGGUUUAUACCAAUUUUGAAUUUUCUGCAAUUGGUAUGCUUUCUUUGCUCAUCUGCUUUUCUGGGUUUAUACCAAUUUUGAAUUUUCUGCAAUUGGUAUGAAUUUUCUGGGUUUAUUCAAAUCCCGAACACGUCCUAAAAUCCCGAAAAAAUUUCGGGUAUCCCGAAAUUUUGGUUUGGUUUGUAAAAUACCGUCCCGAAAAAUAUUAGGUUAGGAAUCGGGCUUUGGGUUUCGGUACGGGAUUCCGUCCCGAACCAGCCCUACUUCAAGGUAACAAAAUGAGAAUUACUCUUCUAUAAAUGAUUUUUUUUUUUUGGAAAGUGGAAAAAUUUAUUAAACACCAAAGCCGAAUGUACAAACCGAACAUACGCCCAGCAUACACCAAUAAACAAACAAAAAAGGGCCUAACACAAAGGGAAACUGAAAAUGAGCCCACAAAACAACACAGCCGAGAAGCUUCCACUGAUUUCUCCACUGACAGAAGUCCAAGCCAUCCAAUCGAGAUGCCGUCCACCUCCGAGUAUCACCUCCUUCGACGCCACUUGAGCACAACCAUUAGUAAGAGAUAGUCGGCAACAAAGAGAGAAGCCAACUAGCAGUAUGAAGCUCGUGGAAACCCACAAGGAACGUUGUAGAAAACGACAAAUAACCAAGAGAACGUGGUGGUGUAGAAACACCUGAGCUGGUGAAAAUACCAGACCUCUACACACGAACUCGACAUAAGACAUGGAUGAAAACCAAAGCAAGGAAGAGCCGAGAAAAGUUAUACCCGCAUGUGUAGAAGAAUUGGAUAGGCCGAAGGGAAAAUUUGGGAGAAACAUCAGUAGGAGCAAAAGAGAAGAGGACUCGGAAGACAGCCGAAGCUAGGGCUGGUGCCACAGGGGAAUUUGGAUUUGAAGGUCUCACAAGAACAGUGAGAAAGACUCACAGCUAGGAGAGAAAAACUCCCACUUUGGGGAGAACGGACCAAACUCGUUUUUAAUUUCUUCUAUAAACGAUAUUUGGAAAACGGUUUUGCAAACGAAAAAGUCAGAAAACUCAAAAGACAAAUACAAUUUUGCGUUUUUAUAAUUGCAUAAUGCGUGAGUAAGUUUAAUUCAAUAAUAAACUUUAAUAAAAAAAAAUUGAAAACGUGUAUACUAUUAAUAUAUUCUAGAUAAAAAGUCACAUACUAUGUGUGUUUAAUCUAUAGACAAUUUAAAAAAGAAUUGGAAUUUUGUUCAAAAAAAAAAAAGAAUUGGAAUUAAAAUUAAAAAAAGGGAAAAGUAGGGAGUGGGAGAGAAAAAAUGUACCGAAACAAGAAACAAAUUGAACUACACCGAACAUUUCGGUUUUGCGAUUUUGAAACAGUUUCGGUUUGAAACUAAACCGCAAUGUAAGGAAACAGUUUACUUGCGGUUUUGACUUUUGAAAGCUGCACUGAAACAGAACUGCACCUCACAUAUUAAUAAACAUUUAAUUGAAUAUCAUAUUAGAUGUCAUGUUUUAAUUGGUUGUUUAUUAGAAUCCAUAUAUACUUUGUUUGUUUGUUUUUUUUGGAAAUUGAUUCAUAAAUUAAACCAGGUCGAGCCACCAAGGGCGGAAAGCCAAUGAGGCCAAUGAGUUAUUGAUUUACCGUUGUAUGAUUUUAUUUACGUUAUAUGUUUAUCGUGUGCUACAUUGAUGUUAGUACUUGCCUGGGUCAGGCUAGUCUUUCACGUGUAUGUUCACAUCGCUUUGUACACUCACUUUGGAUCAAUUGUAGGUGCCAAUCCUGUCUUAGAUUGCUAUAGGCAAUUAGGACUCAUAUGUGAUGCGCAUAACGCCAAUCUUCACGUGAUUGUAGUACUAGAGCGUAAACCAUUAUUACACCCAGUCUUAUUCAUGUCAGAAUAUCUCUGCAUGAACUCAUGUGUCAGCAUAUGCCGAUGAGCAUUCAAUAUGAUAUAUUUGUCUAUACGAGAAUAUGUGAUUCCCGGACGUUAGAUGUUUAUUUAUGAAAUAUAUUGUGGCGUAUUGAAUUCUUGCGAAAUUGCAGGCUACGGUAAGUAUUUUCAUACUAUACGUAGCAUGUAUAUUUGGACACUAUACUUGUUUUACAGCGAGGGGUUAUUACGUUUUGAAAAGGUUUUACAAAGUUUUGUUUUUAGGCCCCCUCACCUUUGUUUUUCGCCCCUCCAAGUUUUAGUGGCAGGACUUCUGUGUCGACAAGAAUUCUUGGCAAAUCUUGGUAUUGGUGAUUUCCUUAGAUGGUAUAAUUCUUAUCCUACCUUUAUUGUACCCUACUUAUGCUCUGACAUCACGUGUGAAAUGAGUUCAUUCUUGCUCACUAGUGCACUCUUAUAUUUAGGCACUUUUAGGUUUAAAUUCGUUCACAUUUUACACAUCACUACACUUUAUGGCUUUGUCACCUUUAUGGUGUUGGUCAUCACAGCUCGAUUCAGAGUCCAGGUAAACAUUCCAGAUCGGGGUGUGUUAGGUGCAAAGUCCCUUGAAGGCUUGAAUAUGCACCUUGACCUUGCAUUCAUGAAAUGUUUGAAAAUGAUUUGAAAUAAGGUUUUAAACUAUAUAUUUUUUCUUAAAAAUACUAAUGUUGUUGAGAGAGGGGGGAGAUAGAGAGGAAGACAGAAAUUUUUUUAUUUUCAAUUAUUAUGUCAAUGGCUUGAAAUUGUACCGAACUAAACCAAACAAUUUGGUUUCAUUUCAGUUUUGGCUUCAAAACUGCAUAGAACCAAACCUCAAAAAAUUUCGAUUUCGGUUUCACUCAAAACCGCACCGAAUCGAACCAUGCCCACCCCUAAGUAAACCUAUGGUUACUUGUGGGGAGGAAAAAAAAACUUCUUUGUGUGAAUUACUUUACUGCCUAUAUUUUUCCAAUCUAAUAUUUUCCUUCAAUUAUGUAUAAAAAGAUAAUAGUAAUUUCAUUAUUUUUUUGUUGACAGACAAGGUUCUAUUAAUAUAUAACUUAGAGACAUAUAAUGAAAAGUAAUGAUUUUGUGUUUGGUGGUCAUGUAUUUGUAAUGUGUGAGAUAGCGGCAAUGUUGGUGGACAUGGGGGUUGCAACAAGAGUUUGAAAUGCAAAUAACAAUUCUCAAAUGAAAAUAACAUUUUUUAAAUGAAAUUAAACUUUUGGACAAUUUAUUUUUUUGAGUGCAAAUAUUAAUUUUCAAACAAAAUUAUACAACGAAAUAAAGUACAUACCGGAGCUCCUGAUUAGGAAGUUAGCAACUCUUUUGGUUUUGUUUAUGCUUUCUAAUUAAGCUUUUUUUUUUUGGAGUCAACUGCAUAGCAAAAGCAAAAGGAAUGUUAAAUUAUUUCGAGAUCAUCAAUGUACGUACGAUAUACAAGUCCAUCGUAAUUUUCCUAAUAGUUCUUGGAGUAUAGAUGAACUUUUGAUUGAUUUUAAGAGAAAUAAUAAUUAAAUUAUAUAGAACGUCAUGUGGAAAAGGUACGAUAAAUGUUUAUAAAACCAGAAUUCAUUAUUUUAGACAAAUAGUUCAACGUGAAAUCUAUUUCUCUUCCUCCCUUUGAAGUUCUAUUUCUCCUUUGCCAUUACCACAUCUAAACUACAUAUAAAUAGACCCUCUUUAUCAACCAAAAGAUGCUGAAAAGAUUUUUUAGUCAUCUAUCACAAAAAAAGGUUAAGGGUAGUACGGAAUGUCACAAUGAUUUCUUAUUAUUUUUUUGUGUGUAAGCAUUACCUACAUGUGAUUUUACAUCUUUAUUUUUUUUAAAUUAAUAAAAAAACCUCCCUCCCACUUUCACGUUCACUCUCUCUCUUCCUCUCUCCUCCAAUUUUAAAGGGAAAAAUAAAAAAUUUCACACACAAUGACUGCAUGGUGGACAACUUCAACAGCAUUACCGUCCUCUAGGAGCACGUUGUUACGCAGCGGCAGAACCAGACCUUCUUCUGGCGACCGCUGCCGGAGGAACCGUCUGUGGGUUUAAUGGCGGAUGUUUCGGAUUGCUUGGACAAGCUUCUGCUGUGCUGUUGCAUCGGAUUCACACUCAUCGUGCUCGCCAGUCGAGCUUCAGAUUUUAUGGGAUGGACGAGUCACACUGCGGUUCUGGAGGAGGACAACGACGAAUCCGAUGUAGAUAUACUCAGCAUAUCCAGCGGCGAUGAUGACUCCACUGCCAAAGAUCAGCAGCGCGUGCAUUUCCGAGGAGGCAAGGCUGUUUCUGCUGCUACCGCCAGAUGUGGUUCUCGAGGAGAUGAUGAUGCCGCUUAGGACAACGGAGAACCCAGUUGCUAGAAGCACGUCGACGAGGCUGAACUUGCUACGAGUGUGACUCAGAGAGCAAUCUUGAUCAUCAGAAACACACUCAUUACGACUUGACGAAGAUAAGCUUUUCCUCAAUAAUAAGUCUAUUAUUAUUCUCCCUGUCUGCCAUCUGCCAAAAGAGAAAAGAAAAAGUGACAUCAAUAAAGGAAGAUGAUAGCUGUGAUGCUCAUCAGAGACUACGAAGGCUACCAAACUAUUAAUUCAAAUAGUGGUGCCAAAAAAAUGAAUUAUUUUCUUGGCACCAAGUCCACCAACAAUUUAAAGCUAUUAAAGAAAGCACAAAGUGUAGUGUGGGAGAAUAUUAUGGAGCCUUGGCGGUGGACUCGUGGACCAUGCAGCAGAAAAAGGGAAACAAAAGCAAAAGCAGAAAGCAAAAGAAGAUAAAAAGAAGCAGACAUAAUUGCGGUGGUGAUGGCAUGCAGAAAAGGAAAUUAUGGGCGUGACCCAUUGAGCAGAGGGUCGGAUUUAUUUUUGAAUGAUGUAAUUUAUUUUCCUUAUCUUUCGGAGACAUCUGUGUAACCCCAUCAAAGGGUAAUCACAAAAAAAAAAAAAAAAAACGGUAAGCCCAAAAUAAUGGGCUGGAAUGUUAUGUGGAGGGCGAAAGCCCAUAUGGCCAAAAGAGUCAGGCCCUUUAUUAUCACCAACCAGGUGAUCAAAACUACGUCCAGUACUCCAAAUUUAUUCGGCACCCUGCCGCUAGUAUCACCAAUCAGGUGAUAAAAAGUACGCCCAGUACUCCAAAAUUAUUCGGCACCCUACCGCUAGUAUCACAAACCAGGUGAUCAAAAGUACACCUAAUACUCCAAAAUUAUUCGGUAGCCUGCCGUUAUUAUCACCAACCAGGUGAUCAAAAGUAUGUCUAGUACUCUAAAAUUAUUCGGCAACCUGACGCUAUUAUCACCAACUAGGUGAUCAAAAGUACGUCCAGUACUCCAAAAUUAUACAUGAGCAUCACUCAUGUCAAUCAUACACAAACAUUUAUGAGCAUCACUCAUAUCAAUCAUACAUAAACAUUCAUGAGCAUCACUCAUGUUAUUCAGCUUCAAAAGCUUCAUUUACAGAGCUCUAGCUUCGAAAGCUUCAUUUCCAAAAGCUCCAUCUUCAAAAGCUUUACUUACAAAGCUUCACCUACAAAGCUUCAGUGCAGGGUAUACAAAUACCGCCUCCGAACAAUAGCCACUUCGGCCCAUACAUGAAUUGAAUUUGAAGUCUCCAGCCAACAGCCUCUAUUAACUGAAGACUUGGGGGACUACAUUAUGUACCAUAUGUUGGGCCUCAAUUGGGCCUCAUGAAAAAUACUUGGGAGCCUUAGCCUAUUAUUUCUGUACUGAUGAGAGAGCCCUUAUUCUAUAAAAGAGACUCCCUCACUUUCAUUAGAGAGCACCCAUUCUUCAUGUAUUGAGGAGCGAGCCCUUAUUCUAUAAAAGGGACUCCCUCACCAUCAUUAGAGAGUAUCGCCGCCUGCUGAGCAACCGCCUCGCUGCGAACAUCAACUCUUAGCCCAUCACUUAUGUAUUGAGAAGCGAGCCCUUAUUUUAUAAAGGGGACUCCCUCACCAUCAUUAGAGAGCAUCACCGCCAGCUGAGCAACCGACUCGUCGCGAGCAUCAACUCUAGCCCAUCAUUCAUGUAUUGAGGAGCGAGCCCUUAUUAUAUAAAAGGGACUCCCUCACCAUCAUUAGAGAGCAUCAACUCUAGCCCAUCAUUCAUGUUUUGAGGAGUAAGCCCUUAUUCUAUAAAAGGGACUCCCUCACCUUCAACGCCACAAGCCAUGCCAACCAAGGCAACAUAAGCCACAAACCGAACAGCCUCGCAACAUGUGCUACUUCUAGUUGAGCAUUAUUUCAGAUUGAGCACCGCCUCAUAUCGAGUAUCAAUUCAAGACGACAUCUAGUUAUUUCAGCCCACACAUAGACUGAAUUUCAAGUCUCCAACCAAAAGACUCUCUUGACUGAAAACUUGAGGGACUACUGUUUGUACCAUACUUAGGGCCUCCGUAUUUAGACCUCGUAUACGGGGGACUCAAAUGUAAUUAUGUAAUAAAUGGAGGGGCAAAUAUAUAAUAAGUGAGGAGCCCUUAUUCUAUAAGAGGGCCUCCUCACCCUCACAAAGGGGAAGGGCUCUCUCACCCUCAGAAGCUCUCACCCUCUCAUCCUCUCACAAACAGAGAAAUACAAUAUCAAUGUGGACGUAGCCCAAACAUUGGGGUGAACCACGAUACAUCUUGUGUUAUUUACUUUCUUACAGAUUCACAGUCGGAUUUACGUUGUUCCAAAAGUUUUGUGCAUCAACAACACUUUUAUCCUUAAUAGGAAGAACUUGCAGAGAGGAACAAUCAGAGAAGCAAAAACGAUGGUGAUUCUGAUUCAUUCAUUCAGCUCAAACACUACAUGUGAGGGAAUAUUAUCGUUGCAACAUAGUGGGAAAGAGCAGUCUCUCUCAUACAUCAGCACAAAAUCUAACCAUCCAAGUAAUCUAUCCUAUGAGAUGAUUACAAUUGGCAAGAGCUAUUACUCAUUGCUAGUGAAUCUGAGAUGAAAACCAACUAACAACCAUUAAUCUAAUUUUGCAAAUACACUUAUACAUCAACACUCCGUUCCCGGACUCGUGAUCUGUUCUCAAGGGCCUUCGGGAAGAAGGGGUACAUCCCGCUCUCGACCUACCUCAAGACCUACAAGAUCGGUGACCAUGUCGACAUCAAGGUUAACGGCGCCGUCCACAAGGGUACGCCCCACAAGUUCUACCACGGCCGUACCGGUCGCGUCUGGAACGUCACCAAGCGUGACGUCGGUGUCGAGAUCAACAAGCAGGUCGGAAACAGAAUCAUCAGGAAGAUGAUUCAUGUGCGUGCGUGUGGAUCUUGUGCAUCCAUCAUAGUGCACCGAAGAAUUCCGUAUAAGGAAGAUUAAGAAUGAUCAGCUGAAGGCCGAGGCUAAGGCAAAGGGUGAGUUUAUUAGCACCAAAGAAUUCACGUGCUGCAGAAGACACUGCUUCGAUUUAUGUCUUAUGCAAGGAUUUAAAUAUCGAUAAUAUCGGCGAAAUAUCGCCGAUAUUAUCGUUUUUUUGAAGAUCCGAAAUUUUUUUAACUAUCCAAAUAAUUUUCGUCAAAAUAUCGCGAUAUUAUCGAUAAUAUCGCGAUAUUUUCGAUAUUUUCGAUAAAUAUCGAUAAUAUCGCAAAAUAAUACUUAAAAAUACUUAAAUAUGUUGAGAAAACUCAACAUAUACUUCACUUGAUCAUAGCCCAAAGGCCAAUCAAGUUAGGAUUUUCUCAGCUGGGGGAAUGUGGAUUUUAUAGGCAAAAUUGCUUGCUCACUGCCCUCACAUGGGCGAUGUGGACUCCCCCAAUGGGAGAGAAAAUCAGAAUUUUGGCCGAAAUUUUACACCCACUUUAAACGACCAUAACUUUGUCAAAACUCAACGAAAUCAAGCAAGACAAAAACGAAAGUUGUAGCCCUCGAUGAGACGAAGAGAAUGGUACCUUACACGACGUCUAAAUCGUCGUGGUGUGGCCGAAAAAUGCCUCGAAAGUCACUGAGAUCGGCGGAAACUGGGUAAGAUUCAAAUGAGUAUAACUUUUUUAAUACUCAACGAAAUUGAGUGAAACAAAAAGGAAAGUUGUACUAAUCGACGAGACGAAGAGAUUGAUACCUUGUACGCCGGCCAAAUCGCCGUGGUUUGGCCGGAAAUUUCCUCGAAAGCCACUGAGGUCGCUGGAAAUUGGGUAAGAUUCAAAUGAGUAUAACUUUUUCAAUACGCAACGACAUUGAGUGAAACAAAAAGGAAAGUUGUAGCCCUCGAAGAGACGAAGAGAAUGGUACCUUACACGACGUCUGACUCGUUUUGUUUUGGUCGGAAAUUGCCUCGAAAGCCACUGAGGUCGCCGGAAUCUGGGUAAGAUUCAAAUGAGUAUAACUUUUUCAAUACUCAACGAAAUUGAGUGAAACAAAAAGGAAAGUUGUACUACUCGACGAGACGAAGAGAUUGAUAUCUUGCACGCCGGCCAAAAUUCAAUUGACACACUCCUGGCUUCCAAAAUUCAAUUCUUUUACUUUAUAUAAACUUGAAAAAACAUAAUCGGCAUCCAAAUUAAAGUUUAGUCUUAUUCUUAUGUGUAAGAAAUUUAAAGUAUCAAAUUCGGCACAUUAUUCUUCAUCAUUUUAUUCACUUCCCUUUUUUUUUUAAUAUCCUAAAUAAAACCUCCAAAUAUUGUACUAAUUAAUUAUAUAUAAAUGAUUAUGGUGUGUUUAAACUUCUUUCAUUAAUUACUACAUAUUUUCUAUACUCACAAUGUUUGCCAGCUCGCUAUAUAAUCAACUUAAAUCAGUUAAAUCCAUCAUGCAAUGCAUUUCCUUCCAAUUUUUUGUGAUAAACUAAUAGAUAAUUGACUAAAUAAACAUCCUACAAAGUUUCAUUAAAAAUUUCCAAGUUUUUCUUACAAUUUCCGUGGUUUCCAUGUAAUUUUUAUCGAUAUCGAUAUUUUACCGAUAUUUCCAUCGAUAUUUCCGUGUUUUCGGACUACCGAUAUUUCCGAUAUUACCGAUAUUUUCUUCCUUGGUCUUAUGAUAUACGUUAAACUUUCAAGUACAAUUUUGUGCCGAAUGUGAAAAAAAUAAUUCUAAAAAGAAAAUGUUCAGAAAACUUUUAUUUGUUUGUUCUCUUAUGCACAUCUAGGUUUUGUCAAUUAUGGGUUUUAGAUUUUUGUGAAUUUUGGGGUAUUAGGUUUCCUAAUGGCAUUGAAAAAAAUCAGAGAACUAAAGGGCGAGAGAGGAUAAUUUUAAAGUUUGAAAAAAAAAAAAAGUAAAAUAAUUUCGAAGAUAUGACUGUUCUACAUACUAGCUCUUCAUGCUUGAUCACGUAUUGUUGAAUAUCACAACUAUUUCAACAUAUCAUAUUAUUUUUUUAACUGUGUAAACAAUGGACUUGUGGUGUCUUUAGAAAAUAAAAUUUAAUUUAAAAAUAAUUCAAGGUCUAAAGUCAUUUCAUUAGGACAAAAAGUCUAUUAAUAUUAAAAAUUUAAGUGUGGUGUGGUCAACAAAUUGUCAAUGUCAACAAAAUAACCCUUCUUGUAUUAUAACAUCAAUAGGGUGAAUGUUCUGCAGGAAGAAAACCUCACAAUAGACUAUGGAGGUGCUAAACUUGAUUUUGUGACACUAACUACAAUAUUUAGCCUCCUAAGCCCUCCUAAACCAUUAUUUUCCCCAACUUUAUGUUGUGCGGAAGCGGCAUUCGACUGUAAGUGAAUAGUAAAACAGAACAGAAACAAAACCAACAUCAACAAGAACACCAAGAUUUAUACUGGUUCGGCAAUGCCUACAUCCAGUUUGGAGACGACGGAGUAUUCCACUAUAAUCAAUGAGAACAUACAAUAGUGUUUAUCACUUAAUUUCCCAAAGACCCAAAUAACCCAAGCUCUCACACUUACAAUAGGAAGAGAAAACCAAAAAUACAAAGCAAGACAAUUUGAGAAAAUUCUUCUCUAUGCCGAAUGGCUUCUUGCUAUUUUUCUCUCUUCCUUGUUCUCCUCUUGUCUCUCCUCCAUGCUUAUGAGCUGCACCUUGCUCUCCUUUUAUAGCCAAAGAAAAGCUUCUCAAAGACAUCAAUGGCCAAAGGCCUACCAUCAAGUCAAAAGAGUUAGGCACAAAUUAGGCACAAAUGUUGUUUGCCUCCCAUUUCCACAAAGUAGCCCAAAGAUUUGGACUUUGACUACAUGUUUGAGUCAAUAAUCAACAAUCUCCACCUUGGCUCAAACCCUCUAAGUAGAACUCCUAAUAGUCGUCUCCCAAUCCCUCAUGGGGCAAUCAACAAAUUUUACAAAUGCCAAUCAAGUCUAAGCAGUGCUUAAACUUGAGCAACGAAAUUGGCUUUGUUAACAUAUCCGCAGGAUUGUCAGCGGUCCCAAUCUUCUAAAGAAGAAUAUCUCCCUCGUCAAUAAUCUCACGAACAAAAUGGAACCUCACGUCAAUGUGUUUCGUACGUGCAUGAUGAACUUGAUUCUUUGCUAAAUGAAUAGCACUCUGACUGUCGCAAUGAACAUCCACAUGGUCUUGUUGAACCCCUAAGUCAUCAAGCAACCCUUGAAGCCAGAUGGCUUCCUUUAUAGCUUCUGUUACAGCCAUGUAUUCUGCCUCAGUAGUCGACAAAGCAACUGUAGAUUGCAGAAUCGACCUCCAACUUACUGGACCUCCAGCAAUAGUGAAUACAAAACCAGUAGUGGACCUACGCUUGUCCAAAUCACCUGCGUAAUCAGAAUCCACAUAUCCAACAACACAUUGACCAGUAACUUUAUCCUGCUGGAACAAUAAACCAACAUCCACAGUACCCAGAAUAUACCGUAGAAUCCAUUUCACAGCUUGCCAAUGCCCUUUUCCUGGAUUAUGCAUAUAUCUACUGACAAUACUAACAGCUUGUGAAAUAUCAGGCCUAGUACACACCAUAGCAUACAUCAAAACUACCAACAACAUUUGCAUAAGGAAUUUGAGCCAUGUACUGACUCUCUUCAACAGUUUUAGGAGACAUAGAAGCGCUAAGUUUGAAAUGAAAGGCAAGAGGUGUACUAACCGGUUUUGAAUUUUCAUUCAUCCUGAAACGUUGUAGUACCUUCUUCAAAUACUGCUUCUGACACAGACUAAUCUUGCCCUUCGCUCUAUCUCUUUCAAUUUCCAUACCUAGUAUCUUCCGAGCUUCUCCCAAGUCCUUCAUCUCAAAUUCAUUACUUAGUUGAGUCUUCAACCUUUCAAUCUCCACUUUGCUCUUACAUGCUAUAAGCAUAUCAUCAACAUAUAAAAGCAGAUAAAUGAAGGUUCCAUCUUGUAGUUUGCGAAAGUAUACACAAUGGUCAUAGUGACUUCUUGUGUACUUUUGCCCGAUCAUAAAUCGAUCAAAUCGCUUGUACCAUUGUCUUGGAGACUGCUUCAAGCCAUACAAUGAUUUUUCCAAUUUGCAAACCCAAUUUUCCUUUCCAGCAACCUUAAAACCUUCUGGUUGAGACAUAUAAAUCUCUUCCUCCAAAUCACCAUGUAAGAACGCAGUCUUGACAUCAAGUUGGGCCAACUCAAGGUCAAACUGCACAACCAAAGCCAACAAAAUACGAAUAGAAGAAUGUUUUACUACAGGAGAAAAUACCUCAUUGUAGUCAAUGCCUUCCUUCUGAGCGUAGCCUUUAGCUACCAAUCUGGCUUUGAAUCUUACAUUGUCUUUUCCCAAAGAUUCCAUCUUUUUGGCAUACACCCAUUUACAACCAAUUGCUUUCUUCCCCUUUGGUAACUGAACCAGAUUCCAAGUCUCAUUUUUUAUGAAGAGAUUUCAUCUCCUCAUCCAUAGAUUUCUUCCACAACUCGCACUCUGAACUCAUGACAGCUUCUUUGUAGGCGGAUGGAAUAUCAUCUUCAAUAACAGGAAGUGUAUAUGCCACAAUAUCAGUAAAUCGAGCAGGCUUUCGAAUUUCCCUUCUCGAUCUUCUGGUUGCAAUAUAGUCUUGUUGCUGUGGAGGCUCUUGGGUAAGUGCCUCCUCUUCAUCAUCCUCGUCCUCAUCAUCAGAAUUAACUGUAGGACUAGUGUUUGAAACAUCAGACCUUACUGGAACAACUGGAGUCUUCAGUAACUCCACCUGCUUUGAGCUACUCAUGGUCUCGGUCGCUUUAGUUUCACCUUCAUGCUUGUUCUGAUUAACCAUAGUAGCCUCAUCAAAAGUCACAUCUCUGCUUACAACAAAUUUCUUCUCAUCUGGACACCAGAGUCGGUAUCCCUUCACGCCAGUGCUAAAGCCCAUAAAUAGAGCUUGGAUCCAACUUGCUUUCUCUGACAUAAUAGUAAGCAGAACAGCCAAAUAUGUGUAAAAACUUGUAAUCAGUACAAGGUUUACCAGACCAUACCUCCAUGGGCGUUUUGCCCUCGUUCGCAACAGCUGGCAAUCGAUUAAUGAGAUGGCUUGCAUAAGUAAUUGCUCAGCAGCCCAAAAUGCCUUGCCUAAACCAGCAUUAGACAACACAUACACCGGACUUUCUCAAGCAAAGUACGGUUCAUGCGCUCCGCCACUCCAUUCUGUUGCGGUGUCUCCCUAACCGUGAAGUGCCUCACAAUACCCUCAUCUUGACAAACUUUCAAGAAAGGAUCAGACUUAUAUUCACCCCCAUUGUCUGAUCUGAGAGUCUUGAUCUUUCGACCGCUUUGCGUUUCAAUCAUCUUUUUCCACUUCAGGAAUAUAUCUUCAAGACUUCAUCUUUACGCUUCAUGGUGUACACCCAUAUUCUUCUAGAGAAGUCAUCAACAAAGGAGACAAAAUAAUGGCUACCUCCCCAAGAUGCAUUCUUGGAAGGUCCCCAAACAUCAGUGUGAACAUAAUCAAGAAUGCCUUUAGUGUGGUGAAUAGCAGUGCCAAAUUUUACUCUAUUUUGCUUACCCAACACACAAUGCUCACAGAAUUCCAAUUUGCAUGCCUUUGCACCUUUCAAUAAGCCUUGCUUCACUAAUCCUUGCAACGCUUUUUCACCAGCAUGCCCAAGACGCAUAUGCCAUAACCUCGUGGUGUUUGUGCUAUCUGCGUCAGCAGCUUCGGUGACAGCUGCUCCACCAAUAACUGUACUCCCCUGUAAGAAAUACAAGUUAUUUCGUCUUGUACCUUUCAUCACCACCAGUGCCCCGUACACAGCUUUAAGAACUCCACCCUUCAUGGUGAUCUUGAGACCCUUGGAUUCCAAUGCAUCCAGUGAGAUGAGAUUUUUCUUCAUAUCCGGUACAUACCGAACAUCACUUAAUUCUCUGACUGUUCCAUCAUGCAUCUUUAAACAGAUUUUGCCUAUCCCUUGUGUUUUGCAGGCAUUAUUAUUACCCAUCAAAACAACUCCACCAUCCAGCUCCUCGAAAUUAGAAAACCAUUCCCGAAUGGGACACAUAUGAUAGGUGCAACCUGAAUCCAAAAUCCACUCAUUAGAGUGACCAUCAGCAUAUGAACUAGCCAAAGCAAACUCGAAAUCAUCAUCAUCUCCAGAUUUUGCAAUAUUUGCUUCAGAACCCGCUUUCUCCUUCUCUUUGUUCUUCAAUUUGGGGCAAUCUUUCUUCCAAUGACCCUUUUGGCGACAAAAAGCACAUUCAUCUUUAGCAGGAAACUUCCCUCGUGACUUUGAACGAGAUUUUCCCCACUUCCCAGAUUUUCUUUCCUCUGUUCGACCCCUUGCAACAAAUGCCUCGGUUUGUGAAUUAUGAGUCUUCAGUUCCUUCUUACGACACUCAUGAUUCACCAAUGCCGCAGACACCUCAUCAAGUUUCACCUCGAAUUUUCCAUACAAUAGAGUAGUUGUCAAAUGAUCAUAAUCAUCAGGCAAUGAAUUUAACAAACAUAGUGCCUUGUCCUCGUCAGGAAUUUUCACAUCAAGGUUUGCUAAAUCAGCAAGUAUUUUAUUAUAAUCAUUGAGGUGUUCGUGCAUAGAGAUACCUGGACGAUACUGAAAUCGGAAGAGUCGCUUCUUCAAGAAGAGACGAUUUUCUGGCCUCUUGGUCAUAUACUUCUCCUCCAAUUUUCAUCCAUAACUCUUUAGCAGAAGUUUCCUUCAUAUACGGGUAUUUCAACUCCUUAUCAAGGAACGAUCGAAUAGCAGCACAAGCAUGAAGAUUAAUUCGUAUCCACUGCUUGUCAUCAAUAUCUUCUGGUUUAUCUUCCAGAACCAUAUCCAACUCUUAUUGAUACAACACAUCCAUAACUUCACAUUGCCACAUACCAAAAUUAUUAGAGCUAUUGAAUUUAUCAACCUCUAACCUUGUAGUAGUAGAUGGAUGUCUAUUGGAUGUAGACGAAGACGAUGCUGACCCCAUCUUUACAGAUUCAUCUUUAUCUCCAGCCAUCUACUCGGCACUAUUCACAAAUACGGCACUGUUCACAGAUACUGUAGCAGUUCACUGUUCACGGAACUGUAGCGCCAACACUAUUCACGGAACUGGGCUCUGGUACCACUUGUUGUGCGGAAGCGGCAUUCGACUGUAAGUGAAUAGUAAAAACAGAACAGAAACAAAACCAACAUCAACAAGAACACCAAGAUUUAUACUGGUUCGGCAAUGCCUACAUCCAGUUUGGAGACGACGGAAUAUUCCACUAUAAUCAAUGAGAACAUACAAUAGUGUUUAUCACUCAAUUUCCCAAAGACCCAAAUAACCCAAGCUCUCACACUUACAAUAGGAAGAGAAAACCAAAAAUACAAAGCAAGACAAUUUGAGAAAAUUCUUCUCUAUGCCGAAUGGCUUCUUGCUAUUUUUCUCUCUUCCUUGUUCUCCUCUUGUCUCUCCUCCAUGCUUAUGAGCUGCACCUUGCUCUCCUUUUAUAGCCAAAGAAAAGCUUCUCAAAGACAUCAAUGGCCAAAGGCCUACCAUCAAGUCAAAAGAGUUAGGCACAAAUUAGGCACAAAUGUUGUUUGCCUCCCAUUUCCACAAAGUAGCCCAAAGAUUUGGACUUUGACUACAUGUUUGAGUCAAUAAUCAACAAUCUCCACCUUGGCUCAAACCCUCUAAGUAGAACUCCUAAUAGUCGUCUCCCAAUCCCUCAUGGGGCAAUCAACAAAUUUUACAAAUGCCAAUCAAGUCUAAGCAGUGCUUAAACUUGAGCAACGAAAUUGGCUUUGUUAACAUAUCCGCAGGAUUGUCAGCGGUCCCAAUCUUCUAAAGAAGAAUAUCUCCCUCGUCAAUAAUCUCACGAACAAAAUGGAACCUCACGUCAAUGUGUUUCGUACGUGCAUGAUGAACUUGAUUCUUUGCUAAAUGAAUAGCACUCUGACUGUCGCAAUGAACAUCCACAUGGUCUUGUUGAACCCCUAAGUCAUCAAGCAACCCUUGAAGCCAGAUGGCUUCCUUUAUAGCUUCUGUUACAGCCAUGUAUUCUGCCUCAGUAGUCGACAAAGCAACUGUAGAUUGCAGAAUCGACCUCCAACUUACUGGACCUCCAGCAAUAGUGAAUACAAAACCAGUAGUGGACCUACGCUUGUCCAAAUCACCUGCGUAAUCAGAAUCCACAUAUCCAACAACACAUUGACCAGUAACUUUAUCCUGCUGGAACAAUAAACCAACAUCCACAGUACCCAGAAUAUACCGUAGAAUCCAUUUCACAGCUUGCCAAUGCCCUUUUCCUGGAUUAUGCAUAUAUCUACUGACAAUACUAACAGCUUGUGAAAUAUCAGGCCUAGUACACACCAUAGCAUACAUCAAACUACCAACAACAUUUGCAUAAGGAAUUUGAGCCAUGUACUGACUCUCUUCAACAGUUUUAGGAGACAUAGAAGCGCUAAGUUUGAAAUGAAAGGCAAGAGGUGUACUAACCGGUUUUGAAUUUUCAUUCAUCCUGAAACGUUGUAGUACCUUCUUCAAAUACUGCUUCUGACACAGACUAAUCUUGCCCUUCGCUCUAUCUCUUUCAAUUUCCAUACCUAGUAUCUUCCGAGCUUCUCCCAAGUCCUUCAUCUCAAAUUCAUUACUUAGUUGAGUCUUCAACCUUUCAAUCUCCACUUUGCUCUUACAUGCUAUAAGCAUAUCAUCAACAUAUAAAAGCAGAUAAAUGAAGGUUCCAUCUUGUAGUUUGCGAAAGUAUACACAAUGGUCAUAGUGACUUCUUGUGUACUUUUGCCCGAUCAUAAAUCGAUCAAAUCGCUUGUACCAUUGUCUUGGAGACUGCUUCAAGCCAUACAAUGAUUUUUCCAAUUUGCAAACCCAAUUUUUCCUUUCCAGCAACCUUAAAACCUUCUGGUUGAGACAUAUAAAUCUCUUCCUCCAAAUCACCAUGUAAGAACGCAGUCUUGACAUCAAGUUGGGCCAACUCAAGGUCAAACUGCACAACCAAAGCCAACAAAAUACGAAUAGAAGAAUGUUUUACUACAGGAGAAAAUACCUCAUUGUAGUCAAUGCCUUCCUUCUGAGCGUAGCCUUUAGCUACCAAUCUGGCUUUGAAUCUUACAUUGUCUUUUCCCAAAGAUUCCAUCUUUUUGGCAUACACCCAUUUACAACCAAUUGCUUUCUUCCCCUUUGGUAACUGAACCAGAUUCCAAGUCUCAUUUUUAUGAAGAGAUUUCAUCUCCUCAUCCAUAGAUUUCUUCCACAACUCGCACUCUGAACUCAUGACAGCUUCUUUGUAGGCGGAUGGAAUAUCAUCUUCAAUAACAGGAAGUGUAUAUGCCACAAUAUCAGUAAAUCGAGCAGGCUUUCGAAUUUCCCUUCUCGAUCUUCUGGUUGCAAUAUAGUCUUGUUGCUGUGGAGGCUCUUGGGUAAGUGCCUCCUCUUCAUCAUCCUCGUCCUCAUCAUCAGAAUUAACUGUAGGACUAGUGUUUGAAACAUCAGACCUUACUGGAACAACUGGAGUCUUCAGUAACUCCACCUGCUUUGAGCUACUCAUGGUCUCGGUCGCUUUAGUUUCACCUUCAUGCUUGUUCUGAUUAACCAUAGUAGCCUCAUCAAAAGUCACAUCUCUGCUUACAACAAAUUUCUUCUCAUCUGGACACCAGAGUCGGUAUCCCUUCACGCCAGUGCUAAAGCCCAUAAAUAGAGCUUGGAUCCAACUUGCUUUCUCUGACAUAAUAGUAAGCAGAACAGCCAAAUAUGUGUAAAAACUUGUAAUCAGUACAAGGUUUACCAGACCAUACCUCCAUGGGCGUUUUGCCCUCGUUCGCAACAGCUGGCAAUCGAUUAAUGAGAUGGCUUGCAUAAGUAAUUGCCUCAGCCCAAAAUGCCUUGCCUAAACCAGCAUUAGACAACAUACACCGGACUUUCUCAAGCAAAGUACGGUUCAUGCGCUCCGCCACUCCAUUCUGUUGCGGUGUCUCCCUAACCGUGAAGUGCCUCACAAUACCCUCAUCUUGACAAACUUUCAAGAAAGGAUCAGACUUAUAUUCACCCCCAUUGUCUGAUCUGAGAGUCUUGAUCUUUCGACCGCUUUGCGUUUCAAUCAUCUUUUUCCACUUCAGGAAUAUCUUCAAGACUUCAUCUUUACGCUUCAUGGUGUACACCCAUAUUCUUCUAGAGAAGUCAUCAACAAAGGAGACAAAAUAAUGGCUACCUCCCCAAGAUGCAUUCUUGGAAGGUCCCCAAACAUCAGUGUGAACAUAAUCAAGAAUGCCUUUAGUGUGGUGAAUAGCAGUGCCAAAUUUUACUCUAUUUUGCUUACCCAACACACAAUGCUCACAGAAUUCCAAUUUGCAUGCCUUUGCACCUUUCAAUAAGCCUUGCUUCACUAAUCCUUGCAACGCUUUUUCACCAGCAUGCCCAAGACGCAUAUGCCAUAACCUCGUGGUGUUUGUGCUAUCUGCGUCAGCAGCUUCGGUGACAGCUGCUCCACCAAUAACUGUACUCCCCUGUAAGAAAUACAAGUUAUUUCGUCUUGUACCUUUUCAUCACCACCAGUGCCCCGUACACAGCUUUAAGAACUCCACCCUUCAUGGUGAUCUUGAGACCCUUGGAUUCCAAUGCAUCCAGUGAGAUGAGAUUUUUCUUCAUAUCCGGUACAUACCGAACAUCACUUAAUUCUCUGACUGUUCCAUCAUGCAUCUUUAAACAGAUUUUGCCUAUCCCUUGUGUUUUGCAGGCAUUAUUAUUACCCAUCAAAACAACUCCACCAUCCAGCUCCUCGAAAUUAGAAAACCAUUCCCGAAUGGGACACAUAUGAUAGGUGCAACCUGAAUCCAAAAUCCACUCAUUAGAGUGACCAUCAGCAUAUGAACUAGCCAAAGCAAACUCGAAAUCAUCAUCAUCUCCAGAUUUUGCAAUAUUUGCUUCAGAACCCGCUUUCUCCUUCUCUUUUCUUUGUUCUUCAAUUUGGGGCAAUCUUUCUUCCAAUGACCCUUUUGGCGACAAAAAGCACAUUCAUCUUUAGCAGGAAACUUCCCUCGUGACUUUGAACGAGAUUUUCCCCACUUCCCAGAUUUUCUUUCCUCUGUUCGACCCCUUGCAACAAAUGCCUCGGUUUGUGAAUUAUGAGUCUUCAGUUCCUUCUUACGACACUCAUGAUUCACCAAUGCCGCAGACACCUCAUCAAGUUUCACCUCGAAUUUUCCAUACAAUAGAGUAGUUGUCAAAUGAUCAUAAUCAUCAGGCAAUGAAUUUAACAAACAUAGUGCCUUGUCCUCGUCAGGAAUUUUCACAUCAAGGUUUGCUAAAUCAGCAAGUAUUUUAUUAUAAUCAUUGAGGUGUUCGUGCAUAGAGAUACCUGGACGAUACUGAAAUCGGAAGAGUCGCUUCUUCAAGAAGAGACGAUUUUCUGGCCUCUUGGUCAUAUACUUCUCCUCCAAUUUCAUCCAUAACUCUUUAGCAGAAGUUUCCUUCAUAUACGGGUAUUUCAACUCCUUAUCAAGGAACGAUCGAAUAGCAGCACAAGCAUGAAGAUUAAUUCGUAUCCACUGCUUGUCAUCAAUAUCUUCUGGUUUAUCUUCCAGAACCAUAUCCAACUCUUAUUGAUACAACACAUCCAUAACUUCACAUUGCCACAUACCAAAAUUAUUAGAGCUAUUGAAUUUAUCAACCUCUAACCUUGUAGUAGUAGAUGGAUGUCUAUUGGAUGUAGACGAAGACGAUGCUGACCCCAUCUUUACAGAUUCAUCUUUAUCUCCAGCCAUCUACUCGGCACUAUUCACAAAUACGGCACUGUUCACAGAUACUGUAGCAGUUCACUGUUCACGGAACUGUAGCGCCAACACUAUUCACGGAACUGGGCUCUGGUACCACUUGUUGUGCGGAAGCGGCAUUCGACUGUAAGUGAAUAGUAAAACAGAACAGAAACAAAACCAACAUCAACAAGAACACCAAGAUUUAUACUGGUUCGGCAAUGCCUACAUCCAGUUUGGAGACGACGGAAUAUUCCACUAUAAUCAAUGAGAACAUACAAUAGUGUUUAUCACUCAAUUUCCCAAAGACCCAAAUAACCCAAGCUCUCACACUUACAAUAGGAAGAGAAAACCAAAAAUACAAAGCAAGACAAUUUGAGAAAAUUCUUCUCUAUGCCGAAUGGCUUCUUGCUAUUUUUCUCUCUUCCUUGUUCUCCUCUUGUCUCUCCUCCAUGCUUAUGAGCUGCACCUUGCUCUCCUUUUAUAGCCAAAGAAAAGCUUCUCAAAGACAUCAAUGGCCAAAGGCCUACCAUCAAGUCAAAAGAGUUAGGCACAAAUUAGGCACAAAUUAGGCACAAAUGUUGUUUGCCUCCCAUUACCACAAAGUAGCCCAAAGAUUUGGACUUUGACUACAUGUUUGAGUCAAUAAUCAACACUUUAGUACUAAAAUUUAGCACCUCAGUUUUAACUUUUACUACAUGUUCAAAAAUUGUUUACCAAAAACAAAAAAUAUGUCCAAAAAUUGUUUACCAAAAACAAAACAGAUGUCCAACAAUUGUUUCAGCUUCAAUCUUUUGUCACUCCUCUAGUUCCAUUUGCUUCAAAACGAAUCUCAACUUUCUUCUUAUAUAUUCUUCCUUGUUCUCAUCCCCAUAUUGAACUAAUUGUUCAACGUAGGAAACACAUUGAGCAACAUUCGGACCUUGUAUCUUCCCCUUCAUUCUAGUUGCCUCAUCUGACAAGCCUUUGAGAUGAUGAAGGGGUGAAAUCUUCAACGUCGUCUAGAUUAACAAGUUGCACACUAAGGGUAACCAUAUAGAGGUACAACUUUGUCAUGCCUCCUGAUGAGUCAAUAUUAUAUUAUAUAUUUUACCCUAUUCUUAAUAUAAUUUGGUAAUUAUUUUGGUGGAAUUUUGAUACUUUGCUUUAUAUUUUCAAUAUAGGACAUUCGACUUCCUUUGAAGAAAAACGUGACCAAACAGACGAAUUUUGGAGUGAUUCAAAUUGGAGGACGUUCGUGUGUCUCUUGGCUUGUUCGUUUCAAAAUUUGGGAUUUUUCUACUAAGCGAUUAUUCUCUGGCAAUUAAAUGAAGGAGCAGUGCGUAAUGUUGGAAAGUGACGUUUCUGGGCUUAAACUGCGUUUUUGGAGCCGAAUAUGACCUAAGAUGGGUUCGUGGCCUUUUUGAGAAGUGUUCAGAAUAGUUCAAGCUUUAAAUCCAGUUAUUUUGGGCCAGUUUUGGAGCUGAUUUGGGUCCAAAACGUGGCUGUGCAGAUUUUUGGAUGAAUUUACCAAGUUAAUUUAGGAUUAUGUUUCCUAUUUUAUUUCAAUUUAUUUAGUUUCCUAGUCUUAUUCUAAGACCUUUUACUAAGAGGAUUUUAUUUAGAGUAGUAUAAAUAAGCCUUUUGGCAGACUUAGGGUUUUGGUAGUACGUACGCAAGAUUUGAGAAGAAGAUUUUGGCUAGAGCUUAGAGAUUUUUAGACUUUAUUCUACAAGGUGUUUUCAUUCUUUUCUAUUUCAAUACAAUUCUUCUGAUUUUAAUUAUGAAUAUGCGUAACUAAUUAUCUUUGCUAGGGUGAGGCCAUGAUCUUUAGCAAGAAUAUGUAGUCUCUCUUAAUUUUCUUAUGAAUUUAUGCAUGCAAGUUUUGGAUUGUUAAUCAUUGUGUUUUAAACUAUCUAUUUGUCUUAGUGAUUCAUGACCAUUAGGAUAUCUAGAAAAGUAAUUUGAUGCAAUUUUGGCUGAGGGUUGUCCCUAAAAUUGACUAAGGCUUCUUGUGGUUAACAUGUGUAGCUACUUAGGAUGGACGACACGUCUUAGGAGUUAUAUGGUUUUUUAAAAGGUUUUCAUAAAACUUAAUGAGUCUUGCAUGUUAACAUUCGAUCUGGACGCCAUGGACGAGUUGCAUGUUAGAUAUACGUUCUAUGUUGGGAGUUCCAAGUAGGGCAUACUUUAGGAAAACCUAACCUUCAUAAUAUGCAUGUGUAAUUCAUAAGGAAUUAGAAGAACUACCUAUGAUUGUUAGGGUGACGGCGGAACCCUAGUAUUUUCUGAUUUUGAAUUCUAAAAAUUGUUUCCUUUUUCUUUCUCUAAAAAAUUGCAAAUUUUAAUUAGCCUUUUUAAUUAAUUUCGUUUUUCUAAAUUUAGGUCAUUAAAUCACCCUUUUCCCAUCUUCGUUUUAAAUAAUUAACUAAAUUUUUGUUUUCAUAAAUUGUUUUAAAUAAUCCCUGCAGAAAACGACAUUACUUGAGCCAUUUAUAUUGCAACAACCUUGUUCUCUUGCAAAUAUUUUGUAUCUUUUUUUGCAUAUGGUAAAAUCCCUACCACACCCUCCCCCCCCCCCCCCCCCCCCAAAAAAAAACCAGUGCUUCAUCCAAAAAAAAAAAAAGCUACGUCCACUGAGAAGCUACUAGGCCUCUUCUUGGUCCUCUAUUUCAUUAGGUGACGGAUCGAAACUUUGCUAUCUCGAGCGUUCCGCUAACCUGUGUACUGAUAUUUAUCAUUAGCCCAUUACCUCUUUUGGGCCCUUGCCCCUCCCCUGCUAAUGGGCGAGGUUCUUUAUUAUUUUAAUGGGGCAGGAAAGGAUAUGUGUUAGCACACAUAGAAAAUGCUCAAGCCACCACCGUCGGUAUGAUAAGAUUUUGUUAGAUUUUGUUAGAUUAGUUACCGACAGAAUUUGAAAUCACGUCGUCAUACAAGAAUUCAACAUCUUUUCACCAUGAAUUCAACAUCUUUCCGACACUGUGGUAAAUGACCACCUGUCAAAUUUUUUUUACACGUGUGAAAUUCCUUUUUCGUAUUAUUUACUCAAGUUCCACUGAAAUUCCUUUCACACUUAACUUGCAUACCAAUCUUUUUCUUCAACCUCUUAAAAUUACUCCUUCCCUCCAUUGCAAAAAGAUGGCCAUGGUCGAGAUUUGGCAAGGAGAAUUUGCGGCUGUUGUUACUGGUUAUUAUUCGAAUAUUUUUAGAAGGUAAUGUAGAUCGUACGAUCAGACGAAUUGAUUAAGGUAUGGAUGACCAGUAUUUGAUAUGAGGAUGCAAGAAAUUGGCUUUCAAAGUUGAAACAUGAGUGCUGUAUUUUUAUUUUUUAUUUUUCAAUAUGAGGAUGCAAGAAAUUGGCUUUUAAAGUUGAAACAUGAGAUUUUGAGGGAUUUUAAUGAAUUUAUAAAUUCAUAGAUUUUGAUGAUGUUUAUGUGAACACGGAAAAUUCCUGAAACGAAAGAGACAAGAACAACAUGCACAAACAAAUAUUUGUAUUUGAUGAUUUUGGGGUUACAAUCUCUCUCAAAUUUGAUCCUCUGAUUCGAUCUCCGUAAAGUGUUGAUUUAUGGAUGUGCGAUUGAUCCAGGAGCCGUUGGGGCUUGAUCUUGAGGAUGAGCGUUUCUUCAAGGGUCGUUGAGGCUUGAUCUUGAAUAACGGUGAUGAACGGAUCUUCAAGGGCUUUUUGGGGCUUGAUCUUGAGGAUGAGCGUUUCUUCAAGGGUCGUUGAGGCUUGAUCUUGAAUAACGGUGAUGAACGGAUCUUCAAGGGCUUUUAGGCUUGAUCUUGAAGGUUGAUCGAUGAACGGAUCUUCAAGGGCUUUUGGGCUUGAUCUUAAAUUACGGUGAUGAACGGAUCUUCAAGGGCUUUUGGGCUUGAUCUUGAAGGUUGAUGGAUGAACGGAUCUUCAAGGGCUUUUGGGCUUGAUCUUAAAUUACGGUGAUGAACGGAUCUUCAAGGGCUUUUGGGCUUGAUCUUGAAGGUUGAUGGAUGAACGGAUCUUCAAGGGCUUUUGGGCUUAAUCUUGAAGAACGGUUGGAUGUGUGGAUUUGUUGAUAUUGUUGAUCCAAAGGGCCGUUGGGGAUUGAUCUUAGGAUGAACGGAUGAUGAACGAUGAAUGAAGAACACUUUCUUCAAGGGCCGUCGGGGCUUGAUCUUGAAUUGGUGGAUGAUUGUUGAUCCAAAGGGCCGUUGGGGCUUGAUCUUGGAAGAACAAUGAACGAAGAACGAAGAACACUUUCUUCAAGGGCCGUCGGGGCUUGAUCUUGGAAGAACGAUGAACGAUGAACGAAGAACGAAGAACACUUUCUUGAUUCUUCGGGAACCUGGAUGCUUGAGAGCUUCGGAGUUUCAGAGCUUCAGAGCUUCAAGGUGUCAUGUGAAUUGGUCCCCUUGAAUGAAUGAAUUAGCCUUCUAUUUAUAGAAAUUUCCAAGGCCUAAUUUUGAAUAUAAUAUUCCAGAUGAAAUAAGUCGUUUCUGCCAGGUGUUAACACGUGUUCUAUUUGAUGACUUUUCUAACUUAUUUCGAUUUUUGUUUAGACAUACGCUACGUGUAAAUUUUAUGUAAUACAUGAGCGUUGAAACUUUGAUUUAUCGGUCAACAUUUAUUUACUGAAAUUUCGAUGUCUACAAAUGCCCCCACUUCAAGGCGCGUCGUAUACAUGUGCUUGUCACAUGUAGGAGAUGCGUUUUGAAGUCCCUUAUUGUAGAUGUCGAUCCAAGGGCCAUCGAGGCUUGAUCUUGAAUUGGGCUGAAGAUUUCUUCAAGGGCCGUUGAGGCUUGAUCUUGAAUUGGGCUUGAGAUUUCUUCAAGGGCUGUUGAGGCUUGAUCUUGAACUUUGUUUGAAAUUUCUUCAAGGGCCAUCGAGGUUUGAUUUUGAAGGUUGAAAUUGGACCACAAGGAGCUUCAUGUGGUAGAUGAUAUUUGGCUUUGGUAGUGGAUGAAUCGGCACGUAUUUUGUUGUGCUUGUUGACUUUCUACAGCUUUGAUCUUGAACUGGGUUGGAGGACUUUCUGGCUUCCUUCGAUUGUUUGAACUUACUUUUUAUAUGGAGUUGGAUUUGAUUCAAGGGUGAUGGACACUUGAUCUUGAAUCGUACUUGUGAUUUCUUCAACGGCCGUCGAGGCUUGAUCUUGAACUUUGGCUGGAAGCUUUUUCAAGGGCCGUUGAGGCUUGAUUCUUGAAGGUUAACUCGAACACAUGGCAAGCAGGCACGAGGUGAAGGUGACGACUUGUUGCUUUGUUCAAUCUUUCUAAUUCAUACCUGAGCAGUUUGGUCAACGGUAUGAUCUUCAAAAUUGAUGGGCUUUUCUUCCAGUUGGUGACUUGCUCUUUAAGGUUUUGAUUCAAGGGUGGUGAAUCGGCACGUGCAGCCCACAACGCCUAGCGAGUCUACCCAAGUAUUUGAGGGUCAAAACAAGUCCUCCACCCAGAGUGAUUGCAACCCUGAUGAUAUGAGAUACUCUUGCUUCUGAAGAAGUAGCAGAUGAAUCGGCACGUGCUUUGUUGUGCUUGUCUCCACAUGCUUCAAUGUAUUAUUUUCCCUUCCCUUAUCUAUUCUUCUGGCAGAAUGUGGCAUCUUCUCGAGUUCCUCAGUUCGGACUCCUUCUGCUGAGUUGACUGUGCAGGUUGCAUUCUUCUCUGCUUGUUUCUUCAGGCAGAUGUGGCAGCUUCUUGAGUUCCUCAACUCGGAUUCCUUCUGCUGAGUUGACUGUGCAGGCCGCAUUCUUCUCUGCUUGUUCCUUCUGCACGUUGUCUCCACAUGCUGCAAGGUAUCAUUUUCACUUGCCUUAUCUGUUCUCCAGGCAGAUGUGGCAGCUUCUUUGGAAAUACAGCAGCGGUGGAAGACGAGUACUCGAGAGCAGUGUUAGGUAGGCAAUCAAGGAAGGGUUCCAAGCAGUCGGUUCCUUACCCGAGUUUGAGUGGAGGUUCCGGCAUAUUGCUUUCUUUAUCCUUAUCUUUGCAGGUAAGAACAAGGACAAAGGAAAGGACAGGGAGAACGCAUGAUAUGAGAUACUCUUGCUUUCAACCCUGGUGAUAUGAGAUACUUUUGCUUUGGUGUCAUUUGUUUGCAGAGGUACCCCAAGGAAUAAGGAAUACUGAGUUACUCGAGAGGCUUCGUUGGGAAGGCAUUCUUGGAGAUAAAGAAAGGUUCUAUUUGUCUGCCUUGCUAUGGAGGGUGAAGGUGGACAGUUAUAGGAAGUUUUUUAAUACCUGUAGAGGUACUAUUCUUUCACUCGUGUCGGCAACCAUUGAGUGAUUGAUCAGUAUGGCUUCACGUGCUUUCUUCUUUAUAAGAAAUCUUCGACAAAUUGUCUGUAAUUUCUGCCAAGCUGAGUGUGCAUGUGACAGGUGUUGACGCAGCUGACAAAGACUGGCGCCUCUUCGAUAUCUGGGAUCAGCGCUUCGACAAAUUACCCGUGAUUUCCGCAAAGCUGAGUUUGCGUGUGAUGGGUGCUGAUGCGUCUGGAAAAGCAAGAUGCCUCUCCGAUUUCUAAGCUUGCCUCUUCGAUUUUUGAGCUUGGUCGAGUGUAGAGGUUGCAUGUGACAAGUGCGGACAAGUCUGGAAAGGAAGAUCGCCCGUGGUUUCUGAGCAGACCCAGCUUUUGAGAAAGCUAGCACCUCUUCGAUUUUUGAAUUGGCCUCUUCGAAUUCUGAGCUCGCCUCUUCGAUCUCUGAAAUCCUGUCGAGUGCUAAUUUUUUUAUAGAGGCACGCAGUUCGUUUCAAAGCACACUUGAAUUUUCACUUGUAGAAACUCCCUUAUUGCACUUCUAAGAUCUUGAUUUGUCUGAUCUCUUCUUUCUUUCAACACUUUUGAAAAAUGUCUGGCCCCUCCGACCGUCGUCUUGACUUGAACCUUGGUGAAGAGGCAGUCCCGCUUUCUCCAGACAACAUAUGGCGCUCAUCCUUCAUAUCCCCUACUGGUCCUCUUACCGUUGGGGAUUCGGUGAUGAAGAAUGAUAUGACCACUGAGGUGGUGGCCAGGAACCUUGUCACUCCCAAAGAUAACAGACUACUUUCCAAACGGUCUGAUGAGUUGGCUGUUAAGGAUUCUCUGGCUCUCAGUGUGCAGUGUGCAGGUUCUGUGUCUAAUAUGGCCCAACGUCUAUUUACUCAAACCCGUCAAGUUGAAUCAUUAGCGAUUGAAGUGAUGAGUCUCAAACAGGAGAUUAGAAGGCUCAAGCAGGAGAAUAAACAGUUGCAUAAGCUCGCACAUAGCUAUGCGACAAACAUGAAGAGGAAGAUUGACCAGAUGCAAGAAUCUAAUAGUCAGAUUUUACUUGAUCAUCAACGGUUUGUGGGUUUGUUCCAACAGCAUUUGCCUUCGUCUUCUGGGGCUGUACUGCGUAAUGAAGCUUCAAAUGAUCAACCUUCGAUUCCUCUUCUUCCUGGAGUUCCGCCGAGUGAUGAGGCGCCACCUGAUCAUCCUUGAAAAUCCCCUCCUGUAAAUUUGAUUUGACUUUUUUUAUUUUUUAUUUUAUUUUUUUAUUUUUUUAUUUUUUAUUAGGUAUGUAUAAUGCAAAUUUAUGUAAAAUUUCCAGAAAAAAUAAAUAAAAUGGACUUUUAUUUUUCUUAAUGCAUUUGUUUGUUUGUUUUUUUAAUUUAUUCAUUUAUUCUUGUAUGUCGGUGCGGCUGGCAGCAUAUGGGUUGUCUGUCACCAUGUGCGUUUCAAACCCCACCAAAUUACUACUUGUAUAUAACAAAUAUAUCCAUACAUGGCAUAAUCCUUCAAUCAAUGAUGCCCGUCAUCACCUUCUUUUUUUUUUUAAAUUAUUAUUAUUUUUCUUUGCUUUCGGUGGUGCUCACACUCACCACCACUCAUACCGCACCAUCCUUCAAUCAAUGAUGCCUGUCAUCACUUUUUCUUUUUUUUUUUUAAUUUUUUUUUUGCUUUCGGUGGUGCUCACACUCACCACCACUCAUACCGCACCAUUUUUUUUAAAUUAUUAUAUAUAUAUAUAUAUAUAUAUGUUCGCUACAUGGGAUGAAAGGCGGCCAUCUGCCGUAGGGGUGGAAGCUUACAGGGAGCAGGCGAGGAUGACGGAUGAAGCAUGCACAGAAGCUGGAGCAGCGGGGGCAUAGCCGUGAAGUUUGGACGGAGAGCACGGAGGCUUUGGGCAAGUUGCUGUUUAGAGGGUGACGUGGCUGGGAAAAGUUAUUGUGGGGUUUGGAGCUCUGCCACAGCAAUCAGUGACAAAUGAGGUUCGAAUGGAAGCUGGCAUCCUUCAUGGUCUUCCAGUGCCUUCUUCAACGACAAAUCUCUUAGUGACCAGCUUCUGCUCGGGAUCGACCCCGCAGUGGUGAAGGCUUCGUUCUAUGCAGCUCUCAUGGCGUUCUUAACUUGAAUCUAGCCGUUGUCUUGUUUUUCAGAGAUAAACAGGAGGAGGUUGCGGUGGCUUUCAUGGCUGAGACAAAGAAGGGAGAGUUCUGCUCAUGACUACUUGCAGUUGUUGUGACGAUGGUUGUCCUUUGCUCGCUACUGUGGAGGGAGGUUCUGAAGACGAGAAUCCCAUUGGAAUAAAGAGAAGACGGGAGCCAAGAGGAUAGACGAUCCCAGCUUUUUGUUUGAAACGCUACCAUCUCCGACUAGGCUGACGAGACACUGAAGUUAUCCUCUGAAAAUUCAAACACCGACUGCCCUUUGUUCCUUGAUGGUUGACUUUAGCGGCGGGGAGGGAGGUGCCCUUGGUGAUGUUCAAAAUGACGCCGAGUUGAGCACUGCUCUUGAAGGUCUCACAGAGGCAGGAAGCGUCGGUUUUGAGCACAAUCUUGAGGCUAUUGCAGCAAGUCUCUGCCGGCUUCGUGUCCGUGCUCCCAUUCGACAUAAAUGACAAGCAAUCCACCAUGUUCAAGAUCAGGCUCGAGCAGUCCACCGCAGAAGCCGGCGCCGCGCAGUCCCCAAGUCCAAACAGCAGCACCGCCAUCACCACCACCACAGUGCUCAUCCAAACCCUCAUUGCUGCUCUUAUUUUUUUCUUGUGGGAUUGUGAUAACUCAAGAAGGAAUGAUGGCACCAAGUAGGAAGUGGGUUGGUGAGGGGAGUCUUGGUCGAGCUUCCUUGCUAUGUCAGAGAGAGUAUAAAUCUCUCUGCACACCCACUCUCAGAAGUUUCCUAUGGCAUGGCUGCGAUGAGCCUGGUCGAGAUGAAAGCUUACAGGAAGUGGGAGGGAAUUUGGGCCUGGAUGUUGAUGCCGAGGGAGUGGUUGAAGAUGGGCUCCUUCUGUUUGAGGAGGAACUCACGGUUUUGGGUUUCAAGCCGUUGAGUGCUCACUGGGCUCACGGUUUUGGCUUCAUCCUCAACAAUCUAGCCCAUCAUUUAUUUUUUAUAUAUAUAUAUAUAUAUAUAUAUUUUAUAAUACAUUAUAACAUAUGUAUUUUUUUUUUGUACAAGAAAUUGUGAUGAAAUUGACUUUUUUUUUAUUUUAUUUAAUCGGGAAGAAACUAUAAUUUAAUUUUUUUAUACAAAUUUUUUUUUCUACAUGUGCUUACUGCAUUCAUGGAUUUCCUUGCUGUUUUGACAGAUUACCCAUGUUCACAAUUGGUGGCAGCCUCUUGUGAAUUUGCAAUUAGCGAUGGAGUGGGCAGGAUGUGGGUGUAACUGUCCAAAAGACUGCAACGGGGAUUUGCUGUGUAGUGCCUUUGAUCAUAAUUUUCCCUCGGUGGUGCCUUUACCGUGUGGUGCUGUGCAAGCGUCUGUAGUGGGGAUUUGCUGCGUAGUGCAUUUGAUCGCAGUUUUCCCUCGGUGGUGCCUUUGCCGUGUGGUACUGUGAUCUUGCCGCUUGCCGUUGCUGCUCGUUGUUACUGUUUGGAGCUGAUGGGCAGAAGGGGAGAGCUGCAGAGAUGGCAGAGUUACUGAAGCUUGAGGCAGAAUGUAAGGUGUCGAGCUUCAUGAUCGGCUAGUCAUUUGACGGCGAUUAUUGAAGUUCUUCAUCGAUUUUGAUCAUGGUGCCCAGAAUGCACUGCUAUUACUGUUCGGAGCUCGUUCCAGUACGUCACUUUUACUGUGUGGGGUUGUGCAAAAGACUGCAGCGAGUUUAUGCUAUGUAGUGCCUUUUGUUACAACUUUCCUCGGAGGUGAUGUCGCCGUGCACACCAACCAUGCCGCCUGCUAACUCGUUCCUUUAAAGAAAUAAAGUAUUCGUAUUUUGAAUUUGCUCUUUAUUCCUUAAAGCGUUUAUGUUUUUUUUUUUGAUGAUGUGACUGUACUUGAAGUUUUGAAGUUUCAAGUUGCCUACGUACCCUCGGUUGAGGAGGGAUCAAGUCAUGACGUAGUUCAAAUGAGCAAUAAAUUUAACAAUGAUUUUGAUGAUGAUUUUGCCGUACACAGUUUAUGCUCGUGCGGGCCAGGAGCUUUGGUUCAUGCAGUUUAGGCUCGUGCGAACAAAGAGCAUUGGUUGUUGCCUUUUAUGCUCGUGCAGACCAGGAGUUUUGGUGUCGCCUUUUAUGCUCGUGCGGACCAGGAGCGUUGGUGUUGCCUUUUAUGCUCGUGCAGACCAGGAGCUUUGUGCCAUGCAGUUUAGGCUCGUGCGGGCGAGAAGCCUUGUGUCUUGCAGUUUAGGCUCUUGCAGACAAGGAGCUUUGUUGGUUCGUCAAGCGAUUCGGGAGAGUUGUUCCUCGCAAUCUUCAUAGCAAGGAGCAUUGACUGAGUGAUUGAAGAAGUCUUCAGGAAAGAAAUCGAGCAUCGUGAUGGGGAUGGACGAUCUAUAUGUCAAAAUUUCAUCAUCUUCAACACGUUCAUGUUGCUUUGAAGGUUGACAAAAGCUGCUUUGCCCCCUUUCCGAUUGGCGGACUUGUGGAGGAGACGUAUGCUUCUUGUGCAAUUUCUUAUGAGUAACUUGAGUCCAUCCUUCAACUUUGCUUGUCUUGGAGGAUGCCCCCAGCGGUUGAGGUAAAAACCUUGAGUCGAAAAGCCAGAAGUGAUGGUGGUAUAGUUUGACUUCACCACAUCGUCAAGAUCUAGCUCAAUGAUUCCUUUCUGAGCCAGCUUCACGAUGAGAUCUUUCAGCACGAAGCACUUUUCUGUCGGAUGACUGAUAAAGCGAUGGAAUUUACAGUAUCUUGGACUGUUGGUAUAAUUCAUUUAUUCCGGCCGUCUACACUCAGGCAAAUCGAUCACCUUCUUGUCCAACAGGUCAUCCAGCAUGGCAACCACAUCAGAGUCGGGGAAUGGAUAAGUCUUAUCCUCAAGCUCCUUCAAAGUGCGUCUACGCAUCUCUUGAUCACAAAAAGCCUUGGUGGAUUUCCACGCAGCCUUUUCCGCCUUUAUCUCAAGAACUUUGUCGUUCUUGUAGUCGGCGAUCAGUUCCUUCUUCCCAUGAUGGGCGAUGCUUAACUCCAUGUCAUGGGCGCGGGUGGCUAGCUCUUCAAAGGUCCGUGGUUUAAUGCCUUGAAGGAUGUAUUGCAAACCCCAUUGCAUGCCUUGGAUGCACAUCUCGAUUGAAGAGGUUUCCGAGAGCCUGUCUUUACAAUCGAGGCUUAGAGUGCGCCAUCUGUUAAUGUAGUCAAUGACUGGUUCAUCCUUCCACUGCUUUGUGCUCGUUAGCUUUAGCAUGCUCACAGUGUGGCAGAUGUUGUAGAAGCGGUUGAGGAAUUCCCGCUCCAAUUGCUCCGAGCUAUUGAUGGACUCAGGCUCUAGGUCCGUGUACCACUCAAAGGCGUUUCCUUUCAGCGAGCGUAUAAACUGCUUGGCGAGGUAGUCCCCUUCGGUCCCUGCGUUGUUGCAAGUUUCAACAAAGUGGGCAAUGUGCUGUUUUGGGUUUCCCUUUCCAUCGAAUUGCAUGAACUUUGGCGGUUGAUAACCCCUCGGCAUCUUUAAGGCGUCAAUCUUCUUUGAAUACGGCUUUGAGUACAACCCGGAGGUAUUUGAGCUCCUUUCGUAUUGUGCCCUGAUGGUGUUCGUGAUCAUCUCUUGCAGCUGCUGGAUAUAAAGAGAUCCCACGAAUGCCGCUGCUUGGUCUGGCUCUGGCUUCACAUCGAUUCUCUCCACCGGAGGCUCAUCUUCUCCACUAUCUCCUCUCUUUAGUGGAUCAUUCUCUGGGUCGGGUUUCUCGCCGUCCUGCACCUCUAGUCGGUUAACUAGUGUUGCAAUUUGCAAGUCUUUUUCUUCCACAGUUCGGGUUAGCCUUGCGAUUGCUUCAUUCAUUUGAGCCAGCUGCUCAUCGAUUGAAGUUGCUCCAAUGGUCAUGACUUGCAUGGCUGAACUACCGCUUGAAUCGGCAUCGGAGAGCAUGGAUUCAGAGUAUUUCCUUGGGCUUUCCCCCCUUGGUGCCCUUAGUGAGGCUAAGGUGAUCAAAGGCUCGUGCCUUGGGUGCUCUUGUUCCCUUGGCAGAGUUAAUGCAGAGGUGAAAGAGGCGGCAGAAGUAGCUCUUGCCAUGCUUCGAGUCGUGAUGCCCAAAGUGACACCACUUGCAACGAGGACGCUCAUGUUCUUUGCGCCGGUUGCGGGAACAGUUUGAGCCUUCCUUGAUGCCAUUAAUUUUGGAAGUGCGCUUGAAUUUCUUGAACGGAGAAAGAGAUGAGAGGCAUAGAUUGUCCCACUAAGCGUGCCAAUUUGUGAACACAGAAAAUUCCUGAAACGAAAAAGACAAGAACAACGUGCACACAAAUAUUUUGUAUUUGAUGAUUUUGGGGUUACAAUCUCUCUCAAAUUUGAUCCUCUAAUUCGAUCUCCGUAAAGUGUUGAUUUAUGGAUGUGCGAUUGAUCCAGGAGCCGUUGGGGCUUGAUCUUGAGGAUGAGCGUUUCUUCAAGGGCCGUUGAGGCUUGAUCUUGAAUAACGGUGAUGAACGGAUCUUCAAGGGCUUUUGGGGCUUGAUCUUGAGGAUGAGCAUUUCUUCAAGGGCCGUUGAGGCUUGACCUUGAAUAACGGUGAUGAACGGAUCUUCAAGGGCUUUUAGGCUUGAUCUUGAAGGUUGAUGGAUGAACGGAUCUUCAAGGGCUUUUGGGCUUGAUCUUGAAGAACGGUUAGAUGUGUGGAUUUGUUGAUAUUGUUGAUCCAAAGGGCCGUUGGGGCUUGAUCUUAGGAUGAACGGAUGAUGAACGAUGAACGAAAAACACUUUCUUCAAGGGCCGUCGGGGCUUGAUCUUGAAUUGGUGGAUGAUUGUUGAUCCAAAGGACCGUUGGGGCUUGAUCUUGGAAGAACAAUGAACGAAGAACGAAGAACACUUUCUUCAAGGGUCGUCGUGGCUUGAUCUUGGAAGAACGAUGAACGAAGAACGAAGAACACUUUCUUGAUUCUUCGGGAACCUGGAUGCUUGAGAGCUUCGGAGUUUCAGAGCUUCAGAGCUUCAAGGUGUCAUGUGAAUUGGUCCCCUUGAAUGAAUGAAUUAACCUUCUAUUUAUAGAAAUUUCCAAUGCCUAAUUUUGAAUAUAAUAUUCCAGAUGAAAUAAGUCGUUCCUGCCAGGUGUUGACACGUGUUUUAUUUGAUGACUUUUCUAACUUAUUUCGAUUUUUGUUUAGACAUACGCUACGUGUAAAAUUUAUGUAAUACAUGAGGGUCGAAACUUUGAUUUAUCGGUCAACAUUUAUUUACCGAAAUUUCGAUAUCUACAGUUUAAUUGGUUUGUUAAAAUUCUAUGUAAAAGUUUAACUUAAUUCUCUCGAAAUCUCAAGAAAAAUGUGAGAUUUAUGAAUUCUUAAAAUACACUACGAAAUAUCUCUAAUAUCAUAAAAUUCCUCAACUUUUUAAAAGUUUCUAGAAUCAAUUCAUAAUUAAAUACACUUAAACUUCUUAAAAUGCUGAUAUAAAUACCAAAUAUCAUAAAAAUCCUACCCUCCUCAGUCCUCUCUGAUUUCCUUUCAAGCCAGACCGAAGAGGAACGUUUGGUUAUAUACUGUGCUGUCGUUGGUUUCCCUCGGCUGCACAAGUCUCAGUACAAAUCGGCAGCUCCUCCCUCUAGUCUACGCUGCCGGCGUCCCAGCUCCGCCCUCCACCGGCCUUCCGUCCUUCCUCGGGCAACUGUAAGUCCUUAUUCACUACUUCUUUUUCUUCUUUUCCUUUUUCUUGUAAAUUAAUUUAUAAGAUUGUUUCUGAAUUCUAAUAUUGUGAUUUUAGAUUUGAGAAAUCAAUGUUGAUGGGUUUUUAGUUGAUGAAUUUUUGUAGGGAUCUUAGGAUUUCAAUUCAUGCCCCGUUUCUAAUUUAACAUAAUUCCUAACUUUUUAGGGAUUUAAAGGUUCAAUUGAGUUAAUAGUAAAGAUGGGAGUUUUGAAUAAUUUCACUUAAACGUCUAAUUUCAAAUUUCUGAAGCGCUCCGGCCGAAUUGAGCUUCCUGACUGGACUGACAUUGUGAAGACGGCCACAUUCAAGGAGCUUGCAGCAUAUGAGCCUGAUUGGUACUACAUUCGAUCUGCAUCCAUGGCAAGGAAAAUCUACUUGACGAGUGGUCUUGGUGUUGGUACCUUCCGCAGGAUCUAUGGAGGGAGCAAGAGGAACUGAAGGGAAACAGAGAAGUAUGCAACCCUUUUUGCUUUGCUAUUUCUUUUUUUACUAAGCUUAUUCUGGACACAACUGCAUAGUAGAAGAAAAAGUCGGGUUAUACAGCACUUGCAAAGUAGAAAUUAUGCUAUGAAACGGAUGUUUCUUGAUCAUCAAACAACAAAGACUAAAAAAAAUGAUGAACGACUUUCUGAAAACAAUUUUUAUAAUCCAAAAAUUUGCUUGGUAUCGAGCUUAGAAACAUGCAAACAUGUAUGAUUUGCUUUGAAUUUCACUGAGACAUUUUAACAAACAUCAUACCUGCACACUUUGAGCCCAGCAGAAAAUGAAAUGAAGAUCAAUUCGCUCGUUGAGUGUCUAGUGCCCAUAUCUAAAAUGUCAAAAACUAGUAAAUUUGUGUUUGGUAGUAAAGUUUUUGUAAUAUAAAUUUUAAGAUAGUAACAAUGGGGGUGGCGAUGGUGUUUGUGGCUAGAGUGGUGUUGGUGGUGGUGAUGGUGGCGUUGGUGGUGGGAGAUAGUGGUGACUGGCAUUGCCAUAUCUCCAAGGUGUCUAGAUUAUUCAAUCUUCCCAUAAAGAAAGAGAAAUGCAUGAAUAACAUACCUUUUCUUUGAAAAGAAAAUAUUGUACGGCAGUCUCAAGAUUCUUCUUCCAUCCCUUCUCUUCAGUUUCUUUGUGUUUUGUAAUACUUUCACUCUUACCAUCAAAUAUGAAUGCCCUCAGUUUAAGACAAUCUUCUAGAUGCAACAGCUUCAAAGACGGAAGUUCAAUAAAUAUAACUUCCUGAGCAGAAUCUGGCAGGAGAUAUUGCAGUUGUAGAUGUUUUAGCUUGCAAAACAUGUUAUCCAUAUUUACAUCACUAUAUUCUUCGUUUGCUACAAUCUCUUCCAUUUUCUGAAUUUGGAUACCUCAAGAUGUUUGAGUUGUACAAGACUUCUAGCCAUGGAACAAAAUCUAAAACCAUCAAAGUUCCGUAAGCCUGGCAGUUUCAUUCACCAUAAUGAUUUCUUUGGCUUUUGUAUAUGUUGUUAGUUGUUUUUGAAUCCUUGCAGUUACAACAGAGGUGCUGCGGUUGGAGAGAAACCAAUAAACUUUGGUAGAUUCCACAACGUCAGAGAUGGUAAUUUUCAAAACUAACAAGGUUAUAAAGAGAUAGUGACUCCAAAUUUGGAAAGAUAUAGCCAACAAUCACCAACAUGGAUGGUGUAGCUUUUCAACUUAUCCGAGAACAUGUUGUUCGGAAGAAGGUUAGCAUCUGGAACAUGUAUGUUUAAUGCAGUUAGCUGAGACAAGUGCUUCAGCAUCAGGAACAUUAUUUCUUCCAUCGAUCAGACCUUCCACCCUCCCAUUGCUCAAUGCUGUUUGUUCCCAUUCUCAAGUCUUCUAGUCUUUUCAAGCUUGAUGAAACAUUAGGUGGAAUCAGUACAAUCUCAGAGAAACCACUCAAAUCUAAUUGUAGACGAGUCAGUUGCUCUGUUUCAUCAUGCAACUCUUUAACCUGGGAGUGGGCAAGGCAAGGCUAAGAAUUUUCAAGUUUCUUAGCUCUCCAACUAGAACAAUAUCCCCCAACACGCACUGAUCUAAGCACAAUGUUUGAAGAAUUGGUAGGUAUUUAAGAGAUGGAGAUAAUGAUGGAAAAUGAAGCACAGUUAAAUCCAACACUUUGAGCUCUUUCAUCUCUCCGCGAUUCUUCUUCGCAAAGUCAAGCUGAAAAUCUUUUUGGGUAUGCAUCUCAUAUACACAUUUCGCUCUCUAGAUGUCAAAAGUAAAUUACAAGCCGGUGCCCGGCGAAGUCCCACAAGGUCCAAAUGAAUUCUUCCCAAAACAUCAUCUAAAAUAACAAGUGUUCUUGUCUUUUAUCCUGUCCCAUAAACAAUUUACCCUUCUCUCAGAUUCAUCAAUGUGCAUACCGAACUUUUCUGCAAUUUGUUUCUGAAUUUUCUCCAGGUCUUCUUUUUCAUUGACAUUCAGUAUUAUAACCACAUCAUCAUAUAACUUAUCUUGUGCAGCUUGUCUGAAAACCUGUUUGGCAUCAAAUUAAAGGACAAAUGGAGCAUGAGUUCAAGUGACUCCUUAGGUUUGAAGGUUGCUUUUGUAGUGAAUCAGGUAUCCCACUUGACGUCCAACUGGAACAACUGUGUACUCAAUUAUUUUUCCAACGACCUUGGGAAUAAAUGAAGGUAAGACAAAACAACAUGCCACUUUCAGUUUAGUAAUGUAUCUGUUGAACAUAAACGAAGCCAAAAACAUGGAAAAAAUCUAGAAAUUUAUGCAACAAAAUAAAAUGAAAAAUGGAAAGACAAGAAUAAAAUGUGAUUGACAUUGAAUAAUGAAACAAAAGACAUACCUUAGCUCGUGAGAGGGAGACGAACGGCAAAGAAGAAGAGAGUAUGUAACUUGUGAGAGUGAGAGUAACGGCAAAGUAAAAGCAAAGUGAAGGUGAACGACAACAGAAAUUGCAAAGUUGUGUUGUGAAAUGAAAUUAGAGGACAAAUGAAGAUAAGUGAAAUAAGUGUGGUUUACCGUAUUAAAACGAAGUCGGAUGAGUUGCUAUUCAAUAAUACGGUCUAGUUGUAUUUUUCUUCAUUUGUAAGCAAGGAGAACGACAACAGAAAUUGCAAAGUUGUGUUGUGAAAUGAAAUUAGAGGACAAAUGAAGAUAAGUGAAAUAAGUGUGGUUUACCGUAUUAAAACGAAGUCGGAUGAGUUGCUAUUCAAUAAUACGGUCUAGUUGUAUUUUUCUUGGGAGCAGCCUCUCCAUAAAUGGGGGUAAGGCUAGCCGACAUUCACCUCUCUCAGACCCUGCGUAAAGCGGGAACCUUGUGCACUGGGUACGACAUUUUUGUAAGCAAGGAGUCUUAGGUUCUAACUUCGUGAAUGAUGAUUGAUAAGUUUGAUACCAAUCUAUUCUUACCACCUUUAGUUAAUCUCUUUAUGGCCCGAUAUUAUUUUUAGUGAUGCUCAAUAUCCAUCUCAUUCUGCACCCCAAGUCCACUGUGAGAUAACUUGCAUAAGAAUCUUUUUUCUUCAAGCUCUCAAAAUUACUCCUUCCCUCCAUUGUAGAAAGAUGGCAAUGGUCGAGAUUUAACAAAGAGAGGUUUACGAUUCUCCAAUGAUGUUUUUUUAUAGGUUUGAUCAUGUAUAUGAGCAUUUGAUAGUGAAUACAUGUAUAGUGCUUCACAAUUGAAAAGAAGUGGAAUGGUAGUUUCAGGUAAUUGCCGAGAUUUUUGUUGAUCCCCUUUUGUUGUGCUGCCAAUUUUGAGUUCCUAUCAUGUAAAUUGGUUGACUAAAAUGUUAGUGUAUGCAAAAAGGUUGUUGAUGCUGUUGGUUUUUUUCUGUAACUGAUUUAAGAGUUGCUAUUGUAUUCUUAGCAUAAACGUCAGACUGCCAAUGACAUUCUUUUGUUUUCUAUAGCUGCUAGUGUCUAAACCUCCAACAAAAUGGGAAACUUUUGCCAAAACAAAAGGUAAAUCAUUACUGUAGGAGUCAAACAGUACCUUUCUUCUGUUUCUUUUAAGGCUCUAUUUUGGUUUCUCAUAUGUGGCCAUUUGGGCAUUGAGAGUUGUAGUUGGAUUUAAGAUUUUGAGAAAUUGGAAUGUCCUUUAGGAAAAUGACGCAAUUUGGGAUUUGGACCUGUCAAGUUGUUAUAUGAAAAGUCAUAGGUAUCCACACUCACCAUUUUCAGAAUUGUUGUAGGGAUUUCCCUUGAGAGAUGGUUGCGUGAGACACUGAGAACCUAUAAAUUUGUGAGAUGUUCCAAGUCUGAAGGUAUCACUCUGGAGAGAGAAUUGCUGGGUCCAAGUUGUAACUCUGGAGUAAUUUACCAAUCUGUGCCGGUAUUUCACCAGUCAAGUGGAUCUGGCUCAAGUUUAGAAGCUGCUGUUUUGUCAUUUGUCCGAGCUCAGGUGGGAUUGGACCUGUAAUUUUAUUUCAACCAUACACAUUUUCCCCACUGUGGUCAGAGUGUACCAACAAACUGGUUCUCAUCAAGAGCAAUGAAUUCAAGAAUGAAUUGAAAUAUAGGAAAACUAACGAAAAAUCCAAAAAAACUUCUCUUUUAACGAAAAGCCAUUUUUAAAGGUAUAGUGAAUAGUGCAAGUUAAAGGUAAAAAUGUGGUUUUUCGUUAAAAGUGAACAGUACCGGGAGCGUUUUGUUAAAACUCCCUUGAAAUAUUCAAUGAGCUUUUAUGCGCAUUUCUGGUUUAGUACAUUAUUUUAACACAUACACUAUUUAUAAUUCAUUUGACAUUCCCGCGGCAACACGUGGGCUAAAACUACAGUAACUACGAGUCCUCUCUACAUUCUAGUCCUCAAUGGAGAUGCUCUUAAGAAGAUGAUUGGAAAUGAUAUUUUUCAUGUAUCACAAGAAGCAAUAAAAUGAGUACCAAUUCAAGGAUAAAGCUGUUUCAGUAGACGUGCACACAAGCACCACUUCAAAUGCAUCAAUGUUUACAUAAAACACACAAGCUUUAUUUCCCAAACACCAAAACUGAAAGUGUAGCGAACAAGGCUUCAAAUACAAAUCACACUUUUACGGCGAAACACAUGAGUCAAAACAAGCAUAACAUGACAUGGAAUAUGCAUCAGUGCCUUCCCAAAUUGCACAAGUUUCUGGGACAGCUUUUCAUUGAAGCCGCAGCUUGCAUGCUUAUAUUAAACAAGAUGAGAUCAGCCAGGGAAGCAAGGUUGGGCACAGACCGUUGAGGGGAGAACAGAGAAUAGUUAGAGUAAGUAACAAGAAAACUUGAGUAUAAUGAAAGUAGCAACCACAAUAACGCCAAAGCCAAGAAAGCGUGCAUCCUCUAGGAUCUCCAAUGCGCAUUUCCUUUGACUCCAGGUAGCAUAGUUUUAACCAUUAAACAUUUGAACAAACCAAUGUGAUUUCCGUGGAAUGUGUAGUGUGGUCCAACAUAUCAGAGUGCCUUCCAGUCUGCUUUCCAGGCUGAUAUUUCUUCCUUUAAAAAAAAAAACAGAAGGAAGAGGAAAAUAACACACGAACAUGCAAUCGCACACAAUCGGAAAACCUUAACACGCCAGGCAAAAGAUGAGGAUUCCUUUUUGGCAGAGAGUCUUGCAAUUGUAACAUCUACAUUUGAAUCCGCGAUCACCAGCUGCUCCUGUAGAAAUAUAUAUUUAGUGG